GGUGCAGGAGAUGAGAAUGAUGAUAUGCCAGCACUGCAAAAUGCUGGUUGCAAUUGGGUGCUGGGGUGAGUAGUUUGAAAGUAGUGUGCCAUUCUCAUCAAAUGCAGCGGAGAAGGUGGUAAUGCCUUCAUUGAAAGAAGUGUCCGUAGUGGAGUUGUCCGUUUCUGAUUAAAACGUGCAGGGCCUUCACAUAUAAGUGACCGUGUAAAAGGAAAACUUAUUAUUACGAGGCAAACAUGGACAAUCAUGUUGAGUCUCCUGUUGUCCUUUUUUCUACAUAUAUACACACGCAGACAUACAUGUAUAUAAAAAUAUGUAAAAGCUAUUCACUUUUAAUUUGUUUUAUUCAUAAAUGGGGAAUGACCCUCAGCUUGGGAGUUUGUCCUGCAUCGUGGAUGAGUAGGAUCUGCCUCUCUGCAUGCGUGUCGAUUUGGAGGUGCCUUGGGUGGAAGCCAGUGCGGGAGGAGAAAAAGCUACUGUUCCCAUUAAUGGAAAAGUUGGGGCUGGGGCCAAGGGCAGUUUCAGUGCUAAAAGAGUUCAAUAGCGAUUUGAGACUAGUUUGAAAAAACACUCAUUUUUCCCCAUUGGUGUGGGAUUUAAAAACUAGCCUCGGAGAUUUUCCACCUAGAGUCAAUGUCAGAUUAGGUUGAAAUGUACCGUUUAUUGCAAUGUUUUAGAUUGCUUUCGUCUGGGUAGGAGGCGUUACCCCUGACCAUGUUUAAUCUGACCAUUUUUAGUGGCUAACAAAAAUAAUAUGAACCAGAACAAGACAUACGACGCGUGAACUAUCAACCCAUGAGGGAUGCUAAGAAACGACUCUGAAGGGUUGAAAUUAUCGGAUUGCGUAGAGGCUUGAAGUUCAGGCAUGGUUGGAAGAGUGAUCAGGAGUCACAGCCCGAUCCCACAGCUUGCAGUCCAACCUAUCUCUGCCACUUUGAACGGCAUAUGCUGAACACAUUGACAGAAAUUAACUUCACAGUUCAGAAGCAUUCAGAUGAGCAUUGUCCUGUAAAUUCUCUCGUCAACCUGCCUGCGAUCGAUGAUUGAUGAACCUGAACCUGACUCGCAUAACCAUUUUAGUUGGAUAGACAUUCAAGACCUCACUGACAAUAUGCCUAGCAUAAAAUCAAUAUUUCUCCUCGGCACUUAAGAGAGCUGCAUAAGACUGGUUUUCAUCCCUCGGAACCUUCCUUCGACCAGGUGCAUCGUCUGGACGUAUAGUUACGUCUACAACUGCUGGCCUUUCCAGAUUGAAAAGAUCAAAAAGCUGAGCUCUCUUCUCUCUGAUCUCUUCAAUACGUCCGUCCCAGGAAGUCUCUCCAAUAAGUUCCAGUGCUAUUUCCACAUCAUCAGCUCCCAGGAUUUCGUCACCACGUUGGAUCAAUAGCAAGUAUACCUGCUCGGCGCAAACCUUCCUAACCUGUAAUCCCCAUAUACCAAAUCAUCACGCUGAAUCGUUCUUUGAACGUCUCAAUAUUUGCACACAAUUGGAUAAACUUGCAUUAAAAGAAUGCUAACCACAAAAGUAUAGAGAAACUGACGUACCCUAGGGUAUCUGUAGCCCAGAAGAACUAGUAACUGUUCAAGAGCAUUACUUCGGGCUGGCUCACGCCAUAGAGCGAAAUGACUGAGGACAUUAAUGGCUGCCAACAACUUGGAGACAUCUCUGCACCCUUUUAGAUUACUUUUGAUGAAAUCCAAUAUCUCCGUGGCGAACUUAUCAUCACAAUCCUACGUCAGUUGCCAAUAUUGGUGUGAGUGUACUAGCUUCUGCUUGAAGAGCAAAGAAUUCGUUAUUUCAGGAUCUUCUGUAGUCGGAAAUAAUUAUUUAUGGUAAGCUUUGUUAACAUUCGAGGUUGUAAAGAAACAAAUUCAUGACAGAUGUUGCUAAGCUAAGAAGAUUGAAAAAAGCUUCGGGGCGAAAAUAAGCUGAAAAUACAGUGAUUUAUCAACUCAGAUGUUCUUGAAACUCACCAUCAUAUGUGAGAACACUCCCUUGCAGAACAAAACAUCCACCGUCUGCAAAAACAUCAAUCGCGAAAAAACAAAUCCAAUUUAAUUGGCAAACGUUUGACGAGUUGAAGAUAUGGCACGUGACAAAAACAUCCCAACUAAAUACCUAAGUACCUUUAGUGCUGGUAUUAUCACAACUAAACAUCCCAACUAAAUACCUUUAGUGCUGGUAUUAUCACACGGUCAAUGCCUCGAUUGUUCUUUAACAGCUCUACCAUUUGUCCACCAAGCCAAGCAGAGCUAGAAUCGGUCAGAGCCCCAAUGCCACUUGCUGUAGGUGGAACCUCUUGAAGAAAAUUAAAUAGGGCUUGUGAAGAAACUUUGCCUAGUGAGUCUCCGAGACCUCCAACAGAAAUGACAAUCCCAGAGAGAAGAUAGGGCCGAAACUCGGGGAACUUGAGGAACUGCACAAGGCGAGGGAAGGAAACUGCGGGGGCCUGUAGGCACCAGCACAACGAAUCUACAAAUGAGUAAACCACUUAUUUUUAUCGAAGAAAAGCUAGACUGUAACCAAAAUGAUGUAGAUUUGAAAAAUUACUUUGGCUUCGCAAGGAAAAAGGCACCACCCUUCCACAUAUAUUUGUGGCUACAUUAACUGGUCAACCCGAAUACAUACAUCAGGCACAAAUAGGUGUCAGAAAUAAAUCACAAAAAGCCAAAUUGCAACAAAGGUCAGGAUACGUACUGCCCAAUUCAAACUUGUGUCAUUCGGGACAAUCUGCUCUAGUGCUCUCCUAUGGGGAAUCUGAUCGCUGAUCACUUGAUCACUAUGCAGUAGCUGCUGCAACGUACGUCCAGCCACAUCCCUAACACGAUCGAUCUUCUCCACUGCCUGCUUAGCCAAGCCUCCAACCACUUUCACGGCGAUUUCUUUAUCAAAGAGAGUAUUAGACCAUUCUGUUGUCGAUCCACUGGUUUCCGAUUCUCCAGAAGAACGUUCAGUCCCGCCAGGAGAACAUUCAGUACCUCCAGAAGAAUGUUUAGGCUCUACCUUUCUCUGGUCUACCUUAGUUUCUAAGCAAAGAAGAAAUGAGCACCGUUUCAACGCAUCCAUAGCAGCUUCCCGAACCCAGGAUCCAACAUCUCCUCUAUUAUCAACAGCAUAAUCUUCCAAAGCCUUGAACAACACCUCCAUCACUUCCUCUCUUAUUACCAGUGUCAAUUGCUUGUGAGGCACAAGAGCGUCUGAGGGAAUAAAUAUGUUUGAUAAAGAUUCGCCUGGACCCCCAUAAAGGGUUUCACAAACAGCAGCUAAACCACGCACAGCAUUCAUACGCGUUUCUGCAUCCUGAUCUUCAACCCUCUCCUGUGGUCCACAUCAUUGUAGCUGUUUAAGUCUUCUUAAGAAGUAAGGAGCGGCACCUAAAACGCCCUCAGAAAGACACUUAGAUACUUAAGUGUGAUUGCUAUUACUAAUGAUGCAUAGUAUUGUUUUUACGAAGGAGCAACGUGGAGAACAAAGAUUCCAAAAUUUUAAAAUAGAACAAUCCCUAAGAAGCAAAUCCUUUGUGCUAAAUUGAGGUUCAACAGCACAAAAAGGCAAACAAACGAAUCUCUUGAGAAACAUGAACACAGAACUUCAUGUGGGUACAUGACAUAAACCACAGUUCAUGCUGCUCAUUAACAAGAGUAGGAAAACCACUCCAUUGUCGCAGCAGCAACUCUCCUCACGUCCAGGUUCAGGACGUAAGCAGCCAAAAGAAACUCAACUCCAAAAACUGGUUAGUAAUACAUGGACCACCUAAACUUCUAAAUUUCCACAAAGAAAAAUAUCCUCAAAAUAACCAACUAAGGAGCGUAACUCACCUCAGGGAUAGUAGCCGCGCUAAGUGUACAUAUGACAUCCUUCCACACAGGAGCCAGAAGCUCGCCAGGUAGGGCAGUGAAGGCAAGUGCAGCGCCCCUUUUUGCAGAAGGAUUUGGAUCUGCUUUCAGUAUUUGAACGUACUUCCCAGUAGACCGUGUCACCGUUGUAGCACUUGCAGGCAGCAAAUAGGUGUGGAUGAAUGGCUUUAGAGCUGCCACAGCCGCUGCCUGAACAUUAUAAAACGAAUUUCAAUGAGCUAAAUGGUAGUAAGGAAAAUUACUGAUGAAAAAGAUGAAACGGUUUUUUUAAUCUCAGGACUUUCGUGAAAACCUCCGUACUGGGCACAUCAUAUUCAACAAAUUUAAAUCACCUAUUUGCAAGACAACAAAACUUACCUGAAUAUCACUGUUGGGAUGCUUCAGAUUCUCAUCGAGUGUGUCAUGCAGCGAUUUUUGAAUCUUGGGCGAUAAACGAAUUUUAACUUUAGCAGUGACUUCAAUCAGCCGGGAAACAGCAGAUCGCACAAUUUCCCCACCUUUCCCCCUGUAAAGACGAGCCUUCUCGAUUGCAGGUACAGCGGCGGCAAUGGUUUUCUCUCUAUCUGUCGCAACAAAGCAAAAUACAUUUCAGCUUCCAAACGAUGCGUAACUUAAAAACAUAGACGUAAAACUCACAAUAUUCCAUGUGCAUGCAGAUCAAUAUAUUCCCAUCCACAAAUGCUGUUGACUAUUCCGGGCAAUAAAAUUAACAAUAAUUCUCAAAAUGCAAAUCAGACCAAGCAAAUUCUCAAAAAAGAAUCCAUUUUUUUUAGUUAUAACAUUGAUUGAGACGCAUAAUUUGCAGGUCCUCAUUUCAUAGGUCCCUAACCUGGCUUUAAUGGAUAGCCGCACUCAUGGAGAGCUCGAAUAACUUCUGCGGCCGCUAGUGCGGCACCAUGACGAAGGCCGAGGUCCGGUGAUAGAGUCCAGGGUAGGAGUGUGCCCAGCACAGUCGUCUCAAAAUAUCCCGGAUCAUACUUUACAAGUGCUGCGAGACCCUCUGCAGCUAAUUCACGUAGCGACCUAUCCUAAAACAAAGUCAAGUCAUGAAAGGAAUUAAGUCACUCUGAAGCAGGACAACAACGAAUGACAGGUCUUUCGUAGCUCAUUGUACAAGCUGAGGGAGCAAAAUUAACUCGAGAGACCAUGCCAUAAAAACCUGAAGCGACCAUUUUUCUAAACCAACUUAGAAAUUGGUGUGCUUGACCUAAAGUUCAAGCACUAAGACAAUGAGACAAGAAGUGCUAAAUCGUACCCAAUGACGAAUCUUUGUGCUUAGGAGCUCCUCAAUUAAGCACAGUCGAUAUUCAUCAAACUGGGCUACAAAGGGUCCCACACUUCGAUAAGCAUUUCCUCGUGAGCCGAGAGAAAAGUAAUCUGCAGCAUUGACUAUAUCUAUACCGUGCAAGUAAUCUCCUUGCCUUCCCACACCUUCCUGAAAAGCCGAUGCUGCUGCCCUCCUACAGUUAACCUGUUGCCAGACGACAUAUUGAGAACGCGAUGAGAGCAGAUGCAGUAUGUAUCAGUGUGAUCUCAUUCAAAGGUCCUAAUAACGCAGGCAGUUCAGGCCAAAUCCACAGGUAUCCCUGUAAAGCUAGAUCCUGUCUCCUUGUAUGACUUCCACUAUGUCCACAUGUAGCGUUCACCCGCUACAUUGUCUCAAACAACAGAACCGGACUUUGCAACUAGAUAAAGGCAGUUUCUUAGAGAAUUCAGCAGGAUAACGUAUAAUACACAUAAUCUUAAAAUAAUAGAUGUAUCAGGAGAUGGUUAUAAAAGAAGUGCAAGACCUCGCGAUCAUAGCAGGCAGUGGAGAGAAGAGCAGGGGCCAAAACUUGAAAAUGAGGAUUCAUAAUUGCCGAAGAAUAUGCUCUCACAAAUGCCCAGCAUACAUAUGCCGCUGCAGUCAACAAUAGCGCUAUCUUAGAAUCAUAUCCUACUACAAAGGUCAUUAUGUGAUUGUUUCAGGAGACACUUUUCCGAUGGCAACAAACUAACACGUUAAUAUCCUACUCUUUGUAACAAUUAUUUAUUGAAGAAGUUUUACAAAAGAACUUUACACUGAACUGCGAAUGUGAAUUCCUAAUUUUCAAAGAGAUGUUUGCAAGGGUCCCACGCAGUUGCAUCACCCUAUGCGACCUGUAGACUAGACAAACAGGGACUAAGAAAUCUCCACCGGUCAAGGAGCUAUUACCUUAACUAUUACAGGGACUACUGCAGGCAAGCGUUCAGGCAGCAGAAGACCCCUGCGUGUUAGUUCAGCUAGGGCCAGGCAUCCUCCAUGCCAUGCUCCAUCUCCCUGUAUAUUGUAGAAGGAAUCUUAUGUUGUCAAAUAAUGUUCUCGUGGAUGAAAAUAGUAAGACACUACUGCAUGGGAGAUGAUAUGAUGCUAUUCGUAGAACUAUUUGAAAUUACAAUCUCAAUGCUCCAAGAGGCUUACGAUGGGCACCACGCUUUUCAUGCGCACUUUAAAAAUUCAGAUAGUUUACCUCAGUUGAUUGAAAUAGAUCAAGAACUGAAGCCACCACAUCAUCCGCAAAUGAAAGAGUAAGCCGGCCUGUCACUCGUCCCACACCUUUAGCAGCGGACCACCGCACGACAGUAUCCUGCGCAUUCACACAAGAGAAUUAAUUUGCAUUAAACUAAUCUGCAGCUCAACAUAAAUACUAUACUUAUCAUGCAACUCCCCCUCAAUAUCAACUUGUAACAAUCCAUACCAUGAUGCACACCACAAGAUACGCUCAACAAAUUUAUGGUAAUUAUGGAUGGAAACUGUAAAGUCUUUCCGUUUUCUCAGCAAAGAAAUCGACAACUACGAGCAAUUUGUGCAAAACAAAAUCUUCAUGUCUACUUCUAUAGAAGGAAUUAACUACAAAACCAUGACAAGAAAAUGACUCAUUCAUAAGAUAAUACUAGAAAGAAGUGCUAACAUAUGCUAGUAAAAUGCAGCAAUCUUAAACCCUAAACCUUAGGACAGUUUUCGCUAACCCAACACUCUAAAUCGAGAUUGUGCUUUAAGCUUACUUUGUCACGAAGACCAGCUAAUAAGAACUCAAUAACUUCCUCCAUGAUUUCUGGAAUUUCAAUGUCAUCCUCUGAAACCUCAGUGUCAACACCAGAACUACCAAGAAGUCCAGGAGCUACACUUUUAUCAUUCUUAGAAUGCACAAUAUCAAUAUUUGUGUCUUCACUAACAGCAGUUAGGUUCUGGAUGAGAGACCGACUCCCACGCUGCAAUUGCCACGGCACAAUUAGCAUAACCAAUUCUGAAGAUACCAAACACGAAUUAACAAUACAAAAUCAAAAUAUACCAAUUCAUCGGAAGAUCGAAGCAUCGUGCUAACCCAAAAAGCGUCAAACUCAAUUAGGAAGAGAGUUAUCAUGAUGACAGCGAAGUGAAGGUAGUUAACGUUGGUUUUAUGUCUUCUAAAAACAUGAACAUACUUAAAGUAAACUUAGUAACUUCCAGGUGUACAUUGGCCUGCUCCAGCUUUAACUGAUAGUAGAGAUAGAUAAUUAGUGAAUAUAGUAAAAGAAAAGUACCAUGUAACGCCAUGUGGCAAUUCGGGGAGGAAGAUAUGUGUUGCCAAUACGUUGAAUCAAUUUCACCAAUAGCUUGCGAAGCAAAGGGCUACGGAUGGCUGAUUGGGACCUUGCUAACUUGGAAGCUUCUUGCCAUGCGGAAGGAGCGAUAUCCAGCAAAAUGUCACGACCUCCAACCUUGCGAACAUUUACAAAAUUUCAUCCUGUUUAGUUGUCAUAUGGUAAGAGUAAGGAGUAACAAAAAUCAUAAGAUAUCUGAAAGAAUAUCACAAGAAACGUUUUAUAGAAAAAUUAAUAUAAUAGCUGAUCAAUGCGAAAUGUCUCUUCAGAAUAGAAUAGAAUAACCAUCGGAGUUUAAGAAGGUAUUAUUUAAAGAGUGACCUUGAAUAUGGCAGCAAUAGCCAUGAUGACACCCGGAACUAAGAACACGCCCACCCUGCUAUCUAGUGGUGAAGCUAGUGUAUCAUGUGCCCAUGCCAUGAAACUGCAGAAAUAACAGAAGUGUAACAUGGUCACAACUGGCGCAUCUGAUUAUAAUCUCUCUUCAUAUUAAAUAAGAAAUACAAGGAAAAAUUCGAUUGCUAGAAAAAGCAAAGAUCUACAAACAAGCAUUUCCUUCCCUCAACACAAUGAGCUCAAGAAAUAACAGGGAUUUGACGGCCAUUCAUAAUGAUACAUUUAAAAGGGUACACAAGAAAGGUGGCCGAACCGUCUCAAGGCACCACGCAUAUCAGGCCGGGUUAACAAGCGUGACAAGAGCACCCCAGCCAUCUCCCUUGAAGGCCCCGGGUUUUCCAGAUGAAUAGUGCAUAUGUUGAUAAUUUUCUGCACCAUAGGAGUGGCCUCAUCGUCACCGGCAAGCAUAGUAUCUGCUGCUCUAGGAUCCGCCAAAGAAGUGUCAACUGAAGCUAAGUCAAAAGGUAUCAAAACCAAGAUGGAAAGCCAUAGGAGCAAGCAACAUUUUGUCUCCCAUUCACCAGUACUCUCCUCUUUCAAGAUGCUGCCAACUACAACCUGCUUCACACAUUCAGAUAAUUAGAACAAGUUCAAAAAAGCAAUACAACCCAUGAUAUGCAUUUCAAAAUGCAACGUAGAGCUUUCCGGUCAACCAGCGUAAGUCCUACACUCUGAAUGCAUACGCGUAAGGAUACGAACUGAAGUGAAAGAGUAAGAAGUACAUCUUCCAGGGUGUAGCCUGCGAUACCUUCAGAUGUCACUACCGUAUUGAACAAGCAACAUCACUCAGUCGCACUCCUCAAACGGACCAACUUUAGAAGACACCGUAAGGCAGCGCCAAGUAUUUCUUACCUCCUCUUCACAUUGCUCAAGCAAACCAACUGCAACCUCCAAAUCUGCUGCCUGGUGUGGGAAAAACUUGACCACAGUCUUGUAGCUACAAACGGUCAUCAAAGUGUGAAUCAACGAACAAAUUUUCUUCACCACCUGCGACAUAGAGCAAAAUUAGCGGGUAAAACGACUUUCACAGCUUAUCCAGAACAAAAAUUACAGUGUAACAAUGAAAUCCUCCAAUGAAUAUGGCACCACUGAAGGAAACCUUAUGAAUCUAGGUCGGCGACGGUCAUCAUCACUGAACCAGUAAGUAGUUUGGGAUCAUUUUCCUAUACUGCAACUACUUCACAGUUUUUUCAUAGAUGAUAUGCAUGACCUCAACAUCUGCUAUACAGUCUAGAAGAUCUAUAAUGCUGCUCAUGUUUGGAGAUCAACACACCUGUAACUGUGACUUCGUCAAUUUAUUCCCAUUCAAUUCUAGAACGACUGAUCUAACGAGGCCCAUCACGGGAGUGAUUAUGCCUUCCAAUACAGGCUCCAACAGUUGGCCCUGCUCUUGAUACUUUUCAACCUGUGCGUUCCAAAAAGACAUGAGGGAUGUUUGACUCUUUCAAAAGACUGACUAGCUCACAUGGAACUCUGUAAAGUCUAACAUGAACUAUUUGCACAACCAUACUAAGUGAAUCUUAUGCCGAUGACUUAACCCCUCAGUGUCAUUUCUAUGGACAUGCUUGCAGUGAGACCAAAGGAUUUCAUGAAUUGUUCCACGUACAAGCUGGUACUUCGAUACUGACGUAGGUACUUGAAUCUAAUCAAAGCCCUAAUUCACCACACUGACAAAAACUGCCCUUUAGAGCAGAGACAUAAGUAGGACCGUCGAAGGAUGCAAGCUAUCCUGCGAGGUUGUCUUUCAUGGAUCCAAAAGUCCUUCCCUCUAGGACAAUGUGUUUCAUGAUUGAGAAAUCCUUUUCGACAACAGAUACGUGAGAAACUGUUCAACACAUUAUGUUACUGUUUUCCAGCUAUCCAUAGACAAUCUUCACUCCUUUAAUCCAGUUGUCAUUAUUUUGCAACGCUACAGCAUAUUUGGUGUCAGAACUUCAUUGAAUAAGAGUUUUCAAUAGCUCCAGCUAACAGCUUUUCACUGCGGCGUAAGUGGUUUCGUCAUCAAUUCGUAUUGAACAACAUGAUACAAACAGAAGCACUCACCGACGCCAUAUGCCACCAGCUCUCUAGUAUCUCAAAUAUCAAAGAGGGCAAAUCACAACGCAAAAUAAAAUGACUACAAUUUUCCCAGUAAUGUCCACCACAGGCAAGGCGCGAUCAAAUAUUGCAAUGUCGAUUCCAAAGGCAGAUAUUAGGUUGCAACAGGGACAAAAACCCCCAAAUCCUACUUGCUUCAAUUAUCCAGUAGACUCGCCGAAAUCAAGCUGCGGGAAAAAGGAAAAAAACAAGCAAACUCGCCUCAAGCAAAAAUACAAAAACUGCAAGGCGAUCUUUGUACAGAAACUACGAAUCGCUCGAAUACUACUAUUAAGAGCCAAGGUAACGCUUACAAUGACUUGCGCCUUUUUGAAAAUGGCAGGAUCGGCGUCGCCCUCGGCGUCCAUAAUGGCGUUGACGACGGACUCGAGCACUUCGACAUCUUGCUUAAAAGUCCUGUGCAAUCCAUUGGUGAGUGAAUCAUCAUCAUCCUCGUGCUGUUCCAUUGUCGAUCCAAGUGAAAAACUGCUGGGUCGACCUUGAACUGUUAGUUCUCGAAUGCCCUCUGCUUCUCAGGCGCUCACCCUGUCUUGCAAAUCGAAGCAGGUGCAGUUCGGGGAGUUGCUCUUCGUGGAUGAACGUCGUUGCAACAUCGUCGACGGUAUCACUUCUCCGGCCAGUCGUCGACGGCGAUCACCUGUGCCCAAGGUUUUUCGAUGUUCGACACUGGGUUGUCUAUUGCGAUUGAAGCAUAUUCACACGUGCAAGGACCAGUUUCAAGGUAAAAUAAAAAAUGAAAAAUAAAUUGAGGGACGCACCUUCAAUCCUGAUUCAGGGCACUUGGGCCGUCUUCACAUGCCUCGGCCCAGCACUACCUUUGGGUCUUCACCCUUCCUUUCCCAAACAUGCAUCGAUUCGUCUUUGUCUGUGAAGAGAUGAGGAAAGCCUCAGCAUACAUCUGCAUCGACUUUGAGAAUCUGCUCAUAAAUGUCGAAUGGAAAAAAACAUUGCGGGCAUGUACAGGGUAGGGCAUCAAUGUUUGGACACCUGCUGGGGGCUGUUGAGAUCUGCUUAUUCACUGUGCAAAGCACAUCGAGUUCUUCGUCUAAUUAACAAAAGAGAUCGACAUACAUUUCAAAAUUAUGAAGGUUUCUCGUGGAAUUGUUUCCCAUUGCAGAGCCAGGCGAGCAUUUCAAGAGGAAGACAACGAUUUGUGUGGUAAAUUGGUUGCGAAAGAUGAGUGAAAGCACCGAAAGAUUCUCUUGAAGGAUGCAAAAUGCAAGUGCAUCUUCAUAAAAAAGAAAUAGUUCUUUACUGAAAUUUUCUACAACCUGGAAUUAGUAGCCGCUUAAUGGCGGAAAAUUUUACCCCUCAUAUAUAUGCCCAUUUCCCUGCACCCAAAUUCUGUCCAAAUCCUUCAUAUUCUCAACUGUGUGGAGCUUAUUUUGAUCAACAGCACGGCAAUUUCGACACACAUAUUUUAGAGAAGUCUGUGAGUAAAUCGUCGCCAUGCCUUCACAUGAGCCAACGUUGAAUUUACCUAAUCCAUGGGCAGCCGUUGGACGUGAUACAGAGGCUGGUCGAGCACUCUUCGCCCUGUACAAUGGUUUUAGCCAUGCCAGAAACCGCGGAAACGAUUACUCAGAGAUUAACAAGAUAAAGACCUUGAGGCACACUGCAACGCACGGGGUGCCAGAAUUUCCUGCAGCCAGACCUCCUCCGUCAAAGAGACCUGAAGUGAAGGUACCGCACUUUGCUCACAGAAGCUGCUCUUCCGAAUCUCAUCCUGUGGAUUUUAUUCCACGCAGACGGAGAGCUUCUGAUAUUUUGCAACGAAUUAGGGAUGAGUCGUACAUUGCGGAACUUCCUCCAAUGCCAAAAGGCCCUCUCUUAGAUGAAGCAGAAAAGGCGCGUUUGCAAGAGGUCUUCUACUGGAGCAACCGUAACCUCGGACCCGAUCCACCAGUAGCAGAGCCAGUGCGCAGAAUACCCAAGAAAGGCUCGAUAGAGGAACAGGAGCUGCUUUUGAACGAUAUUUCGCAAGAAAUCGAGGACCGCAAGACAUUCCUCACCGAAAUGGAAGAAUAUGGCAGGGGUGAGCAAUAUCGCGGUCAAAUCAUGUUCGAAAUUCAGCAGCGCGUGGAGCAGAUGAAGCUUUUGCACGAAAACAUCAUCAAAUAUGAGAGGAAGCAGGGCUUAAUGCAAACCAAGACAGAAGCAGCUCCACCUCCGAAAGUUCUCACUGCAGAGACAAUGUCAGUUCAUCAGGAUCAAGAGCAAAAUGCGAAUACUAAACUUAAUACAGCAUCACUAAUACAAUUCGAGAAUGAUCCUCAAUUAGAUAGAUUCUCAACUUCUACCGACAAAGUUCACACAACCCUCCGCCCAUCUUCAAGAUCAAGGCGAACGGAGACGCCAUGUAGCAGACCAUCGCAACUGAAGUCCUCGCACUCGGCACAUGUAAGGGCAACUCGGAAUGAUGUAUCCGAAUCCUCCGCGCCGAAUGCUUAUUCACUGCAGCGAACGCCCAAGCCACCAUCAUUUCCGAUUACUGAUCCGAAGAAGAGGAACUCCACUUCGAGUGUGUCUAAGUCGAGGCUUCAGUCCAUUAGAGCAUUUUCGGCCAACUCGGCAAGUCAAAAUGGUUCAACUGCGAGAAUUUCCUUGACCAGCGACCUCCGAGACAGAGAAAAUACUAUUGGGCAAGGUGGGAGGAAUUCGCAUGGCCAUAACGAUGGCAAUUCGGUAUACAUGACAGACACGACUUUGAAUUCAAAUAAGGAUUAUUCAUCGGGACCCACUCCUUCGACUUAUGAUUGCUCAACAGUAGUUUGCUCGCCAACCAGUUGCUCACCAGUGCAUUCACCCCGCGAUUACAAUAACUACAUUCAAAACUACAAUAAUCAAGAAUGCGCGCGAGAUUACAAUCAAAGUUGACUAGAGCUCGUGCCAAGCCUCAAGAGAGGGAGAAAGAAACCUGCUGAUUAGUAUCAGGUGUACUCUGCUCUUGUCAAGUGGAAUACUAGUGCUAUCUUACCAUCUUUCCAUCUGGAUAUGCUGCCCCUGCGUAACUUUGUGGGUAUCAACGUGCACGUCACUUUUAGUCCAUGCCCAUUUUCUUGCGUUUGCGUUGCCCUGCUUCAUUGAUUAAAGUUUGUUUCAUGCUGCAUUUGCACGAUCUGCAACUGUGUCUAAGAGGGUUCGGAAAUUCGUAGGCCAAAGCAACUGGAUCAGAAGAGUGUAAUCACCGAAGAGUCAUCUGCAGAGUGUUUCUUGUGGUAGUCCAUGAUAAUAACCUAACUAUUGCAAGUGAAGAAAUGUCCAACUUUCUGUCAAAUUUAGCGAAAUCGUAAUAAGUGUGGUUGCCCUCAUGUGUGCUAGUUGAGGUCGAGAAGGCCCCGAUCGCUCUCUCCCUAGCCAACCUCAACCUACUGAUUUGAGAGCCUAGUAACACACAUCACUUUGAUUUCAAGUAGUUUUCUGUUGUCGCGGCAGCAAUCGUGCACUUCUGAUUUGUUUCAAUCAGGAACAACGUCUUCGACGGGCAAACACCUUCAUUAUCUUUUUGCGGUGAGGUAUGUAUUUGUUGUUGGUGCAAACCUUCUAUCAAAAAGCACACAAUGAUCUUAAAAACUAGUCCAGUUUCCAUUUCCUUUUCGUCCUUCCGCCGACUUUUGCAAAUCCCAAGUGUCAUGGACGUUUCGGGAGCAUUCUCGAUACGUGACGAGAGAUUCGAUAGAGACAAGGUUGCUGUAGUCACAGUUUGAAGAGAGAUUGAGCAGUAGUGGAUGGGAUUGGCGAUGAGGAGGGUUACGUUUUUAUUAGCUGAUGGGCUACGUUGAAAACACUUGCAUCUCAACAGCCUGUGAGUGGGGUUGAUAUGAGGAAAUGAGUGAAGUCAGCUGCUGGCGGUAAUUCGUCAAAAAUUGAAGUUCUGGCUUCUGCAUUUUGCAUUUAAGAAGGCGAUGAUGAGGAGUGAAGUGCAGGGCAGAGAACAUUGGUUGCGCAAUUAGUCCUUCUUUCUAACAGAGAACCCAUUGGAGGGGAGAGCGGUUGAAGCGCUCUUCGUUUGCGACCCCGGUAGACUAUUCCUGUUAAGAUUCUGUAUGUGUAGUUUUUUUUUCUUUUUUUCUUUUUUUUCUUUUUUCUUUUGUGUGUGUGUGUGUGUGUCCUCUUCUUCAAGGAAUUGUGGGUUGGUAUGGUUACGGGGGGAAGAGAGUGAUUUUAAAAUGAGAGUAUCAAUUGUGUCGAGCAGUUUCUCUGCGUACGUUGAUAACCAAGUUGUGUACAAGAUAGUCAACCUCAGAAAUUGGGCGUGUGUAAGAUUCAUACCGGUGUUAAUACAAGUUUUUAAGACCUAACUCUUAUCUAGUAUUCCUCACGCCAGCCUGUGGUUGCCAGCCUCAAGCCACGACUUUGAAUUUCACUUACACUUUCUGGUCUUGAUUUCGUUGUGAGAUUAUCUCUGUAUCUGACUCUUCCUGCAAUGUUUGAAACUUUCGACAGUUUUUUUGUAUUCCUCUUUUACUGUGGGAUUCUUUUAAAAGAGUAAGAGCGUUAGGGUGUCUCAGCGUCUCAACCGGAUGUGGUUCAGCACGUCUUGUGUUUUGAAACCAUAAGCUUGCAGUGUUAUUAUCCUGUCGGCAAAUGCUGCUCACCAUUUCUGUCAUAUCGAAACCGUCUUAAAGUGGACUUUACACUUCACUAUUAAGUUUUAGACUUAAGAGUAUGGGCAGGUUUUAGAUAAGUACUUUGCGCCGGUGGCGUUGUUCUAUCAAAACACUCCGAUUUGUCGCUAUGCAAAUUUGGAGCCUGAUGUCUCCACAUGUGAAUGAAUUGGAGGUCCUCAACCAGUUAAGUGUUAUUUUCGAGCUACACACGAGUGUACUCGCAGGAAACAUUUAGUACACUUAGAGAGCUCUGAAUUUGGUUACAACCAUGCUGCAAGUUAUUGCAGAAAGUCAUGAAUACUGAAAAAGUUUCACGUUGUUACUAUGUAUCGGUUCCGCAUGCGACAUCAUUAUUGUUUAUUGUCUUAUUACUGUCAAAAAUUGCGAAAUCCAUAUCAGUUCCAAAAUGUAAAUUGUUCUUAAGUGGAUCUUGCAGAUUUCUAGGUCAUAACAAUGGAAACAUUUUAGAUCAUUGGCUUUGGCCUUUGUUUUCGACUGGAGAAGAACGAUGGAACUCAGUAGCAAGUCAUUGUUCACUUACCAAUCUUCUUCAGCAAAUCCCUCGGUACCUUUCAGAAAAUUGGAAGUCGGAAAAGUACACAAUUCUGGUGAUUACAAGAAGAGAACUGUAGGGCAAGAGAUACUGUAAACUGUAGCAUGUUUCCAAGUCUGACUUAGAAGAGCUAGGGGGAAAACUUGAGCUACAGAACAUAAGAAGUUGAUCAGCUUGCAGCCCUCGUCCUCAAAUAUAAGCAAGUUGCCAAAUAUUAAGACUUCAGUGUUCAUGGGGCUAACACCAAGUAGACCAAGUUCACACUCCUUGAGUGUAAAGAAAACUUCAAGGUUGUUAUUGUCUUGGUAUUAUUUAGAUUUGAAACCGAAUAGCAUUACUUCGAAUGACUUUCAUACUGAUCGAAACCAAUGGUCUUCGCCCUGUGCGUCCAGGCUGUCUCCGGGUGCACGAUCAGAGGGAGGAACUGAAGCCCUGAAAGAAUCUUCGAAUCUAGCGGAUAGCCUUGCGUUAUCUGAUACCGAAGAGUCUCGUGCUGAAUCACCUUCUUUAUCUGAAACUCUGAGAUCCUUACGACAAGCGUUCGUAGUUCCAAGACGGAAAGGAAAAUCUGCUAAGAAAACUUUUGCUACCUCCAAACCAAGUGUUCAAGAAACUCUCCAACAGCCGGAAACACCGCCAUUUGUGGCAGACUCUGGAAGUCCUCAAGUCAGAUCUAAGCUUCUCGACGAACUACAUCAUCCGUUAGAAAAUGAGGAUGGGAGAAGUGGAGGAGCAACAGCAGACAAACUUGUAGAUAGUGAUGAAGCCAAAAAGAUGAUAGAACGUUAGUGGGAUCAAAGACCCCAGGGUAUGCACAAGCUAUUUCCAAUAUGGUGAAGCAGAGAAGUCAGGGUGUCGCAGUGGAAGGUGAAGCAUUUUCUUAUGCAGUCGACCCUGAUAUGUUGUCACCUGGGGAGUAUGUUGUGCACAAGCGGGUUGGAGUAGGAUGUUUCAUUGGCAUCAAAUACGAGGUGCCUGCAGGGAAAUUGAAACCCGCUAAUUAUAUUUACUUGAAGUAUACCGACGGAAAAGCAAAGCUGCGGGCAAAACAGGCAAAUAGACAUCUCUAUAGAUAUUUUUCUCCUGCAGAUGUGAGUCUCGCACCUUCUCUAAGCAAGCUAAAUGAUCCCGGGAAUUAGGAGAAGAAAAUGAAUAAGGGCAAGGUAGCAAUACAGAAACUUGUGGUCAACAUGAUGGAGCUCUUAUCCAUCGCUUGAAGCAGACCCGACCUGUUUAUCCCAAAGACUUGAAAUUGAUCGCUUCUUUUGCAGCCAACUUUCCAUCCACUGAAACACUUGAUCAGCAGCAAGCAAUUGCAGACGUGGAGAGGGACAUGACAAAGAGGGAAACGCCCAUGGAUCGUCUCAUCUAUUGUGACGUGGGUUUCGGUAAGACGGAAGUAGCACUUCGUGCAUUAUUUAUAGCUGAUUCCGCAGGUAGACUAGCAAUGGUGCUUGCUCCGACCACUGUUUUGGCUAAGCAACACUAUGAUGUUAUUCGCCAACGGUUUGCUGGGUACGACACGAAAGUGGCUCGCUUGAGUCGUUUUAAGAAGGACUGGGAAAAGAAGGAGGUCAUAGCUGGUAUUUCUGAUGGAAGCCUUAGCAUUGUUGUUGACACUCAUUCUCUCCUCGGGAGCCAAAUACGAUAUCACAACCUUGGCCUUCUGAUUGUGGAUGAAGAGCAGAGAUUUGGGGUCAAACAGAAAGAGAGAAUCACUUCCGUGAAGACUACGGUUGAUGUUCUGACGCUAUCUGCUAUUCCAAUCCCUCGCACUUUGUAUUUGGCUCUCAGUGGCUUCCGGGAUGCAAGCCUGAUAACCACCCGGCCGGCGGAGGGGCGACCUAUCACCGCUCAUUUGAAGGAGUUCAAUCCCUACAUAGUUAAGAAGGCCAUUGACUUUGAACUAAAACGUGGUGGUCAAGUGUUCUAUGUGGUGCCACCAGUGAAGGGUAUGGAAGAAACUAAGGCUAUUCUAGAAUCUUAUUUCUCAGACAUUGGAAUUGGUUUGCUCACGGCCAGCAAAGCCCAGCUGCUUUGGAGGCCCAUGGAGCAGUUCAGCAAAGGAACCUACCUUAUCCCCCUCUGCCCCAGUAUCAUGGAGAGUGGGCUGGACAUACGUCGGGUGAACACCAUCAUCAUUGAAGACGUUCAGCUAUUUGGUCUAGCGCAGCUCAAUCAGCUGCAAGGAAGAGUCGGAAGGUCCGAUAGGGAGGCCCAUGCUUACAUGUCACACCCCUCCAAAGACCUUCUCUCAGACGAUGAAUAGGAACGCUUGGUUGCCCUGGUAGAUUACUGUGGCCUAGGUUUCCAGCUUGCCGAGCGUGACAUGGCCAUCCGAGAAAUUGGCAGUGUAUUCAAGGAGAAACAAAGUGGGAAUGUUGCCAAAAUUGGCGUGGAUCUUUACCUUGAAAUGUUGUUUGAGGGCCUUUCGAAUGUUGAUCAUCAAAAGCUCCCUCAGGUUGCGUUUGAGGAGGUUCAGCUGGAUUUUGCAUGAAGCACGCAUAUUCCCAGGGACUAAGUGACAAGAGCUGCAUUACGGGACAAUGUUCUGCGGGAUGCUGAAAGAGCAGCCAACGACAGCAUGAAUGCUCUUAUGCAAUUCACGCAUCGUCCACGGAGUGAGUAUGGACCGGACCCUUCCUCAGUGGAGGUGCUGCUCAAAACCUUGUACGUGAAAAGGAUAGCAGCAGACUUGGAAUCCAUCGUAUCCGCACUCGUGGCAAGACAAUGGAAACCAACAUGGAACCGGAGGCCUUUGAAAUGCUACGUUGCGCCACAACUUCCGUUUCUGUCCACGAUUCUCUUACAUGUGAAACUGGUAGAAUUAAAAUGAAAGGCCUCAUAGGAUUGCCCAUAGAACGUCAACUGGAUCGGGUGUUCUGUUGUUUGGCAAAAAUUUGCGCAACCGCCUUCCGUCUUUUGUGAAGUACAUGUGAACGAAGGUGAUGUAGCGAAUGUAUAUUAAGAUGUUGCAGCUAUAUCCUUAGAACUACGAGGCAAUUUACAUUGAUCAAUAGUCUCCAUCUGAUUCUUUGCCUGACUGGGCUGGAGUCCCAACAGUUGGCGUGGUCAUUGACGUCGAAGCUGGAUCGCCCACUGUUCUUCCAAACAAAUUCAUUGCAUUAAUUUUAGAGCUAGAUGGGAAGAAAUUGUUGCUUCUUUAAAGCUCUGACAAACUUACCUAUCUUCUCUCCUCACUAGUUACAAUCGUCGGUACCUUGCUGGUUCUGCUGACACCCGAGCUUGCAGGAUGAGACAGAAAUGUAUGGAAUCUAAACAGGGAGCUGUCAACCCCAAUUCAGCUCCAAGUCAAAAAUGCUAAAUACUGGGAUGAAAUCCGUGAGCUUUUGAAUCUUUUUUUUUUUUUGGAGACGGUAGCACAUGCGUAUGUGUACUUUUCAUAGAGAUUCUUGCUGAUUACCUCAAAUGCGCUAGUGUAUUUACUGUGCAUUUUUUAAUGAGAAACUUUUUUUAGAAAGAGGAGAAUAUCCUUUUACAGUUACCAAAAUACCUCUAGACUAUGGAAGGCAACUGCCUUUGCCUUCCCACAACACUAGAGAGGUUCCAAUACACACUUUGUAUCUGUUGAUAUGGAUCGUUCUAAGUGAUUCAUACUAGCAGUAAAAUAGAAUGAACUUUGGUUAAACUGGGUGCGUAACAUUGUUGAAGCACAGUUUAAGAAUAAAUAAGCUUUAGAAUUUUAAGAGAAUUUUUAUGCUAUUGAACUACAAUAUAUAAGUUCAUACAUGUUCGAUAAUUAUUAGAAUAUAAUAAAGGAGGAAAUUAAAUCUUUAAAAAAAAUGUUUCAAAGAUGUCACAAACACAGUGAAUAUAACAUGUAUGAAAUUAACAAAGAAUAUAACAUUAUCUUAAAAGAAACUUUGUUCUUUAAAGAUAGAUUGACAUUUUUUGUUUGGAAGCUAUGGUUUCAUAAUCAUGCAUCGGUUGCUUUUAAAUCCUCAGUUUCCUGAAACUCAAAAACACAAAAUAAAGAAAAACAUCAUUGGGGAGAGGCAACUUCACAAGGGAAUGGAACCAUGUGUAUUUUUUUUCAGAAUUGUUUUGGAAGUCAUUUCCCUCAACUGAUCCCUACUAUGAGCCCAAUUCAACGUACAAAAUCAAGCACUUCCAACCAAAGAAUGUAAUGCAAAACAAAGGAGAGAGAAGAAGCAAUUACAGCAUCCAUUGGCAACACUAGAAUGUCAAGUUUCAUCAGACAAGUGAGUGCGAAGGCUCCAAAGCUGCAAGCAUGGAUGGAGUAGUAGACCUAGUUUGGGUUCAAAUCUUGUGGAACUGAGCGUUGCAGCCAUGGCAACAGAAUGCGAUGCAGCUCACAAGAAUAGCACACCAUGACCCAGUCUUGUGCUGCUUGUGCUUUUUCAAGACGGCAUUGAAGCUGCAAACGAAACGACGAUGAAGAAGAGGAAUAGAAGAUGGCAGGAUUCGCAGGCUAGGUGGCGAUGGUGGUGGAGAAAGCUGGGGAGCAGUGAGACAUGGCGAGGGCGACGAGUGUGAAUAGCGGCACCAGUUUCUGACUCAGCCCAGAUAUCUUCGAUGGCGGCGCCGCGGCCAGCUCGUGUUUCCCACUCAGCGUCUCGACGUUGUCGAUCAUGGGCCCAUACUUCUCCGACAUGCUCUCGAACUUGAUCACCGUCGAUACCCCCGUGCCUGUGUACACGAAGCUCUGCUUCGUCCACGUGAUCUGCGACCUCGAGUCGGUCAUGUUAUACACCGGCUGCUUGAUCGCAUAUUCGCGAACAGUGCCACCUUGGAUGUUCGACACCUUCAGCGCCGGCCACAGGUUCAUGGGGGCGUCCGGCAUCCGAGCCACGUCGUAGUGCACCGUGUAGGUCUUGCCCGUCUCCGCGUUGGCGGCCAGCGUCGUGGAUAUGGUUCCUUGCGUGCCGUUGAUAAUGGCAUCGGGGUUGUUCAGGUGGAUGCAGUACACGCUGGGCGUGCCCUUGGCCAUGCUAUAAUUGGUGUUCACAAGAAUCUGAACGCCAGCGCCCCCAGCUAUCCAGUUGGGGAUGGAGGUCGACGUGCUGUCCGCCAAGGUGGUAGUCAUUGCCGUUAUAUUAGUUAACUCAAAAUCGCCGUUCGCCAGUGAGAUCGUGUCGCCUGAUGAUUUCGGCGCCGGAGCAGCGGAACUGCUAAAGGUGCUAAUGCCAUCAUCUUGGAACUGCAAUUCGCCUACGGUCUUCACUACAUCCGAGCCCAACUCUCCGGAACAGCUAGACGUGCUCACCCAGCACACCGCCCACAGGAAAACCACGCUUACAAUCAUGGUCGUCGGUGACCUCACUCCAGACAUGGUGUUCAUUCCUCUGCAUCACAACCAUGCAUCAGCGUUCCAAAACUUUCUUAUUACGUCUUGCUUGAGUUUGUGUCAGCGUAGUUUUUCAAUUACGUCCAUCAGAAGUUGGACAUCUUCAUGAAUAUAACGAAGUCCAUUUUUGUCAUGCUGAGGAAUGUCUCAGAAGAGUAAGACUUAAGAAGGAAGUGUAGAGCUAUGGAAGGGCAGAAUCAGCAGAAUCAGAGACAUACAUCGCAAUAAAGUUCAGCGGCAUAUACUAAUCACACAUUGAGAAUUUCCAUACAUACACUAGGCAAUGGACCCGCGAAUAAUCGUAGCUUCAUGAAGCUAUAUAAGUAGGUCCUGAUCAUUGCCAGCAAUUCGAAAAUUCUAUGGUAAGACAAGUUAGUGAUGGAAAGUGUUCAUUACUUUGGACACAUCGAUGAUGAAUGUCUCCGCCUUCGCACAGAUGGCUUCCAAUUCUGCAAAUAUCCUGAUCCUGACGAACAGUCAAUGUUCCUUCCCAUGUCAAUAAUAUCUUUUAAACUUUGUAAUUUCGACAAGCUGAAGUUCUUUAGAAGAGGAAAAUAUUUUCACGUCUGGAAUAGGACUUUUAUGAAAGCAAUUGCUCGAUUAUUUUACCUCAAAAGAACAAAUCGUUCAUACAAUUUUUUUCUAUCUGAAGCCCACAUCCACCGUCAAGAGAAUCAAUUUAUUGUUUAGAUCCUCUUAUAUUCUGAAUCUAGUGACGCUUCUGUCAUAAUAUCGCAGCGCUAAAAUGCCAGCUUUCUAUCAUAUUUUCUGUCCGAGUGAAAAACAAGUCUAUGACGAACUCGGCCAACACACGCUUGAGAGGCAGAAACAGACCCUGCAACAACGUCAGGCUAAUCACAAUUUGGCGCUCCUAGUCAUAGAACUUCUGAAAACUGAAGUGCUUCUGAACGAAACAUGCAUAAGUCGAAGACUAUCCAGUCCCUGUCAUCGGGCAAGCAAGAGAGGUUCUAAACCAGGGCGUGCCUGAUCCGAUCUCAUUAGCAACGCUCAUGACCCACCUUCCGGAAUCUCUGCACAUGGCAUCUCCUGGAAACAUCACUGUGAAGGACUUGCAGGAGACUAAGAUCUGCAUGCGAUUGGCGACCUCACAGUGAACAAGCUGUUCUCAUGUGGGGCACCGGAGACACCACGUAACAUCACCAGUAACUGUUGCUUCUUAUGCAGCAUGUCCUCCCUGCAACUGCCGCACAAAGAACAGUGAUGGUUCAUGUGAUGCCCCCUAGAAUCUCAUAACCGACACUUGCAGGCUCAGACAACAGUGAGGAUGGCCUAUUGAUGAGUGGCAGCAUUGUAAAAAACAUUCGGCGUGGUUUUUAGGAUUCUGAUUGACCUUAGAAUCGGUGUUGUGUUGCUGCAGACUAACAAAUGCGAAGGAAAACUGGUUUGGACUCAAUACUUGUGUUUAGGAAUCAUGUUAAAAUGGCAAAUGAGAACAUGAAAUCAGUAACCAAGUAGUGAUGUUAAUAACCGAGUGCUUUCCACUUCUGUAUAUUGUGUUUGAGAGUUGUAGGAGACUUGAGCAAGCUCUUGGCGAGAUACUAGAAUUGGUGGCUCUUGGUGAUGUGUCUAGGUAUUGGUGAUGUGAGGUUGGUGUGGGUUUGCAUAACCUCAAUUAAUUAACUGCUUAUUUUAGGUUCUUUUUCCACGAGUCUUAUCAUGUGAAAUUCAUUUAUGAAAAUAUUUUGGUUUACUUCCAAAUUACACUUUAAAACUCAUGACUAAAGAAAACAAGCUUUGAGCACAACAUGAUUUUUUAAUAAUGAAAAAAGGUUAAAUAUAUCAUUUAUUAUAUUAUAAAUUCAAAAUAAUAAUAAUAAUAAUUGUAGGAUAUAUGCUAGUGAAAUCAACAAUCAAUUGUAGUAGUAAAAUUUGCAAAUUUAAUAAUUAAUAAAUUUGAGUCUCAUGCCUAAUUAUUAUCUUUCAAGUCACAUUAAGACAAAUUCUUUUUAAAUUCAAUAGAUUAUGCAAUCAAUGUAGUACUAUAUCUGCUAAAACAAAAAUAUUUAAUUUACAUAAAAAUAUAUAUUAACCAUAUAAAUAAUGAUGAUAUAUAUAUAUAUAUAUAUAUAUUAAAAACAACAUAGUUUUAAUAUCCAAAGUUUUAUUAUCAUAUUAACAAUGAUGUUAUUAUUUUAUACAUAUUUUUAUUUAUAAUUUAAUUUUAGCUCAUUUUGUUACUCCAAAGAUUUGUUAUGCCAAAAUAAGACUUCAUUAAGAGAAUGAGAUAGAUGAAUGAUUUAUUUUUAUUAUGCUAUCAUCAAUCCAAGACUUCUAUUAUAGAGUCUUUAUAUGUUAGAGACAAGGUGAGAAGCCACAUUUUUAAAUCGUUUAAUUGCUUGAAAUCAAGAAACCUUACUAAGUUGGUUUUACAAUAAAAAUAUGUAGUUCAAAAAUCUUGAGAAGAAAACCUAAGAUAGAAUGCAUUCUUGCCUUAUACAACAUAGAUAGUAUUGUCCAUGGAAAUUUCAAUUGAAUCUAUCUCGAAAGGUAUUUUUUCAGAAAAAAUUGAGAAACAGUGUCAAAACAUCUUUACACAACCAGUAAGUAAUAGAAAAAAUCAUAAAACCAACUUUUUUGUACUAAUCACAAUUCUCAGAAUGACGAUAUGGAUUGACAAAAGUACACUUGUAAUAAAAGAAUGACUUGGUUCAUGUCAUGUUUUCUUUUCACUUUGUACUAUCCGAAGACCCAGACUUUUGAACCAGAGUUUUUCUUCACGCAACAAGUAAUAUUAACCAAUUAUAAUUAAACAAAUAAAUAAAUAACUAUGCCCUUUCAAUUUCGUAUUCUAGGCAUGAAAACACCAGCCAUUUUCAUUCAAUUGUUCCAAUCAUUUUCACACAAUAUGCGAUUUCAGUAAAGGAGAAUCUCAUUCGCAAGCUUUGGCUCACGGCAUAAAAGCCACAUAUCGAUAUCAAUGGUUUGAAAGAAUAAGACACGUCACUUCGGAUUCAGCUCCACGACUCUUUCAUUAUUUCCAUCGUCAUUGCACUAAUUCGGCCACAAUCCGGUUGACUCACUCAUUGUCACAGUUCUAAGCAUCUGCUACAAUAGUGUAGAGAGCGCACGAUAGCACUGCAAAUAGGAGACAAUGGAUAACCACAUUUCAUAUCAGUGCGGUCCGAAACAGUAAGAAACUGCCGGCUUUUCAUUGAAUUAGGAUAAGGAUUUCGUGAAACAGAAAAAUGCGUAUUACUCUACCACAAAUCGCCAAAAUGUCCGCAGACAUUACAAUUUCUAAGCAGUUCAAGACGUUUUGAACAAGUCCAUCACGGUAGGCUAUGUACUCCCUACUGACAACCUACUUUGUUUGAAUGCCGUUCGAGUAAUUUGUACACGUAAUUGAACAUCUUAACAAUAUCUGCCUUGAAUAGGCAUUUGAGGAGACAUCAUCGCAGUGGUCUUCAGAUGCAGGGCGGUACCUUGCACAACGAUGCAAGCCGUUGAUGCGAAGAGCAUUACCAAUUCGUGCUCUACCACUCUAGAUACUACAUGGCGCGAGUCACAGUUUCAGUGUGUGAACCAGUGCGCUUCGCUGACUUUUUUUCACGUCGUUCGUUCACUUUGAACGAGCUGGUCAGCUCUCAUCUUAGCUUGGUAUUUUGCUCUGCAAGCCUGCAACUUGAAACAAACUCAAUCAAAACGUAUUAUAUAUCGUUUAGCGAGAAGAAACACCCAGCCAGGUUAGCUAACAGCAAGUUCAAAAUUGCGCACGGCACAGCAAGCAAGGAAAUUGCACCUUAGUAGUGGAAUGAAAAGGAUGUUGACAGUAACGGUUGCGGUGAUUGUAGAUUUAGAGAAAUAUCUUUUAGCGGAGAAGAAACAGGUGUGAUAUUUUUCUUAAUUAUCGCUUCUUUCACUUGUUUCCGAAGCUUGCGCAGGCUCUUCGGGACCUCAGUUCCAACCUUCCUGCCAGAGUUCUCCUUGUCAGCUUCACCAGCACAAUACGUAUUCGUCCCAACAGAACUGAGUCUGAGGGCAACCUGGUUCGCACCUUCGUUAAGCUCGUUGUUGCUGCUUCCACAGUCCAACCCAUUCUCCAUAUACAAAAGCGACGGACAUCGGAGUGGGGAGUUGUCUACCAAGUGGGCUAGAGAAGGACUCUUCACUGGAGAGAUUGAAUCCUCUCCCAUGUGGCUGACCAAAGGGCUCUUCAUUGGGGAGCUAUCUUUCAUGUCUGCUAAUGAGGGGCUCUUCACGGGCGAGGAUGGGUCAUCGCUGUAAUUUGCCAGGCGUUUCAGAGAUUCUGGCUCUACUGCAUCAGAAACGCCUUUUUUCGCUAAGUCAGUGUCCACGUAAACCUCAAGAACGGGAGAUCUAGCCUUGGCUUUUGUCCUUUUGGUCUUCGCUUUCCUCUUUGCUGUUAACGCCUUCUCGGUGACUGCCUUGGGCUCGACACACUCAGGCUCCUUGUCCAGGUUAGCAGAGUGUCCCUGGUCAGCUGUAAAACCCAAACCUAUUAGAAUACGACUCCUGUUAAGUGGGCAAGGAAUGGAAGGUUCAACGCUGUCGAAGUCGAAUUGAGAUAAGGCGAGAGAUUGUACCGAGUCCAAUAGUUCUACCAUCGUGGGGAUCUACUUCAGAGACUGUUGCUGGUGCAGCUUCAAUCUCAACUGGAGGAUUCGUCGAACGAGCUCCUUUCUUCGACUUCUUGCCUUUCCUGGUUGCCGGCUUAGGUUCCUUGACGGAAGACUUUAUGAUUUGAAUAUCAUCUGAGCCAAUGUCAAAAAUCAGCACAUUGUUACCCAUUACGUUAAUGCUCGCACAUUACAGUCACAUGACAUCUCUGCUGCUGAAGGGAGAAGAGAAAACCAGUUCGUAAAAAUUGCCAAGAUGAUCGAUUUCGGUACCGCAGAGCUCCUCUUUAUCGAACGCCGCCGGAGAAGUCUCCACCUCAUUCGAAGGUAGUGCAACACAGGAUCCAUUCUCUGCCUUCAUUCCUUUCUUAGAUGUCAGAUUAGGUUCUGCGGCCUUCUCUUCUUGCAGUGCGUAUAUCACGGCUUGACCUAGAUCUGGUAGAAACAAUAGGCGUACAUCACGUAAAUUAACUAGUAUGUCGCGAAUACGUCACGACAGCUUGCAGCACUAAAAAUAUCAAGAGGUAGUUACCAAAGUGGAAAUCCCCAACGUCAUUGAGCCGCCUGUCGUUAUCAAUUGCAGGAGCUUGUUCUGAAGGUAAUGCAGCAGGCGCUACUCUCCUCGCCUUCCUGUCUCCCUUAUUCGCAGGCUUGGAUUUCUCAACCUCGUGAGCUUGAGACUCAGUUAGCAUUUCCUGGGACUGAAGCGGUCCUGAACGAAGGCACAAGCGGGUGUUAGAUCAUGAAUGAUGUAGUGACUGGACGCUGGAAUGCCUAACGUCCAGAAAAGGCCUGAGAAGGAACCAUAUGUAGGGAUUAACACUACCAUUGAGUCGCACGUUCUCUGGAGCUGCAUGGAAUGUCUUCAUCUCAACCGGUGAUGGGGCUACAAGGGCCCCCUUCCUGACUCUACCACCUCCUUGAAGUUUACCUUGAUUAGCUCCAGAUUGAAUGAUGGAGACGGCUUCGGGUGCAGCAGGAAUGUUCAUACUAGUUACCGGUAACACGUUCACAGCAGCCUUCUUCCCGGUCACAGUUCUCUUGGCUGUAACCCUGCGCGACGAAACCUUCUGUGAAGUUUUUUUUCCAGUGAUUUCCUCUGAAGGUGUGAGGGAUGGUGCAAGUCUACUGAGGGUGCCUUCAGGCUGCACGGCAUCUACCACUUCAGCCAGAAUGACAUUUUCGGCUUCAGUGGGCUGGUAGGUACCCUGCAUAUCAAUUUUAUUGCCUCCGACUCUGCUCUCAACUUUCAAGACUUUAGCAUCUGCCAGACAUGCACUGCCCUCAUUUCUGUCCUCGAAUUCCACGGAAUCGAAUAGUCGUUGUGAACGAUCGCGUCGAAUUGCGAAGUCUACCUCUGCCAGGACUUCGGGUUCAUCUUCUUGGGUAAUGCUACUUGCCGCAUAGUCACUUCCCGGACUAUCUGGGGCAACAGCAGCCUUGACUAAAGCUCUGGCAUUCUUCGACUUCAGAGCGGGCUUCUGCAUACCCAGGCAACUACGAAUGAGCAGGAUUGCAGCAUUCUGAAGGAAACUUGAUGCCACUAAGGAGAAGCACGCAAAAGAGAGGAGCGUAAGGUUUGACAGAAAGACCACCGGGGUUCUAUCACUUACUCUGGCGGCACGGACUGUGAGUCUCGCCUUCUCUACCGCAGAAGAUUUGAUAGUGGGUAUGUUUUCAGCAGCUGUCAAGCUUGAUAGAGGUACAACCAUGACCCUAGCUGAGACUCUUUUCAUACGCGGCUUCACUGCGCUGCACAUGUCUUCGAUACCAGAAUCAACUUGGUUUUUCCUGUUAUUUGCAUCGGGUGAUUUGAUGAAGACAUCUUCAGAGUCACCUGAUUGCACACGACGGCAGGAGAGCAUGGACGAAUUGCCAGUCAGUGAGGAUGUGGGUUUGGCUCCGACAGUGAUACCAGUAGGGGUUUCUCUAAGUCAUGCAAUUCCCUAACGACAGAGUUCGACGGCCUGGUGUUUCAUCUAGUAACUUUAGUGAAAAUUCGGACAAAACGAUGGACCUGACGAAUGUACCUGUAUCAACGACAACCUCCAUGGACUCCUCAAUUAUCUCCGUCGAAGCAUCCUUCGUAGGAGCGUUGACCUCUGUUGCCUUCCCUUUCUCGGCGACCUAACAGAAAUUUACAGCCGUCGAGAGUCAGUUCCAAUGUAUGUGAUGUGUCCCCAAGACUAACAGAAAACGUGUUAAUAAUGCGUGAGCUUGAAGGCAUCCGCUCAAUCCCAGGUAAGACUACGCACAAUUUCAAGGACAGAAGAACUAAACAAAUGAGCGCUGCUACACAAUGCUCUUGAAGAUUGCUGACGGGAAACAUUCCGAGGUACCACGAUGCAACUGAUGACAUACACUUAUCCUUGCAGAGAAGAUAAAUGUUGUCCAACGAACCCAACGAGAUUGACUUCCGCAAAACUUACACUCAGCAGGGCAGUCAAAGAAUCAGCCAUGAACACAUUGGUUUUAUUAGCCGGAAUCUUGUGCUGCUUGCACAAUGCCUGAAGCUCCCGGCGGCUGAGGGCGUGAUAGUUCAUGCUUACCAGCUAAAAAUCCAGCAAACUUAGCUACACUGCACAGCAAAAUAACCUAAAAGACAGACUGCAACUCGUCCUUCGCUGGAGAUUGAGAUCCCUCUCAAGAAAGAUUACAAGCGACAGGAAACUUCGAAAGAAGAGCCACGAAUCAAAAAUUCGAGAUGAGUGCGUAGACAAACACCUAACAACACAACUUACCUUGCUACACUAAACACAAUACGUGACUAAAUCACAAUGCGAUUCAUGACACAAUCACACGACCACUACCCACUAAGAAACUCGGCACUGCAACUGAACAAAAGUCCUGCUCCCACAAACUAGCUACGGACCGAUGUCCAGACACAGACACAGACAAGACGACGAAGGCGACGACGACGACAACGAGGUGGGGCUGGCCGGAAUACAACCUCGGGGGGUGCUCCGUUGAAAUUUGAACCUAGCCCUACCGAACCUGGCGCCUGACCUGUCCGCAACGUAGUCCAGCUCAGCUACGCUUGCAAGCUAAAGCCAAAUUUGAUCACCGUGCCUGUUCCCGUAGCGAACGCGAAUAGGUGCCUCGGGUGGCCUCCAUAGGCGUGGGAUGCCGAUCGGACGGCUAGAGUUUCAACUGUCGUGGGGAUAUGAAUAGUAACGAGUAGGGUCGUUAGUAACGGUCAUACCGAGCCUAGUUGGCAAAGAUAAGAGGGGACUUUUUACUUCUAUUGCUUCACUUUUGCUUCUCGGUACUUAGCGAGAAAUCUAUCGAGAGCGAAGAAUUCCACAAUAAUUACUUUAAAGUAGGGAUUUGAAAGUUGUCAACCAGUCCACAACACAAAACUGCUUGUGUUUCUUGACCCACUUCAAUGGCUGUAGAAAGGGUUGCACUGAAAAAAUAACACGAAGCAUGGCAAAAGUAAAAGAUACGGUGCACAAUUAAGCAUUCAUAGGAAAAUUAUUAGCUUUGGGUGAUUAUAAAUAAUUCAAUUAAAUCUAAAUGAAUUUUUUCUUACUAAUUUGAAAAAUUGUAAUCCUUUUUAUUUACCUGAUCUAUGGAGAUAGAUAAAAUAAUUUCUCUUGCCUUGCAAUUUACUGAGACGUUUUGGUGACAUUCUUCAAUUUUUUCUUCUUUGAAAAUUAUUAUUAUUAUUAUUAUUAUUAUUAUUUUCAAAUUAUUAUCAAUAAUAAUCCUUGAAUAUGUUUUUUUUCAUUUUUUUAUUUUUUUAAUUAUUGCAAACAUAUGUAUCACCAUCACAUCUAACAACAUAUAAAAAUACAACCAAUCAGCCUAAAUGUAAAUGUUAUGAUCACAUGUUUCUAUGAUUUUAUAUGUUACAUUUUGCUAUAAAAUAUAAGGUAUAAUUUUGAUAUAAUUAAAAUAAUUCAAUGUAUAAAAUACAUAGCUGAAACUAAAAUAAUAUUGAAUAAUAUACUACAACAAGUAUACAAACAAAAUACAUAUCUGACUAUAUAUUAUAUAUCUAACUUGCAACUUUAAAAUGAAUAUUUAUACAUUUUAUCUAGUGUUUAUUAAUUUCAAGUAAAGUAUUUGAAAAAAAUUGAUAAUUUUUAAAAUUCUUCUAUUUAAUUAUGAAAUACAAUCAGUGCUUGUACUAAAAUAUAAAUUCAUAAAUGACACAUAUUGAAAUAAAUUUAUUUUUUAAUGUAUAAACUACAAUUACUCUCAUCCAACUUCAAUAGCAAAACUAAUUAUUGAAUAUUAUAUUUUAUUAAGGAUCUAAGUUCAUAAAGAUAUAUUUGACCUUGUUCUUUAAAAAAACUAAAUAUCUUUGUUUGUUUUUUUUUUUAAAAAAAUUAAGUUUAAAUUAUAUUUGAAAUAAACAUUCAGCCAAGACAAUAAAAAAUGAAAAGUAAGUAGGAUACCUACAAAUUACUAUUAGAUGUAACAUUUUUUAAAUUUUAUUUAGCUUUUUAGUCCAACUAUUAAUAUAUAUAGUUGUAAGUUAUUUAAAUAAGAUACAUUUAUGAAAGAAGAAUUACUAAGUGAUAUUUUAAAUAAUAAUUUAUACAUUAAAACAUAAAAUAGAUAUUUAUAAAAUCAUGCUUUUAUUGUUAUUAUUAAAUUAGUAGAUACCAAUAAAUAAAUAUAUAUAUACAUAUAUAUACGUGUGUGUGAGAGAGAAAGAGAGAGAUUUAAUAUAAAACACAUACAUAUGUUUUUGCAUUUAUUAAAUAAAAAAUCCAAAUUAUGAGAUAUGAAUUAACUUUUUGUAUAUUCAAGUUAGAAAAAAUAUUUAAAAAAGAUAAGGUAAAAACAUACAAGUAAAAUGAAACAUUCAAAUGAAGCAAUUCAAAAAUUCAUUAAUAUUGGACUUGUACAAAUCAAAACGAUUAAGUAUUGUUAUAAGUUGAUAACAAUUGAAUUAUAUAAACCAAGAUAAAUUGGUAUAUAGAAACCAUAAUACUACAACUGUAAAGAUUGAAUUAAUUAUAAAUUAGAAAACACCUAAUAGUAUAUUCAAUCAAUUAAAUUUAAAAAUCAAUUUGUAGUCAUAAGCAUCUAGCAGAAUAAUAAAUUCCAAUGUAGUUUCUAUAUGGAGGUAUAUUGUUAAUCACUUAAUUAAUUUUUUUCUUAAACUAUUAAUACAUUGCAAAAAUUAAACUGAAUCAACUUAAGUAACUAACAAAAAUUUAUACCAAAUUGUGUUGCAUAAACAUUGAAUAUUUACAUCUAUUACAUUGAUUCAAUGUAAUAGUUAUAAAAUUUGAUGUAUUUGUUUUCUAAAAAUCAUUAAUAUGAAAUUACAACGUGUAUAUUUUACAUUUAAGACCAAUAUUUUAAAAUAAAUGGAAAUGAAAUUACAAAGGAGUAGUUUUUUUUUUUUUUAUCUUUCUAUACUAAAUCAUUAAAAUAAAUUAUAAAAAAAAUUAGAAAAAAAUAUAAAAGAAGGAAAGAAAGAAUGAAUAUAUAUAUAUAUAUAUAUAUACACUAAAAAUUACUUAUGUAUUUAUAUAAAUACAAAAUAUAUAAAAUUAAAUUUUUGUUGAUAAAAUCUAUUAAAAAAUAAUUUAUUAUAUCUACUAUUAUCAAUCAUUCAAAAAUAUCAUAUUAAUAUAUUAUAAAAUAUAAUAAAUAUCAUAUAAUUUUUAUGCAUGUAAUCUUAAUUUGAUUAUAAAUUAAUAUUUAUAUAAAGACAAUAUAAAAAGUUGUAAUUAGAAAAAUACAAUAUAAUAAAGAUAUAUUUAUAUCUUUGUUAAGCCCUAUAAGUAACUAACAAAGAAAAAAAUUAUGAAUUUAAUUAAUAUUUUUCAUAGAAAUAAAAAUAUUUAGUGAAAAAAAUCAUGUGAAACUAGUGGUAUUUAAUUACAAAACAGAAAUUACUUUGAAAUUUGAAAUAAUUUCAUUCAAAAUUAUUUUUGAAAAUUUACCCUCUUAUAAUUUUUGUUUUACACCACAAAACCAUUUUGAAAUAUUAAGUUACAAUUUACAGAAAAAAAACUAAGCCAAUUAAAUACACAAUUAAAUAUGUUUGUACACAUAAAUAAGUAAAUAAAUAAAUAAUAUCUCAAUUUUGGUUAAAAUAUUGCAGUGUAUUGAUAUUUGGGUGACAUGUUCUAAACCUUGUGUUUUCACAAAAAUAACAAAGUUUCGCACUAUUACACAAGAGAAGAUAUUCACCCAUUUCUUAUCAAAUUCGAUAGGCAAAGAGAGAGACGCCCUUCGUGGAUGAAUAACUUUGUGGAUGAAUGAACCUAAAACUGGAUGAUUUACAGGGAUUGCCAGGAGACUCAGUACAUUUAUCGUCGAAAGAUGAAUAACACUGUUAGAAACGGAUGAAUUUAGGUAGAUGGAGAACUUCAGAGCAUUAGGGGCGAUCUCCGAGCGAUGCCGAGCUCCAGAGGUCCUCUUCUUCUUCUUCAUUGUUCUCGAGUUUGUUGCGCCGAUCCAAGCAUUCCAUCGCCACAUACACACAGACAGCGCCGUGGUGGAUUGCUGUAGUGGAUGGUUUGGGCACCGCACCGCAGGGCACAAUGAGUGGCCAUGACGCCAAGUAUUUUACCACCACCAAGAAGGGUGAGAUCCAUGAGCUCAAGGAGGAGCUUAAUUCACAGUACAAGGUGAGUUUUAUCUGGUUGUUGCCUACUAAGGUUGUUGCCAGUUUUUUGCGUUACGGGGAAUAAGGUUGAUCUGGACUUUUUCUGCCCUGUUGUUUCUCUGUUCUUUCGAUUGAGAGAUGUGGAAACUUCGUUGGUGUUGCUAUGGCAUCGUCUGGGAAUAUUUUAGGGUUUGAUCUACUGGGAGAGGAGAUAUCUGGCAUUAGUGGGGAUCUGUGAUUUUUCUGAGCGGAUCAAGUCAAAGCCCUUCCUGCCUACAUCUGUGUACUUUUGGAGCUGGAAGUGUCCUCCGUAGCUUGCUUUAAUGAUCGUUGUGAAGUGGUGAAAGGAAUUGCGGUAUGGUUGGUUCGUAUCUCAGAGUUGACUCAGGGCAGCGAUCAAUCUACGUUAGACUGCAUGAGUCCCUUCUUGCGAUCAGUUCUUUCUCGAUGAAUGCUCUGAUCGGCGAGUACAUGCUAGAAUGCUGUUCAUAAGUUUGUGAUGUCGGAAGAGUGUUCUUUGUUCUCUCCCUGGAGAUAUCUGUUUCACUUUAUACCGUACCUUUCUUGCCGUAAGGUCCUGCAUUGUGAAAUGUGAACCGCCGUUGCAGAACUUGCAGGGACUACAUUAUUUAUGUUUUCUUUUAGUGCGGGGUGGGUUGUGGAAGAUCAUAUCCACCUCCUACAAGAGGCACUUGUCGCGUGCGUAGGCAUUUUAUAUUUAUCUCCUGUACUGCGUUUCGUAGUGAGGCGUGUGUGCUUUAAGGUUCCACCUAAAUUCGUGGAAAUAACUUUUUAAUUCAUCCAGUUAUUUGUGAUUUCCUGCAAAACAACAAACCUCUAGUUUGCCGUGCGGUUCUGAAAUGUGCAAGUCUUUCUCCUCAACGUUCAUGGCUUUUGUAGGAAUGUUUUUGUUUCUCUCCGUUUCGUGGCGUUUAGGUUACGUCUUCUCUCCUCUUUCUCCCGAUUCUAUGAUUCGUAAGCAUAAUUUGCAUACAUUUGAAGGUUACGUAUGCGCGUUCCUCAGUUGUAUUGCCUGAAGCAAUGUUAUCCAGUUGCACUUCAUUUCACAUUGGCCGUUUCGUUUACUAUCCACUCUUUGUGUAUAGCUAUCUUGUGUCUUCUUCUCAAUACUUACUGUACAUGAGGUUGUUCGAGUCGUAACAAAUUCCAGAACUUAAAUGAUUGGCAUAAACUGAAUUGCGUUUUUUUGUGUCUCUUGCAGGACAAGAAGAAAGAUGCAGUGAAGAAGGUCAUUGCUGCAAUGACCGUUGGUAAGGACGUGUCUAUGCUGUUUACAGAUGUGGUCAACUGCAUGCAAACAGAGAAUUUGGAGUUGAAGAAGCUCGUUUACCUAUACCUCAUCAAUUAUGCAAAGAGCCACCCUGACCUGGCAAUCCUUGCUGUCAACACCUUUGUUAAGGUUUGUAAUUUAGUUAAUAGGUUAAAUAUAUAAAUUGUUUUUAAGUUUUCUGCUGUAGUUUAGGGGCUUGUGAAAUGAAUAUCAUCUGUUGUCGUUGUUACAUUAUUUAGGGCGGUUUGGGGGGGGGGGUGCUAUUACUUGCAUUGCUUGGGUUGUUGCUUAGUUGUGACAAUGAUGACAAUGAUGUGUACUCUCACAGGAUUCCCAAGAUCCUAAUCCUUUGAUACGAGCAUUGGCUGUUAGGACAAUGGGUUGCAUCAGGGUUGAUAAGAUCACAGAGUAUCUGUGCGACCCUCUACAAAGGUGCUUGAAAGUAAGUCUUCAAAUGCCUUGAUUAUUACCCAGAUCUUUUGGUGCAACUGUGUUGCCUCAUUGUGACUAUGAUAAUACAUAUUUUCAGAAAUAAGUAAAGGUGAGAUGGUGAUGCACCCAAACGGUUUUCUUUUUUCCUUUUCUUUUAACAUUUAAAAAUUCUUUGCUGGUCUAUUAUGGGACACUGGAUCGAAAUAAAUUGUCUACAAGGUACAUGCUGUACCUGGUUCCAUCUGCCUCUUGAGCUCUCGAUCUGCAGUUCUGUCUCAGCUCUUUCCUAUUCUAUUUUUUUACUCCAUUUCCAUCUCUAGGUUAGGGAUCUCGAAAGUUAACUUCGUCAUUCUCAUGUCAGUAUUGUUAAUCAUAUCUCUGGUGGCUUUACAGGACGAUGAUCCCUAUGUUCGCAAAACGGCAGCAGUUUGUGUUGCCAAGUUGCAUGACAUCAAUGCGGAGCUGGUGGAGGACAGAGGAUUUUUGGAGGCGCUAAAAGAUAUGAUUUCUGAUAGUAAUCCGAUGGUUGUUGCAAAUGCUGUGGCAGCACUUGCUGAAAUUCAAGAGGGUAGCAGCAAGAAUGUAUUUGAGAUCACAAAUCACACACUAUUCAAGCUUUUGGCGGCUCUCAACGAGUGCACCGAGUAUGUGUUUUCUUGGCUGAAUUUUCUCAUUAAGCAAGCUUAUUUGGAUCUUUGCAAUGUAAACGAUCAAACCCAAAUGAUCAGAUCAAACGGCAAUGUGUAAUAUCACACAUGUUCACUUAGGAAGCGUGGCGUUGUUCAGAUUGUUAGACGUGUUAAAAAUCGGAACUAUAUUGAGGCUAUAGUUUAUUGGCUCUAUGGUUGUAGGUGGGGCCAGGUCUUUAUAUUGGAUGCUUUAUCUAAAUAUAAAGCAAAGGAUGUCCGAGACGCCGAGAAUAUUGUGGAACGCAUUACCCCUCGCUUGCAGCAUGCUAAUUGUGCUGUAGUACUAUCUGCUGUAAAGGUAUUGUGUCUUUCUGCUGUCGUGGUGGUCCCUACUCAUUGGUGGGCUAUCUAUUCAUUUUUGCCUGUUUCUUACUCUGCCAUUCCCCAGCGCUUAAUCAAAGGUUUGGUUAUUGAGGUACUGAGUUGCCUGAUUGUAAUUGCUCUGUGAAGGUGAUUUUACAAAUAUGUUUUUUUUUAUUAAAAUUGUAUUCUAAAUCAGGUUUCUGUUUGAAGGUGAUUUUGCUGCAAAUGGAGCUUAUUACCAGCACCGAUGUUGUGCGAAACUUGUGUAAAAAGAUGGCACCGCCUUUGGUUACACUUCUAUCAGCGGAGCCUGAGAUCCAGUAUGUGGCACUACGCAAUAUCAACCUUAUUGUGCAGCGACGACCAGGCAUUCUUGCACAUGAGAUUAAGGUCCGCUUUCAGUUCUUGUCCUACUAGGACUAGGUGUUUGAAAGAACUUUUUGUAGAGACUGUUUUGUAUAGAGCUUCGAAGACGAAAAGAUUAUCUAAAGCAGGUACAGUCAUUUAGAACGUUUUUUCUUUUAUUGAUAGUCCUGGUUAGUUCUUCCUAACCUAAUUUUGGUUUGUCUUACGUGUACAGGUAUUUUUUUGCAAGUAUAAUGAUCCUAUAUACGUGAAGAUGGAGAAGUUGGAGAUCAUGAUCAAACUUGCCUCAGAUCGUAAUAUUGAUCAGGUCUCGUCAUCUAUCUCUUAUUUUUAAGUUGGUCUCUGGGUUUAAAAUUAUGUUCCUUCAUUGAUAUCAUUCCAAGGUGGAGUUGACUAUAAAGUAGUGCAUUACCGAAGACAACUGAGUAUGGAAUAAAAGCAAACGCUUGUUUAUUGGGUUUAGCAUAGAACCUUAACAUCUUUGAUGUUUUAUACACUGACAAGUAUGCUUUCUCAUCCAGGUUCUUUUGGAGUUCAAGGAGUAUGCCACCGAGGUUGACGUUGAUUUUGUGAGGAAAGCAGUUCGAGCUAUAGGUAGAUGUGCUAUCAAAUUGGAGCGAGCAGCUGAGCGUUGUAUCAACGUUCUCCUUGAUCUUAUCAAAAUCAAAGUUAACUACGUUGUUCAAGAAGCAAUUGUAGUGAUCAAGGAUAUUUUUCGAAGAUAUCCCAACAUGUGAGAGUCAGUACCCUGGAUAAAUCGAGGGUUUUCUGUGAGCAGAUAUUGGUUGAAAACGAGUUAGUUCAAUGGUAUUCUUGUUACAAGUACGAUUCACCUAGUAUCCGUUUCUGUUUAUGGAUAGAGUGAUACCAGACUUAGUUGAAAUUUAAACGAAGUUACUUGUUUUCCACAGGUACGAGUCUAUCAUUGCGACAUUGUGUGAAAGUUUGGACACUCUUGAUGAGCCGGAAGCGAAGGUACCUUGUUGUGCUUAUUGCAUUUUGGCCCUUGCAUCAUCCCUCUGUGAUUCAAGCUUAAUUGUUUAUUAUCUUUUGUUGUAAUACCUGCUGUAUCACCUGCAGGUUUUGGUAUCUUGGAUUUAAGGAUUCGCCUUUUCUUCAAAAGCAGUCAAGUUUCUUUCUUGCAAUAACAUCAAUUUCUGGCUCCUUCUGCAGGCAUCUAUGAUCUGGAUCAUAGGUGAAUAUGCUGAACGAAUCGAUAAUGCUGAUGAGUUACUUGAAACUUUUCUUGAAACUUUUCCUGAAGAGCCUGCACAAGUGCAGUUGCAGCUUCUUACUGCUGCCGUAAAACUAUUUUUGAAGAAGCCUACCGAAGGCCCUCAACAGAUGAUUCAGGUAUUGUCCAUUUCCUGUGAGCCGCAUCUCACCGAUUGGGGUUUCUUAAUACUUUAAGAAAGGACACAGACUAUCCUCGAAUACUUCCAAACCCUCCAUGUUCUAAGGGUUGAAAGUAAUUUUAAAGGGCCGUUUAUUGGGGGACCUGUGUGACACGCAAUUGUGUUGGUGUGACCAGGUUGUGCUCAACAAUGCCACCCAAGAAACUGAUAAUCCAGAUCUGCGAGAUCGUGCAUAUGUGUAUUGGCGUCUCCUUUCUACAGACCCUGAGGUUUGAUAUCUUCCAUUUUGCUAUGUUCCUUCGUGGAAGUUUCAGAAAUGUCAUAAAACGAGAGAUUUAACUUUAUUUAUGUGUAGGAAUUUUGAAUCACUUGAACUGGCAAAGGUGUAUACUUAUUAUCCUUGCACAUAUUUGUGAUGUAAGUUUUUUCCACGAUGAUAGAGUUAUACUGAAGUGCCGCUUUGUGCUGGUAAGAGCAGUUCUAGAAACUGCCGUAGUAGUUCAGAGAAUGCACUUUUUUGCUAUCAGGUUAGUGUGAUGAAAUAAACUGUGUGGAUUUUCCCAGGCUGCGAAAGACGUUGUUUUGGCUGAGAAGCCCACGAUUAGUGAUGAUUCCAACAAUUUGGAUCCAUCUCUUCUAGAUGAUUUGCUGGCUAAUAUUGCCACACUUGCGUCCGUCUAUCAUAAACGUGCUGAUGCAUUUGUGAGUCGCGCGCGAGCGGUCCCUGUGAGGGAGGAGGAUGAUGAGUACGCUGAAGGCCAAGAUUCUGGAUCUGGUAACUCAUCAGCUCCAGUUCCUGAGAUUGCUGUAUCAACUCCACCUACUACUGCCGCAGUUGCACCUGCUGCUGUAAAGGGUCCAAGUGCUGCUGCACCUCCUGUACCUGAUAUGUUAGGUGACCUGAUGGGGUUUGAUGGUGCCUUGGUACCAGUUGGACCUGCGAGUGCUGCAGCUCCGGGAGAGUAAGUAUUAUUAUCAUGGGCAUUAGUCCUCUUCUUUAUUGUUUUGAAAGUCCAUGGUAUUUCCUUGUUUACUGUCGAUAACUGUCUGACAAACAUGACAUUUAUCACUUGUUUUUAAGUUAAGAUUCUAUUUGUUAGUGUGUUCCAUGGAGUCAAGUCCCAAUUACUGUAAAAUUGUGUUUAUGAUACGGAAAUAUAUUAUUCGUCGAUAACCGCCAAAAUAAUUCUAAUACAUCCGUUAUUUAUGACUUGUUUUACAGGCCUCCCCUACCUGUAUUACUUCCAGCAGCAUCUGCCCAGGGUCUACAAAUAGCUGGCCAGAUGACGAGGCGGGGAGGAAAAGUAUUCUACAAUCUCAAAUUCGAAAACCACUCUCAAACUCCUCUGGAUAAGUUUAUGAUACAAUUCAACAAGAACACCUUCGGUCUAGCUGCAGGAGGACCUCUUCAGGUGCACCUCUUUGUUUUCUUGUUCGAAGUUCUAUGGAACUCAAAAAUCUUGAAAAGAAUUAAACGUAUAAAUAGUUCUUGCUCAUGUAGGCACAUUUUGUCUUUCUAAUGUUACGGUCAAGCUUCUUGCGUAAACUAUAAUUUUGGUCAUAUUCGUAUAGAAGUCUCUGCAUGAUUAUGGCCUGUGAAGUGCUAAUGCUGCAGAGACUUCAGUAGCCAUACUCUUCUUUUAUGGCCUUGGUUUUUGCUUCGUCUUGCAUGCUUUCUAUGUUGACUUCCGCUAUCAAGGACACGUAACUUGUGUCUGAGUGAUAAAUAUUGCAUGGUUGCAUCACGUUCUGUAGGUUCCUGUUAUUCAACCGUCAGGAUCGGCAACCACUUUGCUGCCUAUGGUUCUUUUUCAAAACGUGUCAGAGGGACCCCCCAACUCUCAACUUCAAGUAGCUGUGAAGAAUAACCAACAACCUGUUUGGUACUUCUCUGACAAAAUUCCAUUGCAAGCACUUUUUGUUGAAGAAGGGAAAAUGGAAAGGGGAACAUUCUUGGAGGUACUGUUCUUUCAACUUCUCUGCCACAUGUUCCGAGCACCAACAUAGGCUAGGAUCGCUACCCGGUUAAAUACAAUCCUGCUGCUACCUUGUCAAAUCAUGUAUUUUUUAGGAAAUAACCAGAUUCUCUUGCCAUUCCCUUUUACAUCUUAACGCUUGUUUAUUUAAUCGUGUGGUAUUUUGCAGACAUGGAAGUCACUGCCUGACUCCCACGAGAUCUCCAAGGAUCUGCCUAAUGCGUUAAUCAAUAACGUUGACGCCACUCUAGAGAAACUUGCCACGACUAACCUUUUCUACAUUGCUCGACGGGCACUCAAAGACACAAAUCAGGAGGUAAGGCUGCUUUUAUUCUGUGUGGAAAUUACCUUGUAUUCCGUUUUCUCCUGAAGUGAAACUUUUGCUUUGUUUCAGUCAUUGAUACAGUGACGGAUUAUGUAUAGAAUUGGUCAGAAUUUCUGACAUUGAACUGCUUGAGUUUUGUGACCUUAUUUUAUUUGGGGUACCGGUUUAUUCUUAUACAGAUUCUGUAUCUCUCUGGCAAAGUGCCACCAAACAUUCCGUUCCUGGUAGAAAUCACCUGCAAAGUGGGCGUCCCUAAUGUCAAGUGUGCAGUGAAGACACCAGUUCCAGAAAUGGCGCCAUUGUUUUUUGAAGCCAUUGAAUCUCUUUUGAAGUAGAGUAUCAAGCAUAAGAUAGUUCCUGUAGUCUAUCCAUUACGGGUUCAAUUGCAAGAAACGCAGUCCAGAUUUGGUCUGCUCUUCAGAUUUAGACUUUUCAUAGGUUCCUGUUAUUCAACCGUUACCGUUUCAUAGGUAAGCGAAUUUUUGUUGUUGCAUGCGCAGCUGUUGGUGCAUUUUGCCACAUGAAGAGUUAGCUUUUGAGUAUGUCUUUUCCUAGGAUGGGUGUAAAAUGUGUUAGGUCUGUACUUCUAAUAUCUCCGCUCCAUUGAGCGAACAAUGUCAGUUUAUCAUGCGAUUCUUCUAGUCUUUUUUAGCCCGGAAUCUUUUUGCAAUGCAGGAAUAAUGAUAAUUCAAUGGUAUUCAUGUGGCAUUGGUUGUGGCUUCAGUUCCAUAUCGAAUGGUAUCUUUAGUUUUGACAUGAAUACUAUUGCAGCCUCCACAGUGAAUUCAAUCGUCAUCUUUAGCUACGCUAGGUGUUACGUAGAAGGCUGUGUGUAAAUAUAUAUAUAUAUAUAUAUAUAUAUAUAUAUUUUUAUAAUUUAUUUUCAAGAAUAUUCAUAAAGGUUUUUAUAUUUGAACAAUAUUGGUAGUAAGAUCUCAUGUACAAUCUUCUACCCACAAUUAAUUUUUCUCAAAGAAAUUAAAAAAGAACCUCUGUUUUAAUUGGUGAGAGUUUAAUUUAAAUUUAACAAGUAUUUAUUUGAAAUACAAUCUUUGGGUAGUAAGGAUUUUUUUUUUUUGAUUGUGAAUUGAUAAGCUUUAGAAAAUAUUAGACUCUCUGAGACCUUUCCAUACAAUGUUGACAACAAAUUAGCAAGUGAGGUCAACUAUAAUCUCUACUUGGAUGUCUUCUGCCAAUAGAAAGUUUUUUUUUAUUUAUUUAUUUCUAUUGAUUGUAAGCAACAAGUCCAACUCAAAGCACGUCAAAAGCACAUACCUGAUCAAUAAGAAUCUCCCUUGAUGACGCAUAUUCCGCUCCAUUGCCGUAUCACAGAAGGAGAUUUUACCUUAGAAGUUUUAAAUGAAAAAAUCGACCUAGUUGCAAAAGUAAUUAGAGAGGAGAUAAUUCAACUAGAAUUAUCGUAGUUCGAUGAAACAGGUGCCACACUUGAAUUCCAAUUGUGUUCUACAUUGCAUCUCCAAACCCUCCUAGUCUUACAAGAGCUAUGUUAGCCACCGACAUGCACCUUGUCGUUGUCAAAGUUUUGUACUCCUGUACAACCCACUCUAACCCUUGAUAUGGAUUGCAAAAAACCAGCAUUGUACGGAAGAUGUUCUAAUUUACUUACGCCGCACCUCCAGUCGUAACAUCACAAGUUUCAGCGCCUACAGAAAGAGGAGGAUGGUAAUCGAUGUUAAUGGUAAUAAAAAGAAUCGGUGAAUCUCCGAUGGCACUCAACAUUUUUGAGGCGUUGAUGAAACCAGACAGGAUGUCCAUUAUCAUGGUAAUCGACUCUCGUCUCCUUUGACAAAACUCACUGAUCAUUCACAUGCAAGGUUUUUUAAGACUUUUAUAAAGAGCUCAGAACAAACAACAGCAAGGACAUACUCUAGUAAUUGCAACUCAACUUUCAGAAUGACACUAGCAAAAAAUCAGGCUACUUCUGUAAGCGAGCAGCAACCUAAGAAUCAUGCCAUUACAGUGUGGCAGUAGACUAAACGACUAAAGCGCCUGACUUCUACGCCAAGCAUCUGACUUCUACGCUCAAAGAAAGAAAAUCCGAACUAGAAACCGCGGCCUUCUCCCCGUAACUGGUUCACUAGUCAGAUGUUUGAGGUAAAGCACAAAUCGGUAAACUAGCAUAAACUUUUAACUACCUUUUGCUGUUGUGCCAGAGUUCAUCACCGUUUCAACUGCUGGUUAAAGUGCAGUAUACACAAAACCUCUUCACACUAAUGGAACUCCAGUGCACACGACAUUGAUGUUUAGAGAGUUCAUGCCGAGUUGCUAAUGGAAAGAUUCCCCAGCUCUUCAGUUGGAGCAGAUGGAACAGCUUGAGCCAUACGAAGGACUUCCAUAGCUUCAUUAACCUUGGCCUUCAAGGCUUCGGGCGACUCAAUUAAGUGCAAAACUUCGGUUUGAUCCAUCUCCAGAAGCAUACCCGUCACUUUGCCAGCAAAUUCAUGCUCCAAUUGGUCUACCAGAGGAUAAAGUUGCUCACCGAGCAUCUGAAGUUUUACAAGUGAACCAAAAUUAAAUAUAUGGAAGUACUCCUUAAAACGGCAAGUUGAAGAAAUUAGUUCUACUACAUUAUAAAGCAUUUUUCACAAUAAAUGAAGCGGUGAACAGGUCAAGAAACAUACAGCGCGCUGUUGAUCAGGUGGAGCAGACGCCAAGGCCGAAGCAAGCGCGCUGAUGGGCAGGGGCUGCUGAGGAACACCAGAAUCGACAUUUGCUGCUGGCAUACCCCCAAUUUCCAAGGGAACAGGCAACAUAACACCCAUCAUACCCUGAGGAGGAGGAGCUGUGCCAUCAGAAGCGUUCCUCACAUUAGGAGUGUAGCGGAAGUUGCGGUUACCACCUCGUUGGAUCAUCUGCAAAUCAAACAACGGAAUCAGAUGAGCUAAUCAGGAGAAUUUCAUACACAGCAACAUCAAGAAUACAGUAAGGCUAUGAAAUAAGAAGUACAACUAUGCAACAAAACAUGAACACAAAAGAGAUGAAACUCUCCCACGUAAUGCAGGAACAAGUACAAACCAAAAUCAAAAAAAAAAAAAAAAAAAAAAAAAAAAAUUGAAGAACAUACUUGCUGUUGUGACUGCUGCUGUUGCUGCUGUGGUGCCCCACCACGCCUACCACCAGCCCGCUGUCCUUGCUGUCCCUGGCUUAAUGAAACAUUUGGAUAACCAAUGUAGUUCGGGAUCUGAGCCCCACCAGGCCUCAUAAUUUGUGGCGGAUAGCCGAAUGCGGCAGGCUACACGAAACGAAAUGUCAAAUUGUUACUUUCUUCUCACUUUAAAAAAAAUCAUCAUUUCACAUCGAAAUACAACCAAAACUAGAACAGAAAACACUCGAGGCGAUAAAAAGCUCCGGAGACAUUGUACCUGAAGAGGAAUGGGUCCAGAAGGAUGUUGUCCAUAAUAAGGCAUCUGAGGACCCAGGCCCGGACCAGGAUGGUACAUUGGAAGACUUGUUGGAACGGUAGGGCCAACAGGAGUUCGCAUCUGUGCAAAGGCUGCCUGCAGAGCGCAACCAAUUGUUCGUACCAAUAAUUUACGAACGUUAAAUACAACUAUACUAGACUACAAGGGGAAAAAAAGAAAUAUAUAUAUAUCAAGCUGUUCAUACCCAGAACUACAAAGAUGUCAAGUGUUACCCACGACCUUACAAAACCAAUCAAAUCCACUUACUUGCAAUCGUACCCUCCUCUCCUCCUUGCGCUGUGCCAAGGCUACAUAGAGAGGCUUGCUCCCCACCAUCUUGGUAUUCAUUUCAGUAACCUGAAAAUUACCAUUUCCUUUCAAAAUCAGAACAUACUCGGUCUAUACAAUGAUAAUCAUAUUUUUUUGAAUUCAGAGAUAGAGAAGAUGUCCAAGAUAGUAUCGGAUCUUAAGGUAAGAAGAUAUAAUUGCGCGAGUUCCGUGUUUAGCAAUACCCGUGGGCAAGAUGAAACUUUCUACUCAGAGUUAUUUACCUUGUUGAAGAACUGAUAUAACCUUUGAUUCCGUUAGAACAGAGCAACAAUUUAAGAUGUGGAUCACAAUGCUCAUAUAAAACAUACCGCGCGAGUUGCCUCCUCUGGUGUAGAAAAUGCAACGAAUCCAGAGCCUCUGCUCUGACCCUGGGGAUCUUUCAUCACCUGAGGCAUAUUUGCACACGAGAAGGAAAACAUUCAGAAUACAAUCUUAACACGACCAGCAAGGUAGAAGAUUAGAAAAACCAGUGCAUAAGAGAAACAAACACUAGACUAGACAGAAAAUCUGCAUUUAACCAAUCAACCUACCUUGCAAGACGUGAUAGUUCCGUACUCAGCGAACAGCUCCCUCAACUUCUCAUCAUCGACGGCAUCAUCUAAAUUCUUGAGGUAAAGAUUUACUCCUUGGUACUUCUCAAUCCUCGACUUACGUUCCUGCUCAAACUUCGCCCUAAGCUCAGCUUCCCGCUCUGAUUUUUUCUGUGCUCUUCCGACAUACCACUCUUUUUCAUCCUGCUUUUUGCCAUUCAAGGCCUCAACAGCCUUGGCAGCAUCGUCAGCAAGCUCGAAAUUAACAAAACCGAAGCACUUCGACUUGCCUUCGUUAUCCCUCAUGACCACAGCACUGCUUAUGGGCCCGUAAGCACCAAAUACCUUCUUAAGCUCAUCAUCGGUUGUGUUCUCUCCAAGAUUCUUCACAUAAACAUUGUUGAACUUGGAAACUCCACCUGAUAGAUCCCUUUCUUGACGGCGAACGAAAGGCCCAACAAAGACUUGUUUAUCAUUUAAAAGCAUUCCGUUAACUUUCUCGAUAGCACUCUGAGCUGAUUCUUCUUUCUCAAACUGGACAAACCCAUAACCCUUGGACUGACCAGAACUGUCAGUUGCCACCUUGCACGAUAGGAUUCCACCAAACGCAGAGAACGUAUCAUGAAGAGCUUUGUUGUCAAUAGCCUUGUCUAAAUUCUGCAGUGCAAACCCACGCAAGACUAGUGAGAAACCUUUGAACAUACCAUAUUCAAUUAACAUACAUACAAAAUGUGCAAAAGCAAAAGUUAUACAGAAAAAUUAGAGAAAUUAAAAAUUGAAUAUGAAAGAAAGAAAGAAUUCCAAAUAAUUAAAAAGAAAAAAGAAGAUUGCAGAUUGCCGGAUAAUAAUCAUAACCUGCGUGGAGAAUGCUCGCUCACCUUAAUGAAAAUAUUUGCUGCGCCACUCUUACGAAGGCUAGGAUCCCUAUGUGAGAACAUGAUACGAAUCGGUUUCCCGUUCACAGGAGUAAAGUUGAGCAACUCCAAGGCACGAGUGGCUGUCAAACACCCAUAACAUAUCAAAAUAAAAUCCUCCAUGUAGGGAGGUUAAAGCUUAAACAAGACAUGGUUCAACAUACCAGCAGAGCUGGACAGAUGUUUUCCAGCUCUUAUCAUGGAUAGUUCAAUAGAAUCCUGUUAGCAAUAUUACACCAAAAAAAAUAUUUACAAAAAAAGAUACACUAGCAAACAUAACACAAAUAAGUACCCUAUUUAGAUAUCCGGAAUGAUAAACUCCGUAGGCUUACCAUCUUGAGCACUGUGGUAGUUGACGUAUGCAUACCCCAAAGAGCGCCUGGUGAUGAGAUCACGGCAGACUCGGAUCGACACGACUGGCCCAGUUUGACUAAAUAUCUCGUAUAACUGAGCUUCAGAUACAUUGUGCUCCAAAUCACCAACGUAGACAGAAGUGGAGACGAACUGAUUAGGUGCAGGGCCCCCGACGGCUGCCUGCUGAACUUGAACCUGUGUCUGAGCCAUGAUUGCUAAUCACACAAAGAUCCGUUUCCGGAUCGAGCGGGACAAUAAUAACCUGAGUAAAAAUCUACCGAAGAUCUUUGAAAGGUUCAGGAAGGCUAAGAAAUUGGGUUCGCCUCUCCCGCAGAGCAAAGGUUUGAGUUCUAGGUUUCAAGGUUUUUCUUCGGUCAAAUUAUGCUCCCUGCCAAAGUAUUCUGAGAAACAAGAACAACAACGACACAAACACACCGCAGUUCAAUCUCCCUGCACACUCACGCUCAAUACGAAAUAACCAUACCUCAACACUCUAAACCUCACAAUCGAACGCCAAAACCCUAAACACAAACCAGUUUGACCUGAUCCCACACAGCACACAAACGGCACCACGGAACUCCAGCCAAUCAAUUCUUCCUCACUCUAAUCAAAAGGAACGAAGCAAGCAGCAGCAGCGCACCUUGACCAACGAAGGGAGAGGCCUGAAAGACGCCCGAUGUUUUUUUUUUUUUUUUUUUUUUUUUUUUCUGUUCCUGUGUGUGUUAUCACCACCUGCUGUCACUGCCGCACUUGAUGCGACUGUGAACUCGAUUGAUUCAAAAAAUAAUUGACAACAAGAGUGGGAUGAGGAGAGCUUAGCCCUGCGUGCGGCCGAGCCUCAUCACGUCCCGUGCGAAAGCAUGAGUGCCGAACAGGCAAGGCCGGGGCCAGCGCCUGCUGCUGCAACUCACUCACUCACUCAAAAACAAAGAGGAGCGGGGGAGUGAGUGCGGCGGGAACUAAAAGAGAAAGAGAGGUGCUAAAACGACAAUUAAAGAAAGGGGGAAUAGGGGAACCUCACGUCCCCAUCGCAUACCAGUGAGGGGGGGGGGGGCUUGCUGUUCUGCCAUUCCCCCCCCAUUAGCUCCCCAUCACCGAGCACGCCGGGUAUCACACCGGUCGCUGUAAAUCAGGGUAUCAACUGACAGCGACUGAGUCGGGGCGGGAGUUGGGAACUCUCUUUUUGUCCGGCAGACUGAGUCCCAUCGUGGCAGUCCAUGAGGCCACCAUGGCAGUGUGUCGCAUUCGUGACUCCGCAUGCGCAUUGCCACCGUGGAAUCCAGGUGGCGGCUCCCUACUUUGUCAUUUUUCUCCUGUUUUUCUACUUUUUUUUUGUCCUUAAUGUGAUUAGAGGGCUGUUGUCUACGGUCCAAAAUGACAUGAAGCUUCCAUUUUUCUUUUUUUCUUUGCUAUGAAUUUUUAGAGGGGAAUCAAAAGUGAGUGGAAUGAAUUAUGUAGCACAUAUGACAUCUGCAAACUUAAUCAUGAAAUAUAGUGUACAAUAAUACAAUAAACAUUCUGAAAUUGUUCAGAUUUCCUGUAAGACUAAGUUAACUUUUGAAUUUUCAUUCUUCAAUAUUCACUUUGUACAGUAUGUAUGUGACUUAUUUUGAGGAUAUGAUGAUUCAACACAGAAUGUGUUUGAAAAAAUAUAUAUUUUCAAGGCAUUGAGCUUUUGUCAAUCAAUAUAUAUAUAUAUAUAUAUAUAUAUAUAUAUACAUUUAUUUAUUUAUUUAUGAACAUAUAUAUCUAUAUGUUCAUAUAUAUAUAUAUAUAUAUAUAUAUGAACAUAUAGAUUGUACUCCAGUAUUAUUCAUUGAUUUUCAAUCCUCAAUAACUACUUUAAGACGAUCUUUGCAUUACUAUUUUCAGAGCCAAUUAUCUUUAAAAUAUGACUGUGCUUUGAAUAUUGUGCUUUAAAAAUCAAUGAAAAAAUAUGUAUUUUACUAACUUUAUGAAAUAACAUACUGUAUUUAUUAGUUUUUACUACAUAUUACUAAUUUAAACCAUGUUUUUACUAUUUCAGAAAGAAUUUAAUAUAUGUUAAUCACAACAAUUAAUUUGAAAUGUUGCUCAUGCACAAAACGUACAUGUUUUUAUAAAUCAUAUGACUGUAAAUGGCCUUUUGUGAUCAUAUGGCUGUAAACGGCCUCUCACACAAAAAAAUUAUGGUUGCAAAACUUCAAUAAAUAUAUAUAUAUAUAUAUAUAUAUUUCAUAGAACUCUUUCCCAUGGAAUCAUCUGUAUAAAGUCGUUCACAGACAUAUGUAUAUAUAAGUAAAUAAAUAAAUAAAUAAAUAAACAUAUAUGUAUAAUUACAUAUAUGCUUAGAAAUUGAUUAAAUUCAAUGUUUGUGGCAAUUCAAUAUUAUUUUUAAUUAUGCUAAAAAUGAAUUUUUGCAUUAAAAAUACAUCUUGCAAAAUUUAGUUACAGUACACACACACACACAUAUAUUAAAAAUUACACUUAUAUAGAUUAAUUUAUGGUUAUUUCAAAAGAUUAAUUUUUAGUUUUUUUAAAAAUUAUAACAGUAAUAAAAUGAAGACAUGUAAAAUUUACACAACUAGUUUUUCUAACUAAAAUUAAUAUAAGUAUAUACAGUUAACUUAAACAUAAACUUUUAUAGUAGGAUUAUUAAUAAAAUUUAAAAAUAAUUAAAUACAAUAAUUUAAAACUACAGUUAAAAAUAUACACAAACUUAAUUUUAGUAAAUCAUAAAAAAAUAAAAACCAAUAAUAACUUCAGGAUUUUUAUAUAAAAUAUUUUUUAAAAUAUGCAAAAUAACCGAUUGACUGAUUGGUGUAUAUAUAUGUAUAUUUACAGAAUUGGAUGUUUUCCUAAGCUAAAAGAAGAUAUUUAAUGUCAAAACAUAUAAAGUGAAGAAUAAAAAAUGUCAUAAAUAUAAAUAAUUUGGACAUUUUAAAAGACUAUUACAUCAAUGAUGUGUAGUCAAAGGUAAAAGUCUAACUGAAUAGUUUACAUUAUUUAUACAAAACAAAAUAUUAGUAGAAACUUCUUUUAUAAUUGAUUGAUAUAAGAAAUUAUUUUUUAAAUAUAUUUUUUAGACUUUUCUAAGUAUUAAGUUAAAAUUAAUUGUUAAAAAUAAAAUAGUAUAAAAAAUAAUAACAAAUUCUCAACUUUUAUUUUACAAAAAAAUACUAGAGAAAUUAUAGAUAUAUUUUGGAUAUCCAUAAAACAUUUUACAUUGAAUUAGAAGAUGAUUUUUUAAAAUUCUAAGAGUUGUGUUUCUCUAGAAAAAAGAUAAUAAACAUAAAGAAAUAAGUCAUAUAAGUACUAUUGGUAUUCUUAAAAUAUUUUAAAUUUCAGUUAAAUAUGAAAAACACAAAAAAGAGCAAAUAGAAAAAUACAAAACAAAAAAAAAAAAACAAAACAAAACAAAACAAAACAAAAAAUUUAAAACAAAAUAAAGCUAUACUAAUAAUUCUAAGAUUCUAGUGUUAAAUGAUGUCUAUUUUAUCUCAUUUAGAUAAUUAUUUGUAGACACAAAAAUAAUUUAAAUAAAUUUUAAAUCCUUUCAACUUUAUAUAUCACUAAAAGCAUAUUGAUGUUAUAUUAUCCAUUUUAAUAUUUAAUUUAUAUUUUAUAAAUAUAAUAAUUAAAAAAUAAAUAAAAUAACUACAAAUAUUAUCUUUAAUUAUAGAUUUAUUAAUAGUAUGUAUAUACAUACAUAUUUGCAAUAUAGUUUUAAGUUUUAUAAAUUAAAAAAUUAAUAUAUAUUAUCUUAUAAUUUUAUAAUAUAUAUAAUAUAUUAUAAAAAAAGAUAAAUAUAAGAUAAAUGCCAUUAUAUACACAACCAAAACAAUAAUAACUUCUUUUAAAUACAAUAGUAUAAGAUUAUGUACAAAGUCUUAAUGUAUAGCCACAAUUUAUGAUGUAUAUUGUGGUAAUUUAUACCAUUAUGAUUAAUUCAAAUUUUAGUGUAAAAUAUUAUAUAAUAUUUAAUUAAAUACAUUCAAGUAUUAUUUGUAAGAUAUUUUUUGAACUAAAAUAUAAUAUUAAAGACUAAUUUUAUGUCUAGUUUUUGUGAAGAUAAAUAUAUAUAUAUAUAUAUAAUUUAUUUCUAUAAAUUUAUUAAAAUGUUGUAAAGAGAAAAUUUUAAGAAAGAUAUAUAAACAAGUGAAAAAAAUAUCAAAGAAAGAUGACGAAAUAAUAAUAAGAAAGUAUGUAUAUUAAAGAAAAAGUUGUAAUGGCUAUUGCCAAAGACUAGAAAACUAGAAACUUUUAAAACUGGACUAGAAACAAAAAAGGAGAUUACAAGAAUAAAGAAGGCUUCACUCUUGCUUCCACAUAUAAUAUCUAUCUAAAAGCUAUGUAGUGAUAUUUUACAAGACCUCCAAUACGUGUCCAAUUUGCAAGACACAUUUCUUAACUUGCAAAGUAAGUUUCAUAUACAUAUGCCAUAUGGUUAACUUUUACCACAAGCUAUCAAUAUGUAGAACAUAUGUCUAAUUUGUUGGCUAAGCACUCAAUCUAUCAAUCACCUUUAGACAUGUAUAAAGGUGAAACUAAAUCUUUGAAUCUUUUAGGAUGCUUCUCUACAAGAUAUUAUUAAACUUAUUUACUUCUAAUUAUUCAUAUUAUCUAGAUAAAUAUUAACAUAAAUAUUUAUGUCUACAAAAAAAUACAUGGCUUUAAAAUAUAUUUUUGAUAUAUAUAUAUAUAUAUAUAUAUAUAUAUAUAUAUAUAUAUAUAUAUAUAUAUAUAUAUAUAUAUAUUAUCUUAAGGUUACUUUAUUUUAAGCUUUAGUUCCAAAUUUCACAAAAUAUUACAUUUGCAAUUGUAAUUUUUUUCUUACAUCAUAUUAGAUGUUAUUGAUCUUUUAAUUCUAAAAUUUAUUUUUAUUAAAAAACAUAUAUAUAUAUAUUUAUAUUAAUUAAUUAUAAUUUAAAGAAAAAAUCUAUAAAUAUUUAUUUAUAAUUUAUAAAUUAAAAUUGAAUAAUAAACUAUCAUUAAUUUUUUUCUUAAAUUAAAUAUUUAUAUAUAUUUUAAAUAAUUAAAAUAAUAAACUAAAUAACUAUAUUUUAUUUAAUAAUUAUAAAAACUAUAUUGUAUUUAUUUAUUUAUAAUUUUUUAUUAAUAAUUAUUAAUUAUUAAUUUUGGUUCAUUGAUUUACUUAAUACUUAUAUUAAUAAAUAUCUACAUUACUUAAAUAAGCAUAGGUAUAUAGAAGUAAACAUAAACAUAUUAGGUAGAUAACAUCUUUUUGUAAGAAACUUCAAAGAAAUUUUAGAAAUGUGUAUUAGUUUAUUAAAUCUAUAUAAAUAUGCUAUAUAUUAUUAUAAGUUGUCUCAUAAGUUUUUUAGUUUUUGAAGUUGCAUUAAAAGUAAUCUACAACUUGAUGCUUAAGCCACAAGUUUCUUGGUCUUUAAGAAGUUUCUACAAGGCCUUUUGUGGCUACUAUGCAUGAAAGCAAGAUUAAUACUAUCCUUAGACUUGCCCACAUCAUUGUUGUAUUUUAGUCUUAAUUUUAGACUUCCUAAAUUCUUUGUAUUUAGUAAUGACUAUUUUAGUUCUUUUGAAUUUUAUAUCAUACAUAUGAAUAUAUAUAGAAAUUAUAUUAAAAUAAUCUAAACAUGUACUAAAUUGAUCCAUCCAUCAUUAUUAAUUUUUAACCCACCCAUCACCCAUUGUUUCAUUGAUUUUUGACCAAUGCAAAUCUGGCAAUAGAGAAUUUUUUUUUAAUGAUAUUUAGAAUGGAUGGAUCAAUUUAGUAAAUGCUUGGAUAAAUUUAAUAAUCUCCUCUCUCUCUCUCUCUCUCUCUCUCUCUAUAUAUAUAUAUAUAUAUAUAUAUAUUAUUUUUAUUUUCUUUCAUUUAUUUCAAAUGACACAUGAAUAUAUUAUCUUCUAAAGUUUUAUAUUUAUGUCCUUGGUAAUUUGAUAAGACUAACAUUUAUCAUAUUAAAGCUUAAUUUUUUUGAAAGAAGGUAGAUUAUUCUUUUUCACUUUAAAUCAUCAAAGUUUUUAGAAGUUAUUAGUUAUUCAUCUUUAAAAUUAUGUUUUUUUUAUUAUACUACUUUUUUCUUUUGUUUUUUGAUGUAGGAAUUAUUAAAAUUUUAUAAUUAUGACAGAUUUGUAAAAAGUAUAGAAUGUCAUAAAACAUACGCAUGAAAAAAUGUGAGAUUUGAUGCUAUACAUCAAUUAUGUACACUGUAACAAUUAACAUUAAGAUUGAUUAACCAAAAAGAUGUAAACAUGCCAUACACUUCUCCAAUAAUUAUACUAUCUAAAGUAACUCAUGUAAAUACAAUUGCACCAACUAAAAAACCAAUAGUUGCUCUUCUAAAGAAAUUUAAUAGUUCUACAUAUAAGUUUUGAGGAUUUAUCAAUCUAGUGCAAUAUUUUCUUCAACUCCAACAUCUUAAUUAUAUGAUCUAAACAUCUCAUAUUACAUUUAUUAAUACAUGUAUUUCAAUUUUGACAACUAAUAAUUGAUGUCAAUUAUAUUAAUGUUAGAAUUAUCACUUAAUUUCUUCAUAGAGUAUAAUAUUAUUAAAACUUAAACUUUGAGUCAAGCUACUAAAUUUGAAAUUACAUUCAACAAUUGACUUUUGGAAUUUUGAUUAAAAAGGCAUAUCUUGACACCUUGAUGCUUUUAUAUUUUUAUUGAAAAUACUUUUAUCAACCAAGAUAUUCAACAAAAUAUAAAAGAUAUAAAGAAGAACAUUAUUUUUAAUAAAUUAUCUGUAAUAUAAGAAAAAACAUAUUACCAACAAUAAGGCUUGUACUUAUGUUACUGAAAAACAAAACAUGUUAUUGAAUAUUGACCUAAAAAGAGAUAAAACUAUAAAAAGUAUAUUUCUAAAUAUAUAUAUAUAUAUAUAUAUAUAUAUUAAAAAACAAAUUUGUUGAAUAACAUAAAUGAUUGUACAAUUCGAUUCUUAUACUAUAUCAUUUUCUGAAGGCUUUGCAUCAUCUUUUUAUCAUUUGCUUGUUUUUUUUAGUGAAAGUUAAUUUGAGAUCUAAAAAUUCCAUAAUUUCUUCCUUUGUUUUGUUAGAAUUUAGUGCCUUUGCUUAUUUUCUUGAUAAUGUUUUUCUAAAGUGUCAUGAGAUAUUGUCAAUGAAAAGAAUCAAAAUUAUACAUAUAAAAUUUAUAAAUAGAGGAUUUUUGUCUUUAAAAAACAUCAUUAGUAAAAUCUUAACAACUAAAGUAAUUAUAAAAGAUUAUAAUAGUUCAGUAAUAAUUAAUAUUAUAAAGUCUCUAUUUAAUCUUGUUAUUUUAGGAUCAUUGUGUAAACAAAACAUAACCCUCAAAUAUACUAAAUACCUUGUCAUCUUAAAUUUUCUCUUGUCUUAUUCAAGAAAAGACCAAAGUAAAAAAAUUAUCUCACAUCUAAAAAAAUCGGAUUUCUAUUUGUGCAAGUAAGGCAUUUAUACAAGCUGCAAAAGAAGGAGAUUUUUUUCUCAUUUAUUUAGCACCAAGUCCUCAUCUAAGUAGAAGUAACUAUAAAAUCACAAAACAAUGUAAAGAGUAUGAAGAUGUAUUUGAGAAGAAAAGUAAGAAAAGGAGGAGGAGAUGAAAUGAUGAAAAGAAGAUUGAAUUCUUAAGAUGAUGUAUUUUUAGAGAGAGUACAUUUUUUUUUUUUUUUUUUUUUUUUCCUAACUUUUCCCUUAAAAUUGAUUGGGGGAUGUUCCUACCUAAAAUUUAAUUAAUUGAAUUAAUCAUUUAAAUAAUUAUUUUUAUUUUUAUAAUUAGUAGAUUUUGAUAAUUAAUAUGUUUUUUUUUUUUUUUUUUUUUUUUAUAUAAUGGAUGAUGUUAAUUAGCAGGAAGUCAAUUAUAUACAAGCUUGUAUCAUAAUCCAAAAGCUUGCAUUUUAUAAGUACAUGAUUAUAAUCAAUGGAUAUAAUUACCUCAAUAUUUACCAUAAUUGUUCAAAGAAGCAUGAACAGAAGACAUAUACAAUUAUAUACAUUAUAGAAAAAGAAUUUUCCAAAGGAAGAAAUAUUGAUAUUCUUUAUAAAUCAUCUUCAAAUCUUAUAACAAUUUUUUGCUUAUAAAUUAAAUAUUGACAUUCAGUUGAUGUAGGAAUUGAAGUUCUUGGUAUAAAAAUAAAAACAAAAUCCUACGAUUCAUACUAAUUCAAUAUCUGACAUAGCCUCCUUCACACAUACCCAACUCCAUGUUCAAUUGUUUUUUUUAAAAAAAAAACCCAAUUUCCAGAUUCUUACUUUAGGGCUUCACCACCUUAGGACUAAGUGUCGGUGAAGGUGUCGGUGACGGAAGAACAUUGUUCAUCGUAGAUUCAAAUUGGUACAUAUCGAUUCCGUUUGUGAAGAAGAACACCCCCAGUCACGGAAUCAACUCUUUAACUUGGGCCAGAACCCUAGCCCGUUGGUUGAGUUGGUUUCAUCGCAUGCAGCAUUGUGUCUAUGCUUACCUGCCCCUUAUCCUUGAAGUUAGACGUUCCAUUUUGCUAACAUUCUUGCUCUCUGGCUUUUGUCGAGUGUGGAUCCGGCUUCGCCCAUGUCGAGUCUGCUUCUGAGCCCACCUGCAUUGCUUUGUCAUGUGUUUCUCUAUGAAGGGCGCAACAAAUACCGAGCUGCUUAGAAUCAAGUCCCUGAUGAUGCACCGCGUGGCUUCUCCCCAAAGGUAUGUAUGUUCGUGCGACGCUGAUGGAUUUAUCGGAAGCAUUCCCUUUAUCGUUGUGAUGGCUUUCUUCUCCACUCUGCCAUCUUCGGGAUGGCGUUUUCGUUAUGAAGGUAGUUUGGAAUGUGUUCGGGCUGAGACUUCGAAUGGUGUUGUCCUAGAACCAGUAAUUAGGUUUAGGGUUUCAGUGAAAGGACUGGCGGGAGCCUUGCCUGAGUUCAUUUUCUGCAUGAUUGUAUAACACUUAAGUUCCUUCAAUGUUGUUUUCGUGGCUGAUGUGGCACCAAGUUUGUUGCAUUACGAGAGGUACCCAAAAUAUUCUUGGUUCAUGUGUUGCAAUAAGGAACAGCUUCGAGGAUGUUCUAAUGUGAUUUGCUCUCUCUCUCUCGCUCUCUCGCUCUCCCUCCCUCUCUUGUUCUUAGUAUUUAAUGUUAUUAUUUUUUCGAAUCUAUCUCUCCCCAGGAUUUGAACUUUGUUCAAGUUCGAAAGUAUGAUACAGAAUCAUCAUACGACUAACCCGUGAACUUUCAGAUACUUUUAUUUUUAUUUUUUAUGAGUACAACUGUAGAGAAGACCGUUGGUUUCUUAUCAUUCUAUUGCACCUGUUUACGCUGCAAAAACUCUGAAUGCUCUUACGGUAAUUCGGCGAGUUAAAAGCUCUGUAUUUCUCAGAUAUAUAGGGAAUUACUUGAAUCCAUAGUUCGACUCUAUAGAUUAUGACGGAUUAGAUUGAUCGGUAGCUGAUGCCUCGCACGUUAAUCAUUUUCCACGUCCUCCCCUGGGUGUAGAGUCUGAAGGCAGAAAAUUCCGAUUUCACCAACUUCGGGGAUAUACUUUCGGUAACAAUACGCAAGCAGCUGGCCUUGGUUCGUUCGGAACUAAGCCUUUAAACGCGGGGCCGUCAAAAUUGGUUCACCUUAACCUAAUCCGCCACUUAUCGUGAGUCAAAACUUUCCUCGGAAAGUGGAUGUACGUGGUAGUCACUGCUAGCGAGGACCUUGCUAAUCUGUUCAUGAAGGUUGUUUUAAUCAUGAUAAAUGAAAAAUCUACAAUUACAGAUACGUAGAAACAGAUAAUACUGCUAUACAAGUGCUAUAUAAUACUUGCCCUGAACCUGGUGCUUUCCUAAAGGACGCGGCAGUGAACCAUGUGGAAAGAUAGGGUUUAUUAUUGGUUCAAGGUACUACAGCACAGUUUUUCUACUUGGACGUUUAUUAUCUGGUUUUCAAUUCUUCCUGCUUCAUUCAAGGAUGGGACAUGUGGCCGCUGGUCUGAAGUUUGAGGAAGUCUCAUUCCUGUCUGGUUUUAAUUUAAUCAGUGGCUCUCUAAGAUGCUAAGCUGUAGUUGGCAUUUCUGAACUGUAAGACUACUAAGAGCAUGAGAGAUUGGGCUUGAAUGCUAAAAUCUGGCUGGAGUGGAAGACGCUUGCAUUAAGAUCACAGCAUUUCUCAAUACAGGCAUAUUUCAUCCUUGAAGGGUUACUGAAUGACCAUAGGCGUUACUCUGAAGAAUAAUUUGACCUGGAAUUGUGUGGACGAAGAAGUUGCUGCGCGGAUUCCUCUUUGUAGUGUUGAGAGAUGCAGAAGAGGUAUGUCAAAACAUUAUUACUCAUGAUGUGACUGCGUGAGUAACUUUGAAGCAUAGUACUUUUUCUAGCUUAGUUUCAUUCAAUUGAACACGAUAAAUAACGGAACGGUGAUGGAUCAGCAUCAUUUUGUCUUGGCGGUGCUCUGCUGCGAAUGUCUGUUGGUAUUUCUUGUAAACCAUAAUUAUGUGAGGUUCUCUCACAUCAAUCCUAACAAGAACUGCCAUGUUAGAAAUCUCAUAAGAAUCAUACGCGUUGGAAUCAUCAGGAUGCUGUUACUGCUCUCUAGCGUGUUCUCCCUGUGCAUUGCGUUACUUUCGACAAGUGGAAUUCGGUUCAGUCACUGAUCGCGAAGUCUCUGCAUGCCAGCUCAACCAACGAAUGCUUGUGUGCGUUUACUUACGAGCUUCAAACAACUCGAGAUGAGCUCCACCUACAUGGCAGAUCAGUAUGAACGUAUGCAGUGAAACAUGAUACCACCUUUUGAGGGGAGAGCAUUGCUCUGUACCCUGUGAUCACCAUGAGCUUUCUAAUGAAUGCUACCAAUAAAACCACUGAAUCCAGUGUGUGAGAAAUCGAUGUCAGUAACGGGCGACCCAGCAUUUCUACAAUACUUCAUAUCCUCGAAUGGCCUGCUUAUUCAACGGGUUGAAGAGAUACGUGUCCUUCCAUGUCAGGGUCUAAUGCUGCCUCCAUUCAAUUCUCUCUGGGUAACAAAGAAUACCACAGUCAACUCAAAGACAAAUACCAGGAGCACAUCCCAGAUUGCGGAUUGGUUGUUUUCUGUUUUUUUUCAAUUUUGGAACAUGCGUGUUUGCGCCCAUUGCAACAGCACCUUCGCCAGCAGUGUUAAAGCCCACCCAGAACAGUUUCCUCAUAGAAUUGUCCACCCCACAAUUAAACAAUCCACGCUUCUAUGGUAAUGCUGAGAAGGAUCAGCACCAUCGACGUGAACCGAUGCAGGUGUGACAGCAUGCACAGGGGAAUGCAUUCAUCCGAGAUCUGGAGACCGUUUGAAAUGGGUGGCAGGGCGGAGAGUUUAGCCUGCGAGCUGCAUGAGUCGCAUUACGAGAUUAUGUACUUAUUAACUUACACAUCGCCAUCAUGUGUUGGGCUCCAACCCCACGCUCCACGUAGUCAGUUGAGUUGUGCAUUACACUCGCAAGGCCCUCAGAUUGGCCACCCAUCUUCCACACAGCAGUCAGGAGAAUUUAAUUGCUUAAGCUCUGGGUCGACACAAUAAUCGAGGUGGGGCAUAUUCACAAACGUGGUUCACUUUGUGUUUGUUUACAAAGACGUGCUACGACUUGCAUGGAUCGCAAGGCAGCGGCGCCAUGGGGCACUCGCGAAACCCGAGCGACCGGAUUCGCAAUCAUGGAGCCUUGGGAUGAAUUUCCUGCCCACUGCUCUCUUUUGUACAUUUGUGGAAGUUUCCCAAAUCAGGGUCGGAGGGAAAAUUGGAGCCCCUCCCGAGGCAGGUGAUUCGAGUGGGGGUUUGGACAGUAGCUCCCGCGGGAGGGAGAAUUUUCGGUCCGUUUUAGUAUUCAACUGGGAGUCUGGGACACACAUUUCCCCUCGAUCAGCUGCAGCUUGGGCACCAAUAGCACGAUGUCCGCGCACCACUACAAGGGAACACCUCGGUACGAUAUUAUUAUAUUCUUGAGGACGAAUAUGGCUCCUGGACUUACAGCCAAUGCAGGCAAAUUUUGGGCAGGGGAAUACUCUCCCCCCAGAUGCUCUGAUUCCAAGUCCCUUGGGGUCUCCCAGAGCCCGUGCAGAUGUGCUUCAGCACCUUGGGGUGCCCGAUAAUGCCCGAGCAAUACUGGCGAUGUCCCGAUCCGGAAGCUGGCAAUUGCAAUCAGUGCGGGAAAAAGAAAAAGAACCAUAAACCGCACCGGCCUGGCCUGGCCAUCGGCGGAGAGACCGAUAACGAUGAUCCGGAACACAAGAUCCGGCAGCUAGAGCAGUUGCACUCGCCGCAGUACAGUCGUUUUUACUACUUCUGCUCAUUGCUCCCCCCCCCUCCUUAACGUACACCGGCCUCGUACGAGCACCGCUAUUGUACACUCCAACCCAUAGCAGACCGGAUCAGAGCUUGCAUUCAUAUCGUACUUCCUGCCACCCCUCCUUUCUCACAUUAUCAUAAUCCCACCGUGUCGCCGCUGUGUAGCGUUGCCUUGGUCCCGUCGUUAUGAGGGCUUAAUUAAUCCGAUCUCGCCGCUUCUUCGCACCCAAGAAUCAGUUGCCAUUGUCGAUUUGGUACUUCAGUUGCACCAAUAACUUCUCUCCUACUCAUAAUGGUUGGUAUAGUACUUCGGAGACGUUUAGAUGCAUUUACUCACCAUCAACUCUAUAUGCCCCAGUGGUCAAAAUGCAAUGAAAGGUGGAAUCCACGGGAAGUCUGAGUAAUAUUCUCUUCCUCUCAUCUCUCUCACACACACAUACAUUCGCACAAACACACCUUCGCAUGUAUGCCUGUCUCUUCUCCAGCUUGUCACCUGUCAGAUCAGGUUCUAACCUCCAUUGGGGCCAUUUACUGCUCUUGUGGUUUCCGCAGUCAACCAAUUCACCGCACCCAACUGGCUUAAACCGGGAUGUAAAUUCAACCUCCUCCCCUGAGUUUGUUCCUGAUGAUUAAGUCCACUCCCGCCUCUCCCAUACCGAGGGAUCUUGGUAUCUACUUCAAAUUAAGCAGUGCUUGAAACAUGUAACAACUGUCCAGUUACGAAGCUGAACAUAUACGAAUAUUAUACUCUAACUCUUUGACCAAUAUAUAUAUAUAUAUAUAUACACACAGGAUGAGCACACAGGGGGAAUAAUUCAUGGAUUCCGCGAAUCGUUUUGUUCUCGUCUCACGGACUUGGCCCUUGCUCUAGAUUUCCCGCCGGACUGGAGUGCCUUCCCUGACUUUGAGUCCCCAUCUGGGUGGGCAUCAUCAUCGAGGUGAGGGCCGGAGAGGCCACUGUAACGGGGGGAUGUUUGAGGAAUAUGUGGAUCUUCUUUCUCCUGGUGCAUUGGAAACUGCAAAUGACCUUCCAACGAUGUUUGUUUGUUGUGCCCUUCCCCAUCACAAUUCCAGUUUCAGGUCAAAUUUGGACUCCGAAACUUUGGCUCCUCAGCGGGCUCUUCCCUCGAUGUUGCUGAAGCAGCAACAACAUCAUCUCACUCUUGCCUCCCACAUCGCAAUGCUGGUGGGAAGCAAGCGUGAGAUCAUGAAGCUCGACUUGUUCACUUGGGUUUAAAACUUCAGGUUUUAGGGUUUCGAAUGGCUCGGUUGGGUUUUCCUGUUGAGGGUCUUUGUUUUUGGGGCGUGAGGUUUGUGACCUUUUCUAUGAAUAUGUGUGUAAAUAUGUGUAUACGUGGACAAAGCUUUCUAUCAACAUGUGUAUAAUUAUAUACUACUUCUGCAAACCCACCUUCAGAUUGAUUCUUUGAAUAUGGAUUUGUUAAUACAAUUACUUUUCACAAAAUUGUGGAUGUAAUUUUGUAAUGAUCGUUUCUAUUUGUAUGUAAAACAAUCUUUAUAUUAAACUUCUUUGAUAUGAUUUUCAGUUGACAAAAAAUUAAAAUUUAAAAAUUUCUUGUAACUAUAUAUAUAUAUAUAUAUAUAUAUAUAUAUAUGUGAUAAUAUAGCAUACUUAAUAUACAUAUAAUAUUUAUAAAACAUAAAGAUUACAAGCUCUCAAAGUAUAUGUAUAUAUAUAUAUAUAUAUGGAGUUGUUAAAGCCACACCCUCAAACAAUGUGAUGAUUAAUUUUGGGGAGAAGGAACAAGAGACGGAGAUAGAAAACAAGGCACAUGGGGUGGGAAUGAGGAAUAGGGGAUAUGGAACAAGGGACAAAGACAAGAAUGGAUGGAAUCAAUUAUGAGAUGGUAAUGUGGAGUGUGGUUUUAAUAACUCCCUAUAUAUAUAUAUAUAUAUAUAUAUCACUAUUACAUACUUUCAAUCUCUUGGUAGUAAAAAAUAUUAACAUAUGAUAUGGUUUAAUUCUAUACUAUCAUUUAUGAUCUAGAUAAAAGUUUAAAAUAUGUGCAUAUAUAUAUAUAUAUAUAUAUAUAUAAUAGUAAAUGAUUUCAUAGUAAAAAAAUAUUUUAAUUUUAAUUUUAAAAUAUCCAUUGAUAGUAUCAGUUUUAAAUUUUGAAAUUUGAAAAAAAAUAGUAUAAUUUUAAAUUUUUAUAUCAAUCUCAGAAAAUUCGUUUAAAUAAAAGAUAAUAUAAUAUUUAAUAUUGUACAUGAAAAACAUUGGUUUCAAAGAUGUGUAUAAUCAACAAUAUAAUACAUUUUAUCCUAAAUAUUACAAUGAAACAAUGAUUUAAUUAACAUUCUCUUUUAUCCAAUUUACAUAUUUUUUAUCACAUUUGUUUUAGAUAUGUAAUCAUUAUCAGCAAAAAUUGAAUUAUUUGAUACAACAAAGCAAAAAUUUAAAAAUCCACAUCAUCAUUUUAAAAUAAUUAAGUAACACCGAUGUAAUGUAUGAUUAAUUAUAAAAAUCACUAGUGUGAAAUCAUACUAUUGUCAAUUAUUUGUGUGUAUAUUUAUGUAUAUAUGUAUAUAUAUAGGAGAAUGCUAGAGUGACCCAGGUUUUUGUUAAAUCGAUCCACAGUCCCCGUUCCCCACGUUCCCAGCACCUCGUCCCCUGUUCCGACCUCCCCGUCCCCAUUCUCGGCGCCCAUCCCCUGUCCAGGGGCCUUUCGCGGGGCAGCUUCUGAACCUCGAAGUCCCGCAAGGCCACUAUCAAACCGUAUGCUGGCUUGGGGUAUGCCUCUUGCCGCAAACUGUGAAUUCAAUUGAGCUAGUGUGCUUCUGAACUCUGUCAAAUUUUCAAGAGUCUCGGGAAUCGCGUCUGUGAGGUGGUGGUUUGUCUGUGAAUGGCGCCAACGAGGGUGAUGAUAAUCGCCUUGUUGUUCAUGUUUGCCCUUGCAUCAUUGUGUCCCCAUGCCUCCGCCCAAUCAAGCAAGACAGACUUGGAAGCGCUGCUUUAUUUUUAAGCAAGCAUCACCAACUUCUCCCGGGAGAUGCUCCCCAACUGGAACCCCUUGGCGUCCUCUCCAUGCUCAUGGGUAGGAAUUACUUGCAACAGUCAAGUCACUAAUGUUUCCAUUUAUGAAAUCAGAUUCACAGUCACCAUCUCCGCCCGAAAUCGGCAAUUUGGUCAAUCUGCAGAGCUUGUAUAUGGGCAACUGCAAUUUCAGCGGGCUUAUUCAGGCGGAGCUUUCGAAAUGCAUUGCCCUGAAGUAGUUGGACCUGGGCGGGAAGGAUUUUUCAGGAACUAUCCCAAAAUCCUCAUCACCUUGAACUUGCCCGACGUCGGGAUCAAUGGCUCCAUUCUGACGUCCCUAGGAAACUGCACCAAGCUCGAGGUUCUUGAUGUCGCCCUUCAACGAGCUCAGUUGGCAACUUCCGGACUCACUGAAGCUCAUGAUUUCUCCAAGAAUAUGCUCCGUGGAGACGAGUUGACAUGGAAGAUUCUUGUGGCGCUUGGGACAUCGUCAACUUGGCGAAGCUGAACAUGAAAAAACCACCACCUCACAGACGCGAUUCCCGAGACUCUUGAAAAUUUGACAGAGUUCAGAAGCACACUAGCUCAAUUGAAUUCACAGUUUGCGGCAAGAGGCAUACCCCAAGCCAGCAUACGGUUUGAUAGUGGCCUUGCGGGACUUCGAGGUUCAGAGGCUGCCCCGCGAAAGGCCCCUGGACAGGGGAUGGGCGCCGAGAAUGGGGACGGGGAGGUCGGAACAGGGGACGAGGUGCUGGGAACGUGGGGAACGGGGACUGUGGAUCGAUUUAACAAAAACCUGGGUCACUCUAGCAUUCUCCUAUAUAUAUCAUCAAUAAUUUUAGAUUUGUAGAAAAGAAAGUAAUUUUACGUAUUGUUAAUGUACAUAAUAUUGAUAUGAAUAGUCAUUGUAUAUAUAUAUAUAUAUAUAUAUAUGUAAAUUCUAUAACGCAUUAUUGACUUUUUUAAUAAUAAGAAUGUGUUCCAGAACGUUAAUAAAAGCAGCAAGCAAGUCCAAUUUGAGUUUCAGGCUUAAAAUAUCAACUAAUAUAUGCUAGGUACUACAUAUUUGUAGGUUAUGUUCCAAGGUAUUGUGCAACAAGUGAGUCAUUAUAUUCACAUUCAUAUACAAUUAAAUAAAAGUUAUAUAAUUGUUUGCAUGUGUAUGGAUGUACGUACAUAUGUACAUAUCCACACAUGGUUUUUCAGAACAGUCUGAUUGUAUCAAAUUAAUACCUGGAAAUAUUUAUGGUAUUAAUUUUGUAUCUCAAAUUAUAUAUAUAUAUAUAUAUAUAUAUAUAUAUCAUGAGCAAUUCCUCUAGAGAAUACCGUGUCAAAUUUGAACCAAUAAAUUAUUUAAAUGAUUUUUUUUUUAUAGAACAUUCUGUUAUAGAGCACAAUCACUAACACAAAAAGAGAGAAAGAAAAAAGAAAAAAGAAAAAAGAAAAAAAAAAAAGAGUAAGAAAGAAAGUGGGAAUAAUCAUUCAGAAAUCAAGCAACUUCAUUUAAUUAAAUACACUAUGUAACAGGAGCAUGUAAGUGUACUAUUCGAAAGCACUUAAACAUUUUAAUAGUAUAAAAAUGCACAAAAAUACCCAGCCAAUAUUUGUAGACAAUGGUAGAAGGGAUAAAUGGUUGCAGCACAAAAUGGGUGAAUGUGGGUUACAUGUAAAAGCCAUACACACAUGUAUUCAAAUGCACCAUUCACAGUAUAGUAAACAAAAUGAAAAGUCAGAUGCAUCUGAAUGAAUUAACACAAUAAGAGAAAUUUGAGCCAACAAGAGCCUCGUUAAGAUGCAAUGGAGGACAGACGAACGAAAUUUGCGGCAACGACGGAAAGGCGACGAGGCGACGACGGCGGCACUGAAGAGGGCAGUGAGCACCGGCAUUGAUCUCAACAACAACAACCAGGAAUUGUUGCAGUGCUUGCAGUGCCGAUCGAUGUCUGGGGACAGACAGACAGACAGUGUGCACUUGAACUGGGAUUGGGAGGAGCGAACUUCGGCUAGUCUCACUGCAGUCGAACGAAUCCGAAACGGUGAAACUCAUGAGCUCACGCUCCGACACCAUCUGACCACUCGCCCACCGCCUGCCCAGCCUGGCGCCGAGAGACGUGGCUUUUCGCCUUGUUCUUUUCGAUGGAUCCAAUUUUUGUCACCUACCACUUGUCGAGUCGGGAGUCGCGGCUCAGCGGCUGCUACAAUUGUCGCUGUCCCUGGCUUUCUACAGUUGGGUGAGCGAUGAUGAUGUAAUAGUUUGAUUGAAGGUUUUAGUUUGAUCGUAGUUUCAUUGAGCAAUCAGGCUCUCGGUAGGGUCUUUCUUUUUGUUCCAGUGUCAGUGACCCUGAGCCCUGCAAGGUUUAUGGUAUCUGUAGGUGAUACUCCUGUUCAUGCAAUUUUGGUUCAUACAAUUCUGCCGCGGAUCCUCACCUCCCAUGCCUGCUUAAUCAGAUUUUGUUUGCGCCUCAUCUUAGCUCAGCUUGGUUUGAGUUGAGAAUAAAUUCCAGAGAAAAAUAAUCAAAUACCUGCUUUAAGUUCUAUAUUCAGUAUUUGAAAUGCUUUAUUUUUAUCGAAUACCAUCUAUUUACUGUAUCUUCUAAUCUGGUUCCGUAUUUCGGAUAUUCAGCUCGUUUUAUGUUGCCUAACCUAUCAAAUACAAUUUCCUAGAAACUGCCCGCACAAGAACUCGACAUGUGGAGUUCAAAUUGCACAAUAUCACAUCUGAUCCCAAGUCUGCGAGUUCUGCAUGCAAAGGCUCAGUACAAUUUCACAAUAAUUCGUUGAGUAGUUGCCAGUAUCCUAAUCUGGAAAACUCAGGCUGCACCGUUCAAAAUUUUCAAGAUAAAAGAAAAAUCAAGCUUAGUUUAGCCUCCGUUAAUGUCUGUAACGAUUCAUGAACCUAUGGCUUCGCUUUUCUGUGCGGAGUGUAGGCAAAAAAUAGACUCAAUCAGCAGAAGCCUGACCAAGUGAACACGUUGCAUCCAUAAACUUGAUGAAAUAGUUUGCUUCCCUUCUGUGUGGGGUCUUGAGGAUUCUGCACGGGAGCUCCAUUUCCGUGGAUGUGGCUGACUCCUUGGACAUCGUCUUUACUGUAGUUCCUUCUUUGAAUGUACCCUCCCAACCUUUCCUCGCUUAUCUGGAUUCAUCGAAUUGUUUAGCUUGAAAAAUAUCUCUUCAAUUAAUCAUGGACGCUACUCACGUUCUGACAUCGAUGACUCAAGUUUCUAGUGUCAGUUCCCUUGUUUUUAACUAAAUAAAAAAAACGUACGUGAAAUACCCCCUAUAUUGCUCAGCUCAACUCUGCGGCACAUGUGGUCAUGUCAAUCUCGGAUAAUGUGCCAUGUUAGGAAAUCAAUGUACACAUUUAAUUCCGAUAUAUUUUCCAGAGUGGACACCAUACGCUUUCAUUCCUGAAGUAGUGCUCAGUUUCAGACCAUCCACCAGACUUGUUCUUGCAGCCACCUGUGAAACGUCCGACUACGAGGGUAUGGAUAGAUUCUCUUCACUGACUCUCCAUCAGUGCUGCCUCGUACCUUGGCGCCUAAUUCUGUUUUUAUUUUACGGUUUUUCCUUUUGGGCCAUCUAGUAAAGUAUGUACCAACAGUUGUCUGUUACGGCUCGUGGAUUAUAUACGUACAAUACGUACUGAAAAGGCACAUAAGUUUUACCGAGCGAAGUGGUUGCUGUUUAAAGCUUCACCCACGCACAGAAAAUCCGCAUCGCAACCAGAUUUCCGUCCACCCAAAAAUUGAAAUUGUCAAAACCAUCACUUUCGAGAACUGGGAAGUCUGCGGCACCUGACUGCGAAGCCAUAGGACGAACAAACAGAAGCGAUGGAGAUGAAAGCUUGGCUGACGGUGAACACAGCAGAUGCCAAUCAAAAGCAAGAGGGUUUCCGACCGGGGCGAGUUAUUGGUGAUUAACAAAAAGGGCAUGCCCCAGCUGGCCCACCCCGAUCCAGAGCUUGCAUUAACUGCUAUCGCUCAUUAAAUGUGAGGCGGAUCAGGAGAACCAUGGCUGGGCGAUCGCGUCCAAUGGCGCUAGCUAACAGAGAGGGGGAAAAAGGCCCUUCAUUCAGAGAGGCGUUCUCGCAUGUUCCAUUUUCCAUGUGGUGGAUCCCAGCCUCUUCAUUAAAGAGCCCGUCUUUCAUGACACUAAUGAGUCUCUUCCUCUCCCUCUCCCCGUUCAAGUGAAUGCCCAUUUAAUGACCCGAAACAAUGAGGUCCCAGGACAUAUGGAUUUGUGGUUUGCCACACGGUGGCGGCUUCGGCCGCAUCUUCUCUUGUUGCGCAAGUCCACCCCUCCCCUCCCCCCCUCCCGCGGCGCGUUGGCACCACAAGCCCUUGAGGCUGCCUCUCCUCCAUUGCUCCCAUGUGUCACCACUGGCGCUCAGCCUCCCCUAGGUUCACACCCUCUUCCUCCUUGGAGAACAACAUGUUUCUUUCGCGAUCUCGAAAGCGAGCUUUAUUCGAGCCAAUGCAUACGUCCCUUUUGCUCUGGGCAGAAAGUGAAACCCUAAUUCCUUUGGACUGAUCUCGUCACCAGGUUCUAACACUGAAGGCAAGGCAAGGCAACAACUUUAACAUUGCUACACCGGAGAUUAAUUUAUCCAUUAAAUCAUGUGUUUCAGAUUUCAAGUCUAGCUCUAUUUAUUUAUUUAUUGCUCUCUGGAAAUGGGAUAAAACGAGUAUUUCUACAGUGCUUUCUGAUGAUUGAGCAUAAUGGUGUUUUCAUGUCGACUACACUGCUGUUAUAUAUAAUGGGUAUAUGUCUAAGAUUGACUUGUAUUGGACACUCACUUGAGUCGCUAACAGAAUACUAUUUUUGUAUAUUUCGAGAAAUAAUGUAGUGCUAGCGCUGAUUUAAGCGUUAAUACAAUUUAGAUGUUUCCCCGUUAAUUCAACAGUGGAUUUGUCAUAAUUAGACCAGCACACGUUUUACUUGCACCUUCAAUUAUUGGAUGCACUGCUUGUCAGUGGAAAUGACUAAAUUUGUAAGUAUAUAUUGUUAUAUAUAGAUGUAUAUAUAUACACAUGCACACAUUCAUUCAAACAGACAGAUACAGUUGUUGGGAUGCAAUAGCCAUCUGUGUUUUUUAAUAAUAAAUUAAUCAACAUAUUCCAUGUGCAUCAUUUAUUGCCAUAUUGAGCAUCAAUUGCAGAGUGUAAAGUUUGUGUAAGAUUAAGAAAAAGAUUAUUCUUAAGAAAAAUAAUCUAACUUGCACAGCAUGCUCUAAUUUACCCACAUAUUUGCACCAUGCAUAUUUUUAGGUGCUCAAGGUAUGAAAAAUAAUUGACAUGGAAACGAAACACAUUGUGGGGAUUGAAAAUGCAAUUAUCCCAAAUUUGAGUGCUUUAUAGAUAAACAUGAUACAACCAUGACAACCAUUGUUCAUACACCAUUUUACAUUAAAAUUUGGCUAGGUUAUUGCUCAUGUUGUUGAAACAAUAUCAAGCUUCUCAAAUGUGUGUCACAAUAAUUUGGCAAUCCACAAUCAUAACAUUGGUUGUUGUUUUCCUUUUUAUUAUUGAUUAUUUACUAUGAGAUAAAGUUGGAUUUUUUGGCAUGUCAUUUGCUAUGUUCCGUCUUUAGAUUUUAGCUUCCUUUACUUUAGCAAAAACAUACUUGUCUAUUCAAUUUGAUGAGUCAGUAACAACGUUCAUACAUCCUCAUAACGUUACACUCUUCUAAUAUUGUAUGCAAUUGGGCAGUGAGACCUUGAUUGGGCUAUCUUAAUUACGCUGCUGCAACCAUUAAUUGGGAUUGUUUUACCCUGAUCCAGAUCCUGCAACAGGCCAACUUGGAAUGGGUGGAAAGUCCACCUAGGAUUAUCAAAGAGGUGCCAUGUGGACUCUAAAUAGUGCUUCGUCAGUAUUGAGAGAAACGAUUGCAUGAAGUCCAUGCAACGAUGUGAUUACCGAGGGAUGGUAGUCAACGACGGGAUCUGAGAUUUAGAUUAGCAAGGGGGCGAAGUAGAUCGAUGGAAGGGAAAAAAAGCAGGUCGAAAAAAUAGAGGGAGGGGGUAAUUCGAGAAUGCUAAAUUUUGAUGUCGUUUCCACGAACCUUGUCGCGGGGCUAAGUCAGUGAGCGGUGCAGUAGAGCUGACCCACGGUCACGACUGUCUAAUUUGCAAGAUGGAAUGGCUUUUUGCGGAGUAAGUGGCAGGCAAGAGGAAAAUAAAGAAGAACAAUGGGAGGGAGAUUUGCAGCUUGGGGGAAGGCGCAAGACCGGCAGCUAGCUAUCUUCGGCAACCGGCGCAACGGAGAAUAAGAAUAUGGGUUCGGUUUUUUUUGUACAUCCAAACUUCGAAGCGUAGGCAUCAACUGCUCUAUCGUUGUGUUCCAGCCCACACGAUCUGGCGACUUGUAGCUGGGCGUAAACUUCAUAUUCCAUUCCAGCCCAAAUUUGGGGUUCGACGCUCCCUUGCCCCUCACCAAUAACGGCAUGUGUGUGUGCGCGGCAAUCAUCAGCAGGGGCAGGUUCUCGUCGUGCGCUCUGUUUCGGAGGAGAGAUAGGCAUAGUUCUGCUGCCCACUUGCUUCACUUCCUGGUACAUGACUGAGAUUCUGCAUGGUCGGUUCUCCGCCAUUGCAGGCCCUUGCUCACUGCGUGUGUAUGUGUGUAAGACUGAGAGAGUGUGGGUUCUUUCCAGUUGGAAUUUCCAAGUCUUUGUAGUCGUAUCGAGCUUGCCAAGUGCUACACGGUGCAAGGCUGCCAGCGUUUCAGGCCCUGCACAGCCCGCCAAGUUUGCGAUGGACGAAACGGGGAAACAGACAAGGCGGGGCCAGGCUAAUGCGCUUGCUCUCGCUCUCGCUCUCGCCUCGCCACAGCACUAGCACCAGCCUGUGCCUCCUCUCCGCCCCCCUUGACUUUAUAUUAUUGCUUCUUUUUGUGGGUCUUUCAUGGACGUGCACAGACAACCUUCACUUCCUACUGUGCAUUAUGGGAAUACACACACAGACACAGACUCAUGUAAUCACACACAAUUCCAAUUUGCCUCAUGAUUUUAUCAUAGAAGGAAAAAUAAAAAACAAAAAUAUUAAAACACAAAAAAAUAUUACCUACACUUGUUAGAGAUUUUUUUUUUUUUUUUUUUAAUACUUUUUAUACUUUUUUCUUUGUUUUUGUUUGUGAAAACUGUAAGAUCUGAAUACAAACUUUUUGAAGUUAUAAUCUGUGAUAUUGAUGGGGUUUGUAGUGAUGGUGAAACUCACACAAAACUGGCUCAGUUCUGGCUCUCAAUCAUUUGAGCGGCAGUGGUGGCCAUUGCUUCAAUACUUCACACGCAUGUCAUCACCACCACCAACAGACCGUAAAAAGGGAACCCUGCUUUGAGUUUGGAAUUUCAUCAGGCUGUUGUUGCAGGAGAUGUUGUUGCAUGAUGGGCCUGCCACCAUUGAGAGUUGUAUACAUAAAUAAACACACAUGAGAUUACGAAAAGAAAAGAAAAACAAAAAAACAAAACAAAAAAAAAUAAAUUCUUGAUACCAAUCCCACAAAUCAACUAACAUAUUGAUAACCAUGACAAGUUGAGUGCACUUAUAAUUAAAACAAAUUCACUUGUGCUUGUCACAACCUACAAAGUGUGAUACUGCAAUUCCAUUGCACUAUCAUGAGAACAAAGACAAUAAUGGACAAGUAGAAAAAAAAAAAAUAAUGAUAAUAAUGUCAUCUUGUGGACAAAUCUUACUCUCUCCAGCUUGGCAUACUCUCUUUCUCCCCCAACAUGUGAGGUGGCAAUUAGACAGAGUCCACAUGGCACCCUCUUUGUGUUAAUAAUCCUAGGUGGACUUUCCACCCAUUCCAAGUUGGCCUGUUGCAGGAUGUGGGUCGGAGCUUAGCAGGGCCCAUUCACAGCCACAGCCUCAGCAGCAAGAUGCAAAAAUGCAAUAAAUCAAGGAUUUUACUGCUAAUCCUGUGUGAUUAGUGGAGCAGGAUUAGUGCAAUAGGAUGAACGGAUAAGUGGAUGAACGCCGUCGCUCCAUCACCCACAAUGGAUGGAUGCAUGAAUCCAUCCAUCCUCUGAUUUGGCUUUGAUGCUGCCUCACCUCUGCCUCUCCCUCAAAGUAAUGCUUUCAUAAACAAAAAAGGGCGAUUAAUAAUGCUCGUCACUUCAAGUGUACACUUUCCAGUAGAAGAAAUGAAAGUAAAAACAGAAACUCCAUGUUGUAUAAUCAUUUCUCUUUUCUCUCUCUCUUUUUCUGUUUUUUGUUUUGUUUUUGUACUGUGGCCAAAUCUUCCCAUUUUAUUUAAUUAUACUUAUGGCAAUGUAAAGGAAAGAAAUGGGAAAGGACAUAUGGUACCUUGAACUCCAUGAUAUCACAAACAAAUCCUUACUGAUUCAUCCCACUUCGAAAACAAAGUGUGGCAUUCAUUGCUGCCCCUCAUCUGCUUGGUAUUAAACAGGAAGGAAUGGAGUACAAUGAAAGUGAACAAAUAGCAAUAAACACAAAUGACAGGAAUAUUUUCAAAGUAAGAAAAAUAAAUUAUAAUAUAUAUAUAUAUAUGUAUGUAUUAUCACCCACACACACACACUGUCAUGAAAACACAUAUACUGGCUUUAUCGUUUUUAAUCAAUUUCUAUAAUAAUAAAUUGUAUUCAAUAUCUUUUCAUGGGGUUCAGCUCAAGUACCACAUUCAUCUGCAUGUCUUUCAGUUUAAUUGUCACAUCAGAAGUCAACUACGCCCCAAUGCUGAAGUCAUACGUGGCACACAGAGAUUGGUCCAUCAAACAAACAACUCUCUCCUAGGCUCCCAUUGGCAGCUACCCCCAUCUAGCUGGACAAACGCAAAUCCUACGUGGCAUCCGCAGCUGAUUGCGUAGCGAGAGCAUGCAGCAACACUGUCUGUCAGUCAGUCCCCCACCACUGACCUUAACUCCCUCAACCCCCCCCCUCAAUAAAUUAUAUAUAAAAAAUAAGAAAAUAAAAUCAGCAGUUAGCCCCAUCAAUCGGAAGGGGGGCAAGGCUGUGAUGGCAGUGUGGCUUUUCUCAGGCAAGAAGUGAGGCCCCAAUCGAGAGGUGAAAGCUAAGUGUGUGUGUGUGUGUGUUUUGCCACUGGAAUUUAAAAGAACUCAAGGGAGAUCAUGAAACUGGCUCUUCAAUCCCGGCGAAGCGUGAAAACGAACAAACUCUCGCGGAUAUCCGCCCAUUGGGACCCCACUACAAGGCAAGCAUCAACAAACACACACACACACAAAUCUUCAGUCAAACUGGGAGAAUCCCGGUCCAGAAAUCCCCGGGGGUAGGGAUGGGGGUGGGUGGAAGAGUCACAAAUUUUGAAUUCCAUUGGGGAGGGAGGUAAAACUGAGAACUUUUUGUGGUGUUUCUCGUCGUCUGGGGUGAAGUCUCCGUCGUUGAGCGGCGUUGACAGCUGAGUGGGGGACGAAGGGAGCAGAAAGGACGAGUGCGAGCGGCGGAGAUGGUAGGACCCACAAAUUGAAAGGCGAAGACGGAAACAAUCGACAUGGAAUACAGGGAGCGGGGACUACAUAAGCCACAACCCUGCGCAGUCCACUCGUAGAUUGUCAGUCAGGCUCUCUCAUUGUCCUUUCUCUUCGCUUACGACUAAAAUCGUGAGGAUCCUGUCUUCUCUCAGGUUGUAUGUUCCCUUUCAACUAUCAGUGUGGGUUCGUCUUCGUUGUUGUUGUUGUUGUUGUUGUUACAGUGCAGCAUUGUGAUAGUGAGAGUGGGGACUUGGAAGAUUGAAUACAUGUCUGUGUGAAGUGGAGGUUGCAUAUCUCCACACUUGAAUCCCGUGAGGAGAUUGAAGGAAUUAGUUGAAUCGCGCAGCAAUGGCCAGCUGUGGUGGUCGUGGCGCGAGGUCGUGGAUUCGCGGCAACCUCAUUGGUGCCGGGACGUUUGGGACGGUGAACCUGGCGGUGAACCGCGAGGACGGGGAAGUGUUUGCGGUGAAAUCAGUGCGGGUGGAGCAGGGUAGGAUGGACGGCGCGGCGCAGCCUUCAUUGGAGGCGCUGGAGAAUGAGAUUGAGAUUCUGCAGAGUCUGGAGUCGAAGUAUGUGGUGAGGUGUCUGGGGAGUGAUUGGACUGAGGAGGGCGGGAAGGUAAUGCGCAAUGCGUACUUGGAGUACAUGCCGGAGGGAUGCCUGACAGAUUUUCUGAAGCAGUUCGCGGGGGCGGAGGCGCCCCUGGAUGAGCAUUUGAUCCGGACGUACACGCGGAGCAUUGUGCAGGGGAUAGACUACUUGCACAGGCAGGGAAUCGUGCACUGCGACAUCAAGGGGAAGAACAUUUUGGUGGGCAACGGGAACGUGAAGCUGACGGACUUCGGAUCCGCGAAGAGGGUCGGCGUCGGGGGCGAGGGGAAGGUGGACGGCGGGGAGUCGUCGGCGUUCGCGAAGGUGAACGGGACUCCGCUGUGGAUGGCGCCGGAGGUGGUGCGGCAGGACGAGCAGGGAUUGGCAUCGGACAUCUGGUCGCUGGGGUGCACGGUGGUGGAGAUGGCGACGGGGAAGGCGCCAUGGAGCGAUCUGCCGAACCCGUAUGUGGCGCUGUUCCAGAUUGGGUGCACGGAGGGGAUUCCGGCGGUGCCGGCGAGCCUGAGCGCGGAGGCACACGAUUUUUUGGGGCACUGCUUUCAGAGGGAUCCUCGGAUGCGGUGGACGAGCAGUCAGUUGCUGGAGCAUCCAUUUCUGACGACCCGGCACGUACCUCGGGCGAUGGUGGUGAAGGAAGAGGAGGAGGGUGUUGUGAGAGCGGAGUCUCCUGGGAGCGUGCUGGAGAACAACGGGCGGUCAGCGAGCAGCGGGUUUUCAUCGGUGUUCAGGAGGUCGGUGCCAAUUCUGACAAUGCCGUCAUUUUUGAAGCGGGGGCUGGUGAGGGAAGCGAAGGAGGAGGAGACGGGAGGGAGUCGGGGAUGCAGUGGGUUUUCGAGCUCUCAGUUCGAGAUGCCAAUGGAGGGAGAGUGGAUCGUGGUGCGGUCGCCAUUGGCGUCUCCGCGAUCAGCUGAUCCCACGCAUCAUGAUUGUGCAGUGUUACCGAUCACCGCUGCGGUUGAGGAAAUUUUAUUGUCGAUCAAAGAUGAAAUUGACUCAGCUGUGCAGUCACAUGAUAGUAAUGCAGUGAAAUCAACUUGCUCUACAGAUUUUCCUCUGGACCAAUGCCAAUGUGUUGGGAGCAUUGAACCAGAAUUGGCUGAGCGUCAUGGCGUCGAGGAAAUGAAUGUAACAUCGAGCUGUGUUAGGAGUUGUACAGAAGAUUGCGAUGAAGAAAUGUGUUGGAGGGAUGACUCUGAGGAAGUUUCUCGGAGUUGUAUAUAUGGGUCAGGAGUACAUGAAGACGCUUGUUCCGUUAUGAAUUUGGAAUCCGACGUGGAAGUGGUAGACAAUGUGCCGAGUGCAUCAGCGGAAGAUGGCGGUGAUGUGCCCAGACUACCAUUGUUGAGAGCGUCUGUGAUUGAGUGUCAGGAAUGUGAUGUGAAGUCAAGGUUUUCCUAUGUAUUUCCGCAAAUGAACUCGGUGCAUUUUGGAAUCUCUGUGAUGGAGUUUACUAGUUCCAAUUUGGAUGUUACAGUGCAGAAGUCACUGUUUUUGUGGCAUAGCUCGGAUGGGGGCUAUGGUCACGAGUGGAUUGAGAGGUGGGACUGGAGCAAUGUAUAUAUGAACAAUGUGAAUAUAGGAAAAACUGUCUCUUGGAAGUUUUGUAUAGUGUUUCUACAUUGCAAUAAAAGCUUCGUACUGAAGAAGAUAUGGAACAUACUGUGCCUCUCUUGGUUUCUUCUUUAUUGCUUGGGUUAAGUGUGGUUAUUUGCCUGAUUAACUUUCAUGAAUUCGAACUUAGAGAUUUGGUGACCUCUCUAUUGCCUUGAAAAUAUCACAAUGUACACAAUGUAUUGUGCAUGAGGAAACAGUCUCUUCACUGAGGAGAGUGUGCACCAGUUGUGUUUGUUUUCCUUCCGUCUUGUAUCCGCAUCGGUGAGGCCCAGGCUGUUGGACAUUGAGGUCGUUGGGUGUGCGCGCAACAUCGAUGAAACAAGAAUGGAGAAAUGAUUCAACUCGAGCAACUUUGAUUCCACAUCACGAAUACCUCACAUAUGCAUACCUGGUAAAUGGAGUAUGGCGACCAUUUCAUGUCCAUGACAUGGACCCAAACCCACAAUCCAAUGUGUCGGUGUGGGUUUUUAUGUUGUGGUGUGUUGCAAUUAGAUCUACUAAACCACACCCUACGUUGCAACUUGCAAAAAAACAUCUCGAUUUACACUCGUUCGUUAAGUCCCUUCGAGGUGAAUGAAGCUCCGUCCUCUCCACUGAAGGAACUGCACUGUUCUCCAUCAUUUGGGUGCUUUCGACGUUCUAGCCAAGUUUUCAGAGACGAGCUGAAACACGCAGUUCCAGCACAUCCUAGCAAGGAAAUGGAGCAAUGUUUCAUCACUACGUCCUUUUCAAGAGCAAUCCACAGGUUCAGCUUUUGGUGGAACCAGUUACUCGCGACUAGAAAUUGGCUCCAUCCGCAUUCAUCUUCCAACCCUCGCUCACCACGCCUUGGUGUAGAUUUUUCUCAAAUAAGACGAUCAGGACAUCCGCCCAAUGUAUUUGUGUUUUCACAGCCCUUGUUCCAAAACCUUCAACGAAGACUGAGCAGCUUGGGCACAAUCGGAUGGCCUCGACGACACAAAGGAACCCAAAUCCAAAGUCGAACAUGGGUGGGUGGAAAACGAAGGUCUGAAAGGACAUCGCAAUGGCAAUUAGCAUAUCCAAUGACGAGAAACCCCUGAAAAUGGGUUUUUGUCGUGGUAGAUAAAAAGGGUAAACAGAGCCCUCUUCACAUGCUCCAGACUGCAGGAAGCUCCUACAUUCGCUCACCUCGAAAAGCCAUCGCUGCGGUGGUUAAUGAUUUCAUCAAGAGUGAGGCGUCAUUUGUUCCGACGGAUGCGCUUUAACCCAUCCUCAUGACACGUUCAACUUCGUUCCCAAUUCCCCCUUUCCAAAGCUGGGUAACAUGGUCGAAUCCAUCAACAAGCCUGAACGAACCGGCGACCUCCAAAGAUAGAUGUGAAAAAAUAAUGGGUCCGGCGUCGUUGAGUCCUCGCUCCUCAUCUUGAUAGGUUAUAAGCCGUCGCCUCCUCGUCUCCGUGGAAAGAACAUCCACACAGUCACUCUCGGGCCCGCUGAUUCGAUAGAAUUCACAUGGCUCAAUUCAUUUGCUGCUGCUCCAAGCGAAUUCCCAACAACUUUGCGUGUGUUUUUAUUUAAUUACUUAUUUAUUUGGUUUUUUUCUCGGAUUCCAUCUUUCGCUACAAAGUGCAUCUGUCUUGUCAAGGACCCUUUAAAAAGCACUAUUGCACUUGGAGUUGAUUCAUUGGAACAUGCCCUCGCCACUCUGCUCGCCUCUCCACCCGUGACUGAAGUCAACCGUUUGUUAUCCUAAUAAUGCUGAUUUUCCUGCCACGCGUUAGAAUGAACUCAUGACAUGAAGCUCCGAAGCCCGAAAUGGAAUUGUUCCGAACAACAAAAACAACAAAGUACACCACAACUGCACAGAAUCCAACAAACCCACACCUCAUCGUUAAACAUUAACCCUGCAUGCAAUGAUAUUUGCAGCAUGACUGAGCGUUUUUUGUUUGUUUGUUUGUUUGUCUCAACGACUCACUAGAAUCACACAUCAGACGCCGAAGCACCUCGAAUGUCGAGAUACUGGGUCGUAUGCAGUAUGCACCUUCAUGCAAAUCAGAGACCAUGGUCAACGCGUGUCAUAAGAUUCGAACUAGUUCGCCUCGACACCGAUUUUGCGAGAUCACGCUCAACAUUCACAUGGCUAAACUCCACAAGGCAACUCAUAUCAAAUUUAUCCCAAGAGGAUUUAGUUAAUUCCCUGCGUGCUAUUCACUAUUAUGGGCUUUGUUUAUCCCUUAACCUCAUGUAUACUCCGCAUGCUUCAGCUGAGCUUAAUUACUCUUCCCCUCAAAACAGUGUGUGUGUUGGUGUUUACGAGGAACUUAAUCCGCGACCCAACUGUAGGUAUUGUGCGUCAGAAAACUGGUGGUUUUUUUUUUGAUUUUUUUGAUUUUUUUGCAUUGGCAGUGAAAUAGGCAGAGACAAUGUUAAUGGUGGUUGACCUCUAGUGUCCAGGUCCACCGGGUUUAUGCACGAAAUCAACAACUUUAAUGAGGAAGAAGUGCAGUGAAGGAGUGUGAUUAGAUGGUGCCAUUGAUAAUUCUACACAGCCAGGCACAUAAACAGAUUCUGGGUGCAGGGAUCAAUCAAAACAUGAAGAUGAAGAAGGGGUGGGUCUAGUGUGUGUCAGAAAAUGUGAAAGUCUUUCAGGUUUCAAUGAGGUAUAUGAAUAAAUGCAGAAUGUGGGGGGUUAAUUGUAAAGUUAAAGUGACAUCUAAAAUUGCGCCGCCUUCAAAACGCUGUAAUUUAUAAAUAUUCAAAAAUUAUAAACGGUCAGAACUAAUUAUUCAUUUUGAAAAGAUUUUGAUUCGAAACCAAUUAAGUUGCUGCCCAAAAAGUUAUUCUUCCAUGUGGAUGUAGAAAUUAGGGGAAAAAAAAUGCACAAAAUCUAAUUAUACAAAAAUUAUAGCUUUAUAAUUUCUAUAAUCAUGAACUAAAAAGACAUGUUUUAUAAAUUUGGUAAAGUUUGGUGAUGAUGCUAGAACAAAUAGCAACCUUAAAGUUGAUGUUCAAAGUAGAUUUGACAAUCUAAAGAUUUUAAUCUUACAUCUAAACAAUAAGAGAUGUUCAAUCAAAUUUUGGUUUACUUUAGAAAACUAAUUCCUUCUUAAAACAAAACAAUACAUGUUGGAAAAGAUAAAGAUGCUACACCAACAUGCUAGGAGGUUCUAAAAAGGGCAUUACAGUGGUAAAAAGUAAAAAUUUAAAAAAAAACAAAAAAAUCAUUGGAAAAAUAAAUAUUCAAAAUUUAUGACCAAAUGUUUGACAUAUUUUUAAUUGAAGAAAAUAUCAAAAUACUAUUUUUAUACUUGUAAAUUUACAAUUUUAAGAUAAUUCAAAAUUUGAUGGAUAUUGCAAUUCUAAAACUUAUCAUAUAUAUAUAUAUAUAUAUAUAUAUAUAUAUACAUACAUAUACACACACACAUACAUACAUCAUAAUAUUCUGGUUAUAUCAUUAUUUUAAAUUGGAUAUAAUUCAAUAUCUAAAACUUUCUCUUCUAAUAUUAUGAGACUUUACAAACAAUUAUUAUGACAAGAAAAAAGUAUUAAGAAUUAAUCUUAAAAUAAACUAACCUCUAUUAUAAAACUAAUUAUAUAUAUAUAUAUAUAUUCAAAUUAAAAAUUAGGUAUGAUUUCCUUGUAUUAAUGAAAAGACUAAUUAGUUGUGCAAAUUUUUUUAUCAUCAAAGGUUAGAGCAUCUUUCUAUCUUAAAGCAAAUAAAUAAUGAACAUUUAGGGGACGUCAAACCCUAGAAAUCCACUUUGAAAGCCUGUAGCUCAAAAGUCUUAUUAAAGUCAUUUACUUAGUGAAGGAAAGCCAUUUGUUUUUAAGAGCCUUGGACUUUUGAUAUAAUAUGAAGUAACUAAAAACCAUGAUAUGGACAAAAUCAUUAUUUUAUUAUAAGUUCAAAUAUGUAGGUUGAUAUCUUAAUUUAAACAAUUAUGAGAAGUACAUCAUAUAUGUAUAUAUGUAUAUUAAUGGUUAUUUUAAGUAUGUUGUUGAGAUGGUUUUUCAAUUUUUUUUGAAAACCACUUCUUUGAAAUUGGCCUAAUGGAACUUCUAAAAAACAAUAGUAUUUAUGCAAUAUCUGAACUAUAUAUAUAUAUAUAUAUAUAUUUAUAUAUAUUUCAUCUCAUUCUUCUCUCUUAGGGCAUUUUGCCCUGUUUAUUUUUUAAAUCUAAAGAAAAUCAAAGGAGGCUUCUUAAUUUCAACCAAUCAAAACAUUUAAAAUUUAAGGUCUUUUAUCUUGUCCUAUAAGUAUAAAAUAUCCCUUGUAUUUUGGGAAUAUUAAGAUAAAUAAAAAGAAUUUUUAAAUCAACUAAGGUUUUCACUAAAUCAAUCCACCCAUCCUAACUAUUGUCAAGAAUUCUCCACUGUUUUAUCUGCACUGGUUGAAAACCAACAAAAAAUAGUUGGAUCCACAACCAAUGAUAGUGGGUGGGUUGAUUUAGUGAAUGCAUGGAUCAAUUUAACAGUUCCCUAAAUAAAAUAGAUUUUUUUUUUUUUAAAGAGUCAACUAUGGUUGGAAGAAUACAAACACUGUUAAAAUCUUCAUGUAAAAAAUUAAUUGUUUGAACAUAAAUUUUCAAAAAAUUCUGGUUUUUAAUAUAAUAUCUAUCUAUCUAUCUAUCUAUCUAUAUAUAUAUAUUAAUUGUUUGAAUAUAAAUAAUCAUAUAGUUAUAAAAUAAGAUUUUGUACAUUAUGAUAUCUUGUGCACAGAGAUAGUUAUGACAUUAAUGAACAUUCACAAAAAUUGACACCAAACAUGAUUAAUAAAUCACAAAAGAUAAAACUGUUUCCUUAUUUAAUUGAAUACAUAUCAAACUACCAAGUUUAGAAUGUGAGUAGUCAAGUCAAACCUGAAUCAUACAAUGUGGAUUUUGAUCCAUACAACCAAGUGCAUGAUGAAAUUAGAUUCAUUGUCAUCAAAUGCAUACAUGUGUGAUCAAAUCUGUACAAUUUCAAAAAUUAUAAAACAUAGAUAAGAUUUGAUAUCAUACGAACUGUGAUUUAGUUAUUACACUUAUUUCUCUCUGCCAAUAGAAUAAUAUGUGAAUGUAUCUUAUUUAUUUUAUUUUAUUUUAUUUAUGUUUCCAAUGCCACAAAUAUCAUUAGAAAUAUUUGUGAUGACAGAGAUUUUACUUGUUUCGUAGCUAAAUAUAAAAAAAUUGAAACUAAUGAAAUCUACUUGAAAUAGAAGGACAAAACUAAAUCUUCAAACUCAAUAUUAAGUUUUAUUAAGAUUUAAAAUUCGUAAUUUAAUUUAAAGGAAUCGUAAUUAAUAAUAAAAAGUGGCCAUAAAACACUCUCUUUUUUUCCCCUCAUCUUUCUUCCACUGUUCGAACGUGGGAGCCACUUGUCACCUGCCACGUGGACAUCUAACCCAACCACUGACCACAAUUUCGUGGAAAUUGACUCCUUUUACGUGGCAGCCAGUUAGCCGCACCACCUUACUGGUUACGUGGCGCACUCCCAUUCGCCAGCUCAUAUACUCGUGAUGACGUGGUCACACCACGUGGCAUCUAAAAGCAAUCAUUAUUUUAUUAUUUUAAAAAAGGUACUCUCAAUGUACCCUUCAGUUGUGAAGUGUGGUAGCCUUAUCCAAUAGCCCCAACAGAAUUUAGGGUUAGGGUUUCAAGGGGUCCUUCUUCCGAGUCAACAAAAUCCAAACUGGGGAAAGUUGUUUGGAUUCAGUUGUUGUUGUGGUUGAUGGGAGGAGGGGGGGGGGGGCACUUGAUACACAACUGCUACAAAGAAAUGGAGGCCCCAGAGAUCCAGAAAUUUUGAUUUGAUUUCAUUUCAUUUCCACUGGGGAUUGGAUUUUACGAAGAUUCAUGUUUGAAUGAGAUUGAAUCCUAAUUAGGGUUUUGUGUAAGUUUUGGGGUGUUGGUGUUUUCUUGUGCAUCGGGUAACAUAGAUUGGAUUAUGUGGGGCUCCAAAGCAUGGCCUUAAUGGGGCUGUGAGUCAUAGUGAAAAAUUCUCUGGGUCACUCACUCCACAGUUCAAAACUGAUUGCAUAUUUUUAACAAGAAACUGAAACCAUAAAGACUGGGGGAGUGCAAGUAGGUUUGGGCUUUUAUGGAUUGGAAGAAAAUAUUUAGGGAGGAGGUAAGAUUGUGCAAUUUUUUGAAAUCUUUUUUUUUGGGUUAACUGUUGCAUUUACCAGCACAAUAGUUGUUUGAUUCAAUGAUCAAACAUCAUACACAUUAAAUAAUAAAUUUCUUUUAGACAUGUUGUAAUGCAAAAAAAAUAAAAAUAAAAAUAAGACACACACACAGAAAUAAUAAGUACAUCAUCUUAAUUGACAUAAAUUAUAAAUUUAUAAAAAUUUAAAUGAGACAUAAAAACUAUAACUAUAUCUAUUUUUUGUUUUAAAAGUUGGAUCUUCUUGCUCUAAAUGUAGUAGAAAUAAAGGUAGAGUUGGUCCAUUAAGUAUUGUUCUAAUAAAUCUAAUUUGAGAUGCUUCAAGCAAAUCACUUUGUAAAUAGAAUAUUAUAAUAAGUUGUACUUGUUAGAAAAAUAUUUUAAAAUUUAUCUAAAUACUGUCAAAUUUCUUUAAAAGAACAUUUUUUAUAUGAAUAGAUGUUAUUACACUUCUCUGACGAUUUGUAAUAAAAAACAUUACUUGAGUUGGUAGAAAUGUUGCAUAAACUUUUACCAAUUACACUUUAUAGUAAAAUAUUUGAUAAUGACUUGUGCCAUGCACAAAAGAACUAAAGUAUCUUAAACCAAACCUAGAAUAUAAAAAGGGUGUUGGCAAGAUUAAAGAUGACCUUAAUCUUCCCUACAUAACAUAAUAGUUAAUAAAAAAGCCAUGUACAAACUUUCUAAAGACUAUAAAAUUUGUGAGCCACAUAUUCAAGUCAUAAGAUGUUUCUUUUGUAGUUUUUUAAGUGUUCCCAAAUUCCUCAAAAUUGUUUUUGGCAAUAUGGUGCAUCUAAAGAUACUUAUAGAUCCAACUAUGUUCAAAAAGGUUCUUUGAUGUCUCUUAACAAUGAUAUUAUUAAUUUAAAAUAAUUUUAUUUAUUCCAUUUUAUUUUUUUAUUUUUAUUAUCUUAAAUAAAAACAAGAAUAUAUUAAAAAAUUCUAUUUUCUUAGGACUUUAAAGUGGAUUUAUAAAAUAAAAAUCAACUAAUACUUUAAGGAUUAUAUUAUGUGUUAUAAAUUUAGAUGAUUUUAUGUAUUAUAUGUUGUAGAAUAAUAAAUAGCUUUUUGAGAUAUAUAUAUAUAUAUAUAUAUAUAUAUAUAUAUUUCAAAAACAUUAUUUGAUAAAUGAUAAUACAAAUCAUGAUUAAAGUGAUGAAAAAAUCAUUUGCUUAAAGAACGAAGGCCUAUUGAUAAUAAAUCUAAAAAAAAAAAUUUAUUUUUUAAAAAGAAAUUGGAAUGCCAAAUUUAUUAAUAAUUUAAUUAAAAUUUACUUAAGAAAAAAUAUGAAAAAUUAUAUAUUUAUUAAUAUAUAUGUAUUAAUUAAAUAAUUAAUCAAUUUUUAAAAUUGAUGUUGUUGUGGAUGUAAAGAUUUCUAAAUACAACAUUUAAAAAUUUAAAAGUGAGAUCAAAUAUUCUAGUUAAUAUUGUAAAAAUUAAAAAUAAAUAAAAAAAUUUACAUACUUUAAAAUGAAUAUUUUCUUUGUUUUAUAAUUUUCUUUACCAAAUCAUGUUUUAUAUAUGGAAUUGUUUCUUUGUGUACUGUAGAAUAGGUAAAUAAACUUUGUGGUAAGUUACUAGUUGGUUAUUGAUAACCUUGAGAAUUAGACUGAUGGUUAGGCAGUUUAGUUGGUAACAGUAGGUUGUUAGUGGAAUAAAUGGUUAAGAAUUCAAAGGGUUAUAAUCUUUGGAAUCUCUUGGCCGACAGUCCAUCUUUUGGUAGGAUAAAGAAGUUGAGGAAAGGGAGAUCGAGGCCAAACUGUGAUAAUCGUAAGCCGAGGCAAGGUUGGUGCUACCUCUUUUUGUUUCUUUGUUAUUGACGAGUAAUGGAUAGUUUCUGAAUACUGAGAAGUUAGUCUGGAGUGCCAAACUAUGAGAGUUGUAAGCCGAGAUAUUGAAUUCUAUGUGAUGAAUUGAAAAACUGAAUACAAUAGAUAAGCUAGAGAUCAGUAAUUGAAUAAAUAUAAACCACAAAGAGAGUAAGUUGGAGAUGGACGGAUAAGAAUAUGGAAGUAUUGUUGAAUUGAUAGUCGUAGAAUGGAUUAUGGGUUGAAUUAAGACAGAAGUAGUAAGCCUUGGCGUUUUGUAGUUUGAUAAUUGAUUUUAGAUAGUGAGAGUACAGUCAAUUGUGACACUAACAAAUCCAAUUCAUAUUACUAGUCUUUCCCCGUGUUCAAACCCACCUCUAUUAGUUCAAUUGCUUUGGUAUAUUGAGGCUUGAAUACAAUGAAAACAACAUGUACACAUCAAACAAAACUAGAGUAUAUUAUUAUUAUCUUAACAUAUAUAGAAUAUAACAUUUGGCUCACAUUGACUAAGUUUAGUAUAUGGUAUAUGAUAAUUUAAUAAGAAAUAUAUAGCAUUGUAUAUAUAUUUUUAAUGGAAAAAGAAAUGUGGUUGGAAAUAAAAAUCAAAUAGUUGGAGUAGAUUCAAUAAAGAUUCUAUAAAACUAUGGACUAUUAUCAAAAUUUUGUAGGUUGUAGACAAAAAUAUGAUCAAAAUAAAGAAAAAGACAAUCCAUCCUUUCUUUUUACAUACACAAAUAUAAAACAUGAACUCACAAUAUAAAGUUUAAAGAACCUUUUUUCGCCCUGGCUUGAAGAGAACGUGAUUCCAAAGAUGGGUUCCCAUGUUCCUGAACAUCUUAAGAGGCGCCGCGAAUUGGUCACGUCACGGCGCGUUGCGUCGCGUCGCGUCACGGCACGGCAAAGGGCGUCACAACACGUCAGGGCGAUGUGAGGGCGCUGUGAGGGCGGCGUCGCGUGCAAGGGUGAGAGGAGGGAGGAGAGGGAAGAACGCCGCAAAAGGAGAGGAAAUGAGAGGAGAUAAGGAGGAGGGGAAUAUGAUGUAAAGACUGUGUGUGACUAGAAAGAGAAAGGAAGGUUGUUGUAGGAUAAGGACAAACUGAACGCAAAAAAGAAAGAUAGAAAAAAUAGACUAUUACAUACAUGGCUACGAUUUAACUGCUUUCGCCCGUUCGCACGCUUCGGGCAGCACGGUGAGAGGAUCUGCCGAUUCCUUCGUUUCGACCUUUCACCCAGUUUGAAUCCUCGGAGCGAAUUUGGGAGAAUUCAUUUCCUUUUCUGCCGUUUGAGCUCCGGUCGCUGCAUGCGAGGAUUGAGCUAAUCGGGUAGCGAGGAGACACUCUAUCGGCUCCUCUCCUGAACGUCGCUGUGGAAAGCACUCCAUAAGGCGAGCUCACCACAUGAUUCGGAGCACUCCUCUCGGGUACGGAGCAAUCGGGGGAUAGUCACCCAAACACUGUUUCGUGGGGCCGUCACUCUCGCGGCGGAGCUUUUUGUUCCGAGCCAAUGCGAUGCAGCCUAGACGCGAGUGCAGAUCCGGCCACUCUUGCAAGCACUGGCUCUACCGCUUUUUACCCUGGCCAAAUAGUAGAGAGAAUUGCUCCCUCCAAUGGCCGGCGUCAGGAGACAUCCGUCCCAGGGUGGAUUCAUUGGUACGCGUCACCCAAAGUCACUGUAAAGGCACCUCUUCCUUGGGUCACGACGACGAAUGGGGUGACUCCUAGGAAUAAGAUUUCACCGACCCCGUAGUCCUGCACUCGAAAAAGCGAGCUAGGAAAAAGGACGCAUUUGAUGUAAUGAUGCAAGUUGAUUUGUUUGAAUAUAAAAUUACGGAGCGCGUUUCACUGGACCUGCUCGUUGUGUGCUCAUAGCUGGCGUUACUAGUGUGCAUCUUGAAGCCAGGGAGGGACCACGCCAUGUGCAUAUUUCGGUCAAUGGAUAGUUUUGUGAUAUCUCCCGCAUAGUAUGCGACCCAUUAAAGGAUCAUGUAACAGAAUUUGAGCUUGCAGAAGAUGGCUGCAGGUCAAACAAAAUGUUCAACUCGUCACAGGCAUGACGGAAUGGGUCGUUAUCGACUUCGAGCAGAAGGAAGUGAUGUGGUUUCGUAAAAGCAAAAACCUAACAGAUAGGGGCGACGUGUGACACGUAAGCGACCGGAGUACUUCUGAUGUUCAAUGACCAAGUGACCCUAACCAGUAGGAGGAAGAUAAUCCCUUCAACACUGAAAUCACACAUCCAGUUGUGAGACACGAAAAUGAAUAAAUAAAUGUUAUAUGAUCUACACCAAAUGUCACAAACAAACGCAUUCACGGAUGCACAAGCUCCAUCACACACCGGAAGUACCGUCAACAUAUUUCCCAGAACUUUGCGUCCAUUAUAUCGUCGUAACACUGUACACAGGCUCCUAAGACCGCCGCUUCCCAUAUUCACAUCACUUUUAUCUACAUUGCUCCACUCCCGCCCCCGCCUACACUUGUGAUCAUCAGCCCCAUCCAGCCCAAGCCAUAUUAACAGUGCCUUGAGCAUAAACUCUCCCGAAAUGGGAUGAGCAAAAAACCUCGACAUGGACAUUCCAGGACGAUCAGACUCUACUUGAAGCACAAACGGCAAAAACCCUACUUUCAAACUACCUACUCCAUGCUCAAUCUCGGAUGUCGUGACCGGUGGUCGCGAAGUAAAUGAGGUCACCUCGUUCCCUACCAGUUCAACACCGGAUCUGAAAUUCGUUCGGAAAGGAGCAUUUACAUUCUCUUCCGACUGAAGUUUUGUACAUAGACCCAUAGAGCUUUGUGUUGCAUCACCCCGGGCGGGGCAAUCCAGCCCCGCUCCCUCUGCCACGAAGCUGCUGAUACACUGCUCCAAAGAGCAAAAGCUGCCGCUAUUCGACCUCAAUUCAUUUACACAUUUCUCCAACACCGACUCCUUAUCCUCUGGGCUGCUCGACGCCACUUUAACAUCAGUGUCACGCCUGACCACUUCCUCUUCCUCUUCAGCAGUAGUCGACAACACUGUACGAUCAUGAUGCGCGGGCUCAGCUGAUCGCGGAGACGCCAAUGGCGACCGCACCACGAUCCACUCUCCCUCCAUUGGCAUCUCGAACUGAGAGCUCGAAAACCCACUGCAUCCCCGACUCCCUCCCGUCUCCUCCUCCUUCGCUUCCCUCACCAGCCCCCGCUUCAAAAAUGACGGCAUUGUCAGAAUUGGCACCGACCUCCUGAACACCGAUGAAAACCCGCUGCUCGCUGACCGCCCGUUGUUCUCCAGCACGCUCCCAGGAGACUCCGCUCUCACAACACCCUCCUCCUCUUCCUUCACCACCAUCGCCCGAGGUACGUGCCGGGUCGUCAGAAAUGGAUGCUCCAGCAACUGACUGCUCGUCCACCGCAUCCGAGGAUCCCUCUGAAAGCAGUGCCCCAAAAAAUCGUGUGCCUCCGCGCUCAGGCUCGCCGGCACCGCCGGAAUCCCCUCCGUGCACCCAAUCUGGAACAGCGCCACAUACGGGUUCGGCAGAUCGCUCCAUGGCGCCUUCCCCGUCGCCAUCUCCACCACCGUGCACCCCAGCGACCAGAUGUCCGAUGCCAAUCCCUGCUCGUCCUGCCGCACCACCUCCGGCGCCAUCCACAGCGGAGUCCCGUUCACCUUCGCGAACGCCGACGACUCCCCGCCGUCCACCUUCCCCUCGCCCCCGACGCCGACCCUCUUCGCGGAUCCGAAGUCCGUCAGCUUCACGUUCCCGUUGCCCACCAAAAUGUUCUUCCCCUUGAUGUCGCAGUGCACGAUUCCCUGCCUGUGCAAGUAGUCUAUCCCCUGCACAAUGCUCCGCGUGUACGUCCGGAUCAAAUGCUCAUCCAGGGGCGCCUCCGCCCCCGCGAACUGCUUCAGAAAAUCUGUCAGGCAUCCCUCCGGCAUGUACUCCAAGUACGCAUUGCGCAUUACCUUCCCGCCCUCCUCAGUCCAAUCACUCCCCAGACACCUCACCACAUACUUCGACUCCAGACUCUGCAGAAUCUCAAUCUCAUUCUCCAGCGCCUCCAAUGAAGGCUGCGCCGCGCCGUCCAUCCUACCCUGCUCCACCCGCACUGAUUUCACCGCAAACACUUCCCCGUCCUCGCGGUUCACCGCCAGGUUCACCGUCCCAAACGUCCCGGCACCAAUGAGGUUGCCGCGAAUCCACGACCUCGCGCCACGACCACCACAGCUGGCCAUUGCUGCGCGAUUCAACUAAUUCCUUCAAUCCACCACCCGCUGGCCAAGAGUGGAAGCGGAUGAGGUGCACCUCAUAAAAACAUAACACGCUGAUUCGACACUUCAAACGCUACUCGCGAAAAUCCUAUGGUCUCUCAGAAACGAAAUCACAAGAAACGCAGAUGAGCAAUACUGCGUUUGUGCGGUUGAGUUGUGGCUGAGGCAGAGCGCAGGAGUGAGAGCUUAUUGCAGGUUUGCCACUCUAAGCCAGAAGUCUCCCGCAGCUUAUGUAUCGUCCGCCUGAAAUCUGAUUCUAUGGCAGAGCCUGGUAGCGCCCACCCUGCGCUGCUGCUCUUUUAGGAUUGAAUAAAAAUUAUUAUCCUGAUUGCAUUGAAUACGAGCACCAGAGCUUGUCCGCGGGGCCCAGCUCGCUCGCUCUCGGCUCGGACCCUGCAACUGCAGGCAGCCCGCGUGCUCCGCUUCACUUUUCCCCCGCCUCUCCCGCUCCAGCACCUUUUUAGCUACGAUCCCCAGGUCUCCUUCUUCGUCGUCGUUGUCGUCGUCGUCAAAUUCCUGCUUCGUCUUCACCACAAUCACGAAACAAUACCCCUCGAAUUCACACACACACUGCAGAGUUAAUUACUAUCCACUCACCCAGUAUUAUCAUCAGUUUUAUUAUUAGUAGUAUUAGUAAUAUUAUCCAGCAACGGUGAGGCUGCGUGGUUGCCUCAAAGCGAGCGCGAGAGAGGAGAGUGGUAAGAUAUCCCACAAUCACGAUCACCCACCUCCACCUCCAACUCCACCACUAUCAGCACCACCAGUUAUCACGUGGAUCCGAUUCACCUGCCUCCGACCUACCUCGGUCCUCGCCACCCCAGUACACCUCUCUUCCGCCUUAUCAUCUUACCCACUCUCUCGCCGAUCUAGGGUUUUUAUUUUUGUUUCGUUGGGCUAUGUGUGGUCUUUUUCAUUUCGUUUUCUGUUUGUUUCUUUGUAAUGGGUUUUGAACGGAUUUCUGUUUCAGCACUUAUUCCAUUUGGGGGAAGAUAUUCACCCGGUGAGUGAUAAAUGUGUGUGUGUGUGUGUGUUUUUUUUUUUUUUUUUUUUUUUUUGCUUUCUUUGCUUUUAUCUUGUUGGUUUUUACUAGUGUUUCUGUGAUGUUGUUGAAGAUAUGGAGUGUCUGUUGUCCUUGAAAGCAGUUUUCUGGAGACAUGGAAUGAAAGUCAUAUAUUUAUGUGUGUAAUCCAUAUUCAAACAUGGAGAACAUAAAAUAUCUUCCAUGGGUCUGAUUGGGGCAGGUUUUAUUUUUAUUUUUUUAUGUUUUAAAAGUUGGAUUGGCAAGAUAAGGUUUGAAUGCUUAGGUCAUCAAGGUCUCAAGUUUGGAGGCCUAUUGCUAAGGAUAUGGCAAUCUUGAUGCAGAGUUUUAGAGCACCUACACAUUUUUAUUUUACUUAUUUGCUUAUUUUAUAAUUUGUUUUUGUAACCUUCCCUGGCAUGUGAAAUUAUGGUCCCUGACAUAGCUUCAAGGCACGACACAUCAUGUAGUUUUAUUUAUUUAUUUAUUUAUUUAUUGUAUUUUUGUAUAUAUAUAUAUAUAUGCAUGGUGUCAACAGGAGACAGCUUGUUGUUGGUGAGUGAUUGAUUUGACUUGUUUCUCCACAACAACAAGCAGUGAAAACCACUACAAUUAAAACUUGCAAACAUUUUUCUUCUGUGUACAGAAAGGUUCUCUAUUGAAUGUCCAAAGUUGUAUUUAUGCAUUUAAUAUAUGUAUAUAUAUAUAUAUAUAUAUAUAUAUAUAUACAUAUAUAGUAAUUUCCCUCACUCUACGCCUUUGGUCCCAUCUACAGAUUAAAAUUUGGACAAGCUUGAGCAUGGUUUGUCAGUGUUUCAGUAGCUCUGUCAACAACAAACCUCAGAGGAAAGAUUUCAUAGAGAAGCAAAUUUAAAUAAGAUAUAGAAAGUCUGCAUAUCCAUACAUUCAUACACAAACAAGCAUUUAAGAAUGUGUGCGCAUCACCACCAUGCUUUAGACUGUUUUUAUCUUGUGAUUUAUAUGUGUAGUCAGUGUUUGAAAACACAAAGAUAUUUUGUUUCCUUGUCCACACCUUCUCUAAUUGAUGAAGAAACCAGACUAAGUGAUUUUCCCCACACACACACAUGUAUAUAUACACACACAUACAGACAGACCCACACAGACUUCUUCUGCACAAGAGCAGAGCUGGGGUUGGCUUUUCCAGCUCAAUUGGGGAUUAAAGUUCAUGAGGGAGGCUUUUUUUGGUCUCAUGGCAUUCAACAGCAUUCUCCAAAAAGGAUUAGCUUAUGAGUGCACCUACGCCUAGCUCCACUUGAGUUGACCUUUGCAGAGCAUCCACUUCUGUAUUUCUGUUUAUAUAUAUAUAUAUAUAUAAAUAAAUAAAUAAAUAAAGAACCUCCUUCCAUCUCUCCUUUCCUGUUCUAUGCUCCUCCCAUGUGCAGGAAUAAGUAAAAAGCCUGUGGGAAGGGAAGACCGACUAAUUCACACAUGAGCCAUUUUUCUUAUUCCACAUGUUAAGUUCCAAUUGCUAGAAAAAUUUAAGGCAUUCUGGAAGGUGAGUUUGAUGACAUGGGAUUAAAAGGGGGGAAUAUGACCACUAUGAGUGUGAGAUAAAUCUGUAGUUGAAUUAUUUGAAAUAUUUAAUUUUCAAACUAUACUUUAUACACUUGUCAAAAUCCACAGGAGCACCAAACUUGAGUAAUAUUCUUAAAGUUUGUGUGUGUGUUUUUAUUUAUAUUUAUAUUUAUUUGAAUGUUAUAUUUUCAUUUUUUUAACCUGUAACUCUUAUAAUUCAAAUAAUUAUUUUGAAAUAUUAAUUUAACCUGAUAGUCAUAGUAGUUCAAAUGUUAUAUUUAUGUUAAAGGAAUAUACAUAAAACAUGUGUAUAUACAUAUAAGUUACAUUUCAAUCUUUAGUGUUUGUUUACUUUUCCUUGGCAAUGUUAACCACAGUUCUUUCACUGAGCAUUGGAUCCACAACACAUGACUUUCAAACAAUCACCCAACCUUUAUGCACGAGUACCAAAUAAAAGCUGCAACGAAAUUCUCAAUUCUCGACUUUUGGAUUUCAAAUUUGAAACGAACACACACCACUUCAACAACCUUGUCAGGCAAUGAUUUUGAUGCCCUUUUCUCUGUACAACUUUACCAAACUUUGGUUAAAACGGAUGGAUAACCUUACAACUCUAGAUAGAUAAACUCAUGUAAUCCUCAUUUAAAAAGAAGUGAUUGUGUUUCCCCCUAUACACUAAUUAAAGAAAAGUAGUAGUAGAAGAAGCAGAAGCAGAAGCAGAAGUUGUGAGUCUGUCACGCUCUCAUUUAUAUUGCAAAUUAUUAAACAAGGUACCCAAUUAUAAAAAUCUCUCUAUCCAUCGAACUAUAUAUAAACCAGCAUUCAAGUUCCCCCGAAGCCGAAAACAAGGCUCUUGUUAAGGCUUGAAUGGCGGCUUACUGAUCGGAAACAAGACUUUGAGGAGGAGCAAAGAUAUUUAGUAGUAAUUUUUUAUCUAAAGAAUUUGUAUGUAUUCCUGGGGAGUGGUGUUGAAUACCUAUCCAUAUCACUCGUGAGGGGCUCAUUAUAAUAACUGGAGUGUGUGUCAUUAUCCAUACAUCCUUUGCAAAAACAACCCAACUGGAUCAGAUUAGUUAAUGGCAGGCGCUGCCGGAAUUGCGAGCUGGCUGUGGUGAUCGUCAAUCAAAAGCCGCGCCGUGGUUUGGUUUGGUUGCGGCACAUGGAUAGAAGCCGGGAUUGGAAUUGCGGCAGAAAUCCCUAGUGAAAACCAGCAGAAAUGGGGCUCAGGGGGGAUGUGCACAAGGCGGUUGUCAUAACACGCCCUUGUGGUAGCGUAUUAUUAGCGCCAGCGGCUCCAUCAAGCGAGAACCAAUUUAUAGGCGCGGAGUUGGGUGCAAGUGUAUGGGAAGUGGAAUGGAGCAUCAGACCUAGAACAUGAUUCUCAUAACGUCGCUCACCUAAUCGUCUGCCGAUCGUCCCCGAACCCAGAGCUGGACCCAUUAUAGAUUGCUAUUUCGUGAUCGAGCUGCUCGGGGUCGAAUCUAACCACGGCCGCUAGCGCCCAACCGCAUGGGUCCCCGGGCGCCCCGGUCGUCGCUUUCGUUUUCGGCCAUAGACCUACAGUGCCCUCGGGUAUAACUGAAUGAAUGGAGUGGUGUGGGUUUUGUGGUGACGCUGAAUUUGGCUAGCUGUUGCCAGAGCACUUUUCUAUCAUGUGGACGUCAUCGACAAAGCGGAAGACGGGAGUGAUCGCUGACUGGACCUUCUUCGAUGCACCGGAGCCAUCCAUUCCCGGGCCAGGCUCUCCUCCUCGCAGCCAGCCAGCCAUGGAAUGCUGCCAUUGGGUUGGGAUUCAUCCAAUUUUAUCCUGCAACCCUCGAUUCCGCAACAAGACAAAACAAAACAUCACUUGGCCCUCCCUCGCAGCCGAAACCAGUCACAUUAUUCGUUUUCACAAUUGGGCCAAUGGGCGCGCUUCGACAGACACUAGUGAUCCCCCGCUUCUGUUUGCCCGCCAAGCGCCCAAGGAGUGGGUGGCAUCUCUCCCGGCGCGGGUUCCGGGGCGGAAUCCUGUCUGCCCUACGGUCCCUGGGUCAGAUCCUCCCCUCACCGUUAUAUGCAUCUCAUUACUUUAUAGAUGAAUAAACAAAUAAACAAAUAAAAAUCAGACUUGCCUUCACGGGAAACUCUCAAAUAUGGGAGAAGAAUUUUUGAGUAGAAAUAAACACGUACAUAAAUAAAUAAAUUUGCUUUGAAAAGUAUGUAUGGUAGUCUAGGGUGAUGGUCCAUGGCGUUGGAACACUUGAAUGAAUGGAUGUGUGGUGUAUAUUUAUAGUAUCUAAAAGGAGGAGGAGGAGGAUAUAACCUGGCUUCACCUGCAUGUGAUAUUUAUUUUGUGUGGAAUAUAGUGUAGGCCACUGUUGUGCAAUGAUAAAGAGGGGGUUUUGUCAUUAUGCUUGUGCUUUGUUUAGAAAAAAGGGCAUGGAAAGAGUCAUACAUUUAUUAAUUUUGGUUUUGCAAACAAUCAUUGCAUGUUUGAAUCUUUUAUGCUCAUCAUAACAAUACCCAUCUUAGUAUUAUGCCAUCAAAAACUUUGUUUUUUAAUUUUUAUUGUUUCAUUAUUUUAUUACAUUUUGCUCAAUGAUUAGAAGGGUUACAUGUGUUUACGUUUUGAAGAAUAAAUGGCUUUCUUGUUUAGCUGGUUUGAUCUGGAAUAGGCAUGAUUGAAGGUUUCUAAUCCUCAAAUAAUGAUAAGCACAAAUCAGUCAUUCUAUGUAUGUUUGUGUGUGUGUGUAUAUAUAUAUAUAUAUAUAUAUAUAUGAAAAUUAAAGUUGAAAUAAAAUGAAACGAAGAAACUGGUUAAUUCAUUUACCAAUGUUGCUGCAAUCUGUCAUGAAAUAAAGGUACAAAAGUAAAGAAUUGACCUGGAUAUUAGUACUUAAAUAUGUGCAGUUAUUAUGCUAUUCCGUAUUUGAUGAAGAUAGACUCAAACAGUGCAUUUCAAUUCUGGGCUUGAAGCUAUUUUUUACUAUUAAUAUAUGAACUUGUAGACAUGAAAUUGCAGUUUCUUUUGUGGUUCAAUUGCUGCAAGAUGAAUGCACAUAUAGAUAAAUAGAUUAUCAAUUAAAAUAAAAGGAAGCACAUAUAUACAAAAAUUAAUUUAAGAAAUAAUCAAGAAAGUUAAAGUGAAAUUAUUGUAUAAAUAUUGGUGUUGAAAUGUAUACUUUUAUUUUUUUUAUUCAUUUUUUUGAAAAAGAAAAAAAGAAGGAAAAUUUGAAUUUUAUUUAUUUUAUAUAUAUAUAUAUAUAUAUAUAUAUAUAUAUCUUUCUUGAUAACAAUUAUCAAUGCAAAAAGAGAAUUUCUGAACCAGAUUUUAAAAGAUGGAAAAAAUUUCAUUGUAUUAUAGAUUCAUUUUUUUAGAGUAUAUUUUUAAAAGGUAUUUAUAUUUAUAUAUUUACCAUCAUGUUUGCACCUCUUUCUAUCAUUACUUUCAAUUUUUUAAAAAUACAUUGUAUUCUUUGCAUGGCUAAUUUGUAAUAGAUUCAUUUGUUUGUGUUCAUGUUCAUAAAAUUUGAAUUCGAUCACAAUUUAUAUGACGUUUUAGUUUUUCUGUUUGAAAUGAUUAUUUUUUAUUAUCACAUGAAUAUAAAAAAAAAAUCAUGAAAGAAUUUGAUAUAACUAUGAAUAUGAAUACUUGGAGAUAUUUUUCAUUUUAAAUUUGAAGCUAUAUUUUUAUUUCAUGCAAAUAUUGUAUUGUUACUGCAACAUUUGAUUGAAAAUAAACCAAAAAGUCAAUGUGUCUAUAUUAAGUAUUUGUAACAUCCAAUUUGUUUCAUGUUUUCCCCAACACACAGUAAUUGUGAAGUUUUUAAUAACAACAACAGCUAACAUAAAAUGGAAAGUUUUAUUUACACAUUAUAUCUGCAUCAGUAUAUGAGCAUUAUAUAUAUAUAUAUAUAUAUAUAUAUAUAUAUAUAUAUAAUAUAGCCUAAUUUUUUUAAAAAAAGUAUUACAUACAAAGUUUGUACAAGAAUUAUUUCUUAGUUUCAAUUUCUUGGUUAUAUAUUAUUAAGGAAUGUAAUAACUUUUAUACACUUGAUAUGGAAAUAAUGUUAAAAACUAAAAGUUAUUAUAUAUAUUGUGUAAUUAUAUAUAUAUAUAUAUAUAUACACACACACACACAGAUGUUAAAUAGAUAUAGGCUUUUACUAAAUGAUCUAGCCAUCCUAACCAUUAUGAAAAUAAAAAUGACUUUAACAUUCAUUUUUCUACUUCUGGAUCUAAAACCAAUGAAAACCAACCACAUUCAUCAUAAUUAUGAGAGUAAUUUAUUUUGUUAUUUUAUUAAACUAAAUAUAAUUUAUUAUAUAUAUAUAUAUAUAUAUACACACACAUAUAUACUCAAAAUAUAUUCAAAAUAUUUAUAUAUUUAUUUUUUUAAUUUUAUGUUUAUUUAAAAUUAUAAUUUAAAAAUAAUUCAAAAAUACAUAUGUAUAUAUAAAAUUUAUUUUAAUUAAAUACAUUAUCUAGAAUUAUAGAUUAGAGCAAGAAGUUCUUUUGAAUUAUCUUAAUCCAACUUGAUGACUUAAUUACACAAAGGCUAAGUAAUUAUAUAUAUAUAUAUAUAUAUAUAGAGAGAGAGAGAGAGAGAGUUAUAGAGAGUUGGCUUGCAAUUUGUAUAUGAUGCAAGGUUGAAAUUAAUAUGGAUUGUAAGAAUAAAAUUUGGUCAAACAUAACUUUAAACGAUGGACUUAAUAAAGAUGUCACAGAUUUAUUAGAGAUCUUAUUUAGUAUAUAUAUAUAUAUAUAUAUAUAUAUACAAUUAAUGCAUUAGUUGCAUCUAAAGUAGUAGAUUAAAUCUUUGUUACAUAAAAAGAAUAUAGCAUACUUUUGAUUUUUAGAAUAUAUGUGUUUAUAUAUAUAUAUAUAUAUAUAUAUAUAUUAGAGUAAAUCAAAUAUAAAUGUUAGUUUAAAGAUAACUUAAAUAUAUUUGAAGCAACUAAUUUUAUGAAUUUAUAUUUCUAGUAUCAUAAUACUAUAUAUAAAAAAUAAAAAAUUACAUGUAGUUCAUGUUAUAUGAAUAUAAAUAAAACAUUAAAUAUUUAUUCCAUAAUCAAAUUGAUUAAUCAAUUAGAAUACUCCUAUUAUUGAAUAAUUAAAUAAAUUUUGGUUUAUGGUGUAUAUGUCUAAAUUAAAAAAGAUUUUAACAAAUUACAUAUGAUUUGACAUUAUUUUAUAGAAAAUAAUACAUAAAUAGACAUAAUUGAGAAGAAUUAUGCAUUGAUGUUGCCAUAUUAGUAUACAAGGCCUAUGUGUUAUAAACAUAGAGAUAUUCAAAUCAUAUUACUUAAAUUUAGACAUGUGAAAUAGAAAACAACAUAUAGUUUGAAAUUACUCAUACAAUUAGAUAUUUCUCAAAGAAGUUUUAUUUAUAUAUAUACCAAAAUAUAUAGAAAAAGAAGAAAAGUUAAAGAGAAUGAAAGAAGAAAUCUCUUAAUUUUUUGUUUUUUUUAUCUUUGUAUAAAUACUCCUAUAUUUCUAUAUAGAAUAAAUAUUUAAAAAUAACUCUAAUUUCUUUCCAAUUACAUAUCUUUGCUAUAUAUAUAUAUAUAAUUUAUCUAUAAAUUGCAAAUAUGUAGCUAUUUUUUCAAAAUUUUAAAAAUAACAAAAUUAUCCAUAAUUCUUGUUAUGAUAAAAAAUUCUCAAUGCUUGGAUAUCCAUCCUAGAAAGUUAUUUUAUGUAAAAAUGUUUGCAAAAGACAAGGUUUUCAAGGUCUCUUCUAAUCCAUGAGAAUUUCUUUUGCAAAAAAAAGAUUAAGAAUAUAUAUAUAUAUAUAUAUAUAUAUAUAAAGUUACCCAAAUUUUUAUUUAAUCAACCCACAUCAUUGGACCUCUUCCUCUUAUUUCCAAUUGUCACCUCAGUUCUCCCUAUUUCUAGCCAUUGCCUCCAUUCCUUCCAAUUUCAACCCCCCCCCCCCCCAGCUUGUAUCUGUAGGCUCAACUUUUGACCUUCCAUCCUUUUUUUUAAUGACAGUACUUCCUGAAAUUCAUAUAUUGGUCUUAUACAUACUCAACUUGAAGAUCAAGGUGGCUUAGAAAAGCUUUAGAAUUUGGAUCUUGUAAUUGAAUUAGAGUAAAUUUGGAGAAAUUCAAAUUUUACAUGUAUCUUAUACUUGAGAUAUUGUAGUAUUUCAAAGUUUAUUUCUUUAUUUUAUCCUACAUCUUCUUUUGAACUUUGCUUCUUUGAUGCUUAGGCUUCAACUUUUCUUCCAACUGAUUGGACUUUGAUUAGGCUUCGACUUCUUGCUCUUCUAACAACUUUUCAACAAAAGCACAAAAUAAGUAUUAGUUUCUAUUUACUCAACUUCCUUGAUCUUAGCAAUGGAUGCAUUAACCUCUUGAAUAAUAGGCUUUUCAACCGAGAGCUCUAUUACAAAUGCAUCAAUGUCUUCUUCAAUGGAAUAGGGCACUUGUGACCCCACAAGCCUUCUUUGCAACAACAUCUUUCAUUCUUGAGGCUUCUUUUCUUUCAACAACUGCAAUCCCCUCUACAAUAACAACCUUGUCUAGACUUAAUGUAUAGAAUUCUUUCAUUGAUUUAAAGUCAAGGAAAUCAAGUUCAUAUAUCACGUCUCCUUUAAUAUCUCCCGUAUUCAAAUCUAACAUGUUCUUUUAUUCAUGUUCAUUUUUUGAUAUAUAAGGAGAAAAAGAAUCAAAGGCAGAUUCAUACAACUCCAAAUCACUUUUUGUUAUAGCAAUAUUAGCAAACUCCUGAACAACAAGUUUUAAU
rnacentral:lncRNA from 1 species